GAGGCUCAAUCUUAUGAGGCGGCUUGUACGAGUCUUCUUUACUCUCGACAGGAGGGUGGCCAGGGUUGUGACCAUAAUGUGGUGGCUUCUCUCCCUUAGGUGGCUUGCCAACUGGGGUUGGUGGCUUGUGUUCAGGAAGUGGUUUCUCUCCCUUGGGAGGUUUACCAAUUGGGGUUGGUGGCUUGUGUUCUGGGAGUGGUUUCUCUCCCUUGGGAGGUUUAGUGGGUGACUUGUGUUCUGGAGGUGGCUUCUCCACCGGAGGCUUGUGCUCCGGUGGUGGCUUCUUGGUUGGAGGGGGCUUGGGGUAAUCAGCAAGAGAUGGGGGGGUGAGAACCACCACUCCAAGGAACAACACUAGCAAGUAUGUGGGAGACAUUUCUGAGUUUGAGCUGAUCAGAUGAUGCAAAACUAGAAGAAUUACGUGACCUUUUAUAGCAAGUAGCUCCCAAUACCCACAUGACACGUGUUACUGUGACCAUAAAUAUUAUAGGGUCCAUUUGUGCCCUACCGGGUUGAAAACUUGGACGCUUGGCCGAGGACACACCGAACUAUGGAGGACUAUUGACGUGUGAUCACAGCUUUUGGAUUUUUCUUCCUGUGCAGCUGUCUAGCGGUUGGCAUUAUUUUUUUAAUCUUAAAUAAAGGCAUAGUUAUAGAGUACAUUUAUAUAUCUUCAGAUAGCCAUUAAUAUAUUUGAUGAAGAAAGACAAGUGCAUACAACAUGUAUACGGCUUGCUUCAAUCGAGUACAUUUAUGAUCAGUUUUCCAGUGCAAGUAAACCAGUUUUUUGUUCCACAACUAUUUUGGAAUCUUGUUUAUCAGUUUCUAUCAUUAUAAUGUCACAUAGGCUGCAAACUUGGGCACCCAAAGAUCUAGUUGGGCAAAUUUGUUUCAGAAUUUCAAUGGUGGAUUCAGUAAUUGUUAAAAGGUGUUUCUUCAUUAAGGAAAGAGUCCUGUAAAAAUAUUGUUAAAAGGUGUCAUAGAAACUAUAAUAAUUAAAUAACUUCUUUUCCCCGUGGGUGGUGUUUCUUCUGGGGAUACCCAAAAUGAGUUCAGAUUAAAAUUGGUUCGAGUCAAAGCUGUCUCUUUUGUCCAGAAAUCAACUAUUUUGCGCAUUGCAUGAAUCGAUAAAGAAAAAAUGAAAGCCAAAUCACACCUCCCCUGCAAAACCUAAACCCCGGUUGCUAACUUUCUAUGUUUCAGUCCUAUUCAUACAGGAAUAUUGGUUCAAGUUUGAGAAAAAUGGCAACUUACCUAGGGAUUACUUGGUUGUGGUUUGCGACGACUAUUUACGCAACCAACCAUGAGUUUGACUUUAACGUCAUGGGUUGAAGCCUCCUACAAUCGUGUAUGAUAGUUCAAAGCUCGUAGUAGAAAUUAUACAGGAAGGAAGAAACCUCCAAAGCUAGCUCCAAAAGAGAAUUAUCACAUCGAUAGCUCCAGAGAUUCCCAAGGGGACUGAAUCAAAGACAAGUUCCUCACUUUUUCUUCUUUUGAGGCCAAAUAUGAACCAAGGAUCACACGACCUCAUUCAACUUCAUAAGUUUGAUUUCAUGCAGUUGAACACUGGGUGAAGGCCAUGACAAGAAUUGAUUAAAAAAUUCUACCACUGUUUUAAGUAAUGGAAGAUUAUUAUCUCUGAUUGGCACCACAACAGCACAUGCUGCUAGAUCUUUCUAGACACUCCAUGCAAUGAAAGUACAAUGGAUCUUGUAACGAUAGAAACUAAGCCAUGCUACAGUACUAGAUGACGAGGUAAAACUAUUAGACAUGGGUGGCAGCCUAUAUGGGAGGGACACAAGUCUAAUUGAUUUGCAUUUCAGCGUUCUAGAUGGGUAUGUUUUGGAAGAUUUGUUCUGGAAAUACCGCACCAAGUAGGAUUCUUUUUUCUCUUGAGUGGGUCCACUUGCAUGCCAAUUAUCGAGUUGAAAAGUAGAGCACCUACCUCGUGCUCGUGGAACCGAAGGUCAGUGAAGUGGGGCUCCUUUUGGCCUCUUGUGUUUCUGUUCCAACCAAGGCGGCGGAGGGAAAAACAGCAAUAUGUCUCCGCUAAAUAUCAACGCAUGAUAGCGAAUGAGGGAGAAAAAAAGUAAUUGGCAUCUCAAUCUCACAAACUUGGUACAGUAGUGACAUUAAUAGUCUUCCACAUGGUUUUUAUUUUAUUUUAUUUUAUAUUUUAUAUUUUCCAUUUUUUUAUUUUUUUGUAUGUCAAGGCUAAUGAAUAAAAUGCGUUAGCUUGUUUUGUGAUUGGAACUGCAAAUGUCCAAAUUGGAGUUUCUCCAUUUCUCAGUUCGGAUGGUUAACUUUAUAAACAAGAUAUAGGAAACAUGUGAACGUCUUGAGGAACAAUUCGAAUUAUUGAUUAGAACUCCUAGGUUGAGUUCCAAGAUUUAAAUCAGACCCCUCUAGCAGCUUCAGGGGUACCUAGCAAUUAGAACAUAUUAAUGAAGAUUUAGGAUUUAGACUCCGGAAUACAAAUUAAUAUGUAUCUUAUGCUCUGACUAGCUUCCCUGCAUAUGCACAAAAUGGAGAUGACCCAAAAAAUAGCAGAAUCGCCUUAGUUUAUGUGGUUAAGGUGAUUCUCCGGUUAAUAUCCACAUUGGCUCAUUAUGCAAAUCAACUGAGCUAUUUUUUUUUUAAUGUCAAAUAGGAACUCCUAAUUAACCUAACCAUUGGCCUGUGUAAAUUGAUUUCACAUGCACAAUGUUGUAGUAGAAGUCCACAUUUUGAAUUUUAUUUUUGGAAAGGUAAGGAAAAUGAAGCAUUGUGUAAUUAUAAAAAUAACUUCAUUGGAAUUCACAAGGUUCACCCAAAAUGGAGCUACAUCCGUAUUCUAUCUUACAGUAGACUAUAUAGAUUGUACAAUAGUAAAUUGCAAAUACAAUUAAUAAGUCUUGUGUUUCCUUACUAAUAAUCCUUUGACAUAAACAUUGCAGCACUAAGGUCCUCUUGGGCAGACACCUUGCACCCAUGAGAGCACUAAGAGGAAGCAAGGCGGAGUCAUGGGUGCAAUGUCAUGACUUGUUGCACUAAGAGAGGCUUGGUGAUGGCAUAGUGCUGCAGUAGCAAGAAUGUUGCCUUGGCAGGGACACGAUCUAGGGACAGAUGCCAAGAAAGGCUUAGCACUCACAUGAGUUGCACAAAGAUGAAUGAAAUAGAACAUCAAAGAGACAUCUUGGCAAGCUCAAGAAAGACAUGUGGGUUGGUAAAUGAAUGGAUGCAAGAGGCAACAACAUGAGGAGUUUCAAAUGGAUAGGGAAUGAGUCAAAGACAUUUGAAAGCUACAAGUUGGAUUCUAAUUACGAUUGCAAUUUGAGUUUGAGUAGGAGUUUAUAUUAUGAUUGUAAUUGUAGUAUGAGUUGGACUAGGAUUGCUUAUCCCUAGUCAAAAUAGGAGUUGUUCAUGCCACACCCUAUGAAAAGAGUUUGAGUAGGGACUAGGAUUGCUUGCUCCUAGUCAAAUAUGGAGUAGGUGGUGCCACACCUAUAAAAAAAAAAGGGACAACAUGAGAGAGAGAGAGAAUGAAUUCACCAAAGAUAUUGUGGGAGUUUUGCUUUGUUACAUCUUGUAUUAUUAUUUAGAAUAGUAAUAAAAUACAAGUUGGGGCUAGAGCCCCAUAAUCUCGUGUGCCUUUGUGGGUUAUUCUUUAUUUGCCAUCUCGUGUGGAUUGGAUUAGAUUGAUGAGGCGAAAUAUUAUGUGGGAAAUUUAUGUUGGGACACUUACCAUAACCAGGUAAAAUCUACCAAGUCUUUUGUAAUAUCUUCUACAAAUAUUUUAGACCAGUUCUUCACAAAACAUCAUAAUAUGUUUUGUGUUUCUCUUGGAUUUUGAGUUGAAUUGUCUUAGAUCAAUUGAAUGCAUCUCAAUAUUAUUAUCUUGUUUGAAGGCUUGAUGAUUUUCCAUUUAACUUUACUUUCUUUAGGUUAUGCUUGAUUCCUUAAAAGUACUAAGGAAAACAAAAAAUAAAAAAAAAUAAAAAAUGCAGAGGGUUAGGACAUGUGUUAUCUAAUUGUCCUAUCCAAAGAUAUUAAGAAAGUCAUGUAGGAAAGUAAUUGAAAACUAGGUCAAGAAAGGAGCAAAAGGGAAUUGUUUUGGUAUUUUCUUUUUUAUUCUUGAAGGUGGCAGAGCUAAAAUUUGAGAAAUCAAGCAAAACAUACUGAAAUUACAUUGAAAGAAAGAAAAUGGUAGUUAAUGUCUUGCAGUACAUGAUAAGGACUUCAUGCAUGUAGUGUGACGACCCAUGUCUUGGACUGAUGCCACACUCACGGUUACACUUAUACCCUUGGUUCUCUCUUUACUACCUUGGCUAACCUAGAUCAGGCUAUGAGAUAGGCUCCUCACCACACCAUCACUUGCCCAGUAAUUAGUGACAUUUUCAAGCAAUGAGGUAACAUGGUGACACCAAGAGGGUUUAUCCCUCGCCCCAACAAGUCUAGACUCGGUCUCAAAAAAAUGGAGAAAAAUGAGGUGUCGUUAUGCAGAAAUACAACAACCAUGCCUUCCUUAUUACUUAGAUUCAGAAUGUGAAGGUGAAAUUGAGAAACAGAAACUCUUGAAACCAGAAUGAAAAUUGAUACUUUUACGAAGAAUUACAACAUUAGAGGAAGACUACAUUCUUCCUCUAUAUUCCUACGUUUCUACACUACUUCUACUCCACUCCAUAUUUCUACAUACAUCUUUAAUCAGUUUUCCCUCCUUUAUAUAGAGCCAUCUUCACACAAAUUCCGCAAGGUAGAAAAGAGGAAUGAAACUUGGAGCAAGGUUCGACUACUGGUUGUCGCUUGUCAAGGCUGGAAUUGAACUUUUUUUCUUGGCUUUUCUGGGCAUAGGUAGUAACUUGUGGUUCCUUUUUGGAAUGAAAAUGGUACAGCUAGAACAUGUGGCACUCUCUUGUUGGAUUAUGUGUCAAACAUGUGGCAGCCAUCUAGUGGAGAUUAUUUCAAUUUUGGGAUGGAGAGUUGGCAUCCAAUUGCAAAGAAAUAUGACAUCUACCAACAUGCAAUGUAAACCUAUAUAGAUCAUAUGGAGAUAGAGAGGAAACAUAUAGAAAUGGAUAUAUACCUAGAACUAGCUUUUUAUUAAAUGAGACGGAGAGCCAACAAUGAAGGAAAAUCAAAAUUUUUGGCUCAUAUCAAAGAAUUCACAUUGUGUUACCCUAGGUUUUCUUAAAGCUUGCACAAAGCCAAAAAGCACACAAAAAAUUAUAUUUUCUAGCUCUCUACCUUGGAUGGUCUCUUGAUCCUACUUGGAGAUGUGCAUAAAUAAAAGGAUUUGAAAAUGACAAUUGACUAAGUAUGUAGUCAAUCAAUUACUCAUUAAUUGACUAGUUGAUCAAUUAACUUUGCAACAUCAUAUGCAAUCCUAAUAGCUAGUCAUCUAAUCAACUAGGUAGUAAAUCAAUAGGCCAAAAAUAUGUUUAUAAUGACUAUUUUGUACAAAAACCACCUAUAUGGUUAAAUAUAAUGCAUUUCAUUUAUAAAUCUUCUAAUUCUUGAAUAACGAUCCUAUCAUCCUUUGAAAGUUUUUAUUACACCUUUUAUACUUUUGUUCUAAAACUUACACAUGUACAUCACCCUUAAUUGUACCAUGAGAACCUAGCUUUUUUUUUUUUUUUUUUUGUAAUUCAUCAAAGUUAGCUUUUGUAUUCAUUACUGUACUAUUUUUAUUGUAACUUAGAAAGCGAGUGUUUUCAAGUGAGUGAAAUUGACUUAUAAAUAUUGUAAAGAUUCAUUGAUGUGUAUCUUAAACUAAGUGUACAAGUUGAAACAUUUGCUAGUAGAUUUUCUCAAGAUUUAGAAUAGAGCUUGAGGCUAUUGAAAUAGGUGGGGUUGCACCAAACCACAUCACAUUGUUGUUUGCACCUUUUUUUCACUCUCUUUUACUUAGUUGCUCUAUAUUUGUUGUCUAGUAAUAUCCUAUAGGCUUGAUGGGUUAGGGAGCAUCCCUUUGUGAAAAAUUUUCAUUCAAUCCUUAGUUGUAUCACGCAUAUAUAAAAUGCCUCAUUGUUUUAAUGGUAUUCAGUCGUGGCAUCACAGAUAUGGGCAUCUAAAUUUUAAAAGUUUGAAACUUUUAUCUAAAGAAAAUAUGGUGCUUUGCCUUUUUGUAAAGCAUGUUGAUGAAAUCCAUGAGAAUUGUGUACUUGGGAAGCAACAUCGAGAUGACUUUUUUUUUUUUCAUUUUUUAUAAUGCGACACCUAAGUCCGGUUUCUAAAUGCUGAAGUGAAAGGGUAGGUAUGGACCAUUGAAAUCUGAUCACAACUUUUGGCCUUUUCCUUUCUCUGCAGCCAUGUUGUCUCUUUUUUCUUUUGCAUGAUUUUCUUACCUAAACAGAAUCAUAGACUUGUUUAAUCUCUAAAUGGUAUUUCAUCCAGCUUUAAGCUACUGUAUUAUAUCUUGGUGGAGGACUUUUAAGAGUGAAACCGACAUAGAGCACAUGCAAGUGGGUAUAUGGGACAUGAAAUUUCUUCUUAUAAAGACUGCAUGGUUUUUAUAUUAGAGUUGUUGAGGCGCAAUGUAUUUAGCUUGUUUUGCAGUUAAAUUAAUUGGAUAAGUAGACAUUGUCGUUUCUAAAUUUCCCACCUAAGAUAGUGACCUUAUCCUUGACUGCUUGAUGAGAUACACAAACAAUUAUACCUUCAAAAUCUACUGUGAAGUGCUUCAUGUAUGUGUGAAGUAUUAGAAAUUUCUUUCUUGGCAACUUGUUUUUUCUUUGCCCUCUACUGAUAGGUUUGACUCAAAUUAAAUUCCCUGUCAUGCUAAUUAAUUUUCACGUGCAUGCUCAAAAGGAUCACGUCAACUCUGGUUUCUACUAUUCAGGUCCAUUCCCAGAUAAACUGGUUCAAAUUUGAGAAAAUGGCAACAGCCCUUUAGUGAUGUUGGUUUGGAGCCAGUAGCCAAACCCGCCCUGAGCUUUACCACUAAUGUCAAGGGACAAAGCCAUUUGAACAAAAACAAUAGCUUCAAGAGACUGAAUCGUGGAUGAAAUCUGAUCCACAUUUCUUCUCAUUUUGGGAACAAAUGAGAACUUAACUACAAAGAUUCUACUGCCUCAUAGUGCUUUUCCUGAUCUAAGGUUGGUUCGUUUCCCAAAUUGUGAGGUACGUGCCAUUCUCACGCUCAGGAGUGUAUCCACGUGGUGGACAUAAGAUGGUGGCUUAAUAUCUGGUGUCGGUGGCUUUACUUUACUAGGAGAGUAGUGUGUCUUCAUCUCAUUCACUGCCGGAGGGUGGCGUAAGCAGUGACGCUAAGGUGGGGCACAGUCAAUAUCAUUUGCAUUUGACCAUUAUAGUUUUCUCCCGGCUUGAAAGUAACCUUAUCGUGAUAAAGGAUUACUAGCACUAGUUCAGAUGACAGUCAUGUUAAAUUCGGACCAUGUUUGUGUCACAUUAUCAGCAACCAUGUGUUUAUGGUUCAUGCUAUCUGCAACUAAACUUGAUAUAUAACCACGUGAACUUCAAUCUAAAUUCUGGAAGUACUCUUGUGAUAGAUGGUGCCUGUCUGCAGAGUCCAUCAAUUGAAAAAUGGAGUGAGUGUAUCUAUAAGAGGGAAGGCUUGGCAAAUGUUCAGUUUUCUGGGAACUCAACAAGGAUCUAAAAUAGAUUGUUUUCUUUGCUGAUUUCAAUGGUUGAAAUUUGAGAAGAUUGUGUCCACAUAACACAACUAUUACUGGUCCUUCUGUUGCAAUUUAUCCUCUAAGGCUCUAACAUGUCUUCCAAUUCCCACUUCCCUGUUACUCCAGGAAAGCUAUUUCUGUCAUUGUGAAGAAGAAAAGAGAAUGUACAUAUCGAUGGUUUUAAGUGACUGGGGCAUUCAUAUCAGGUGGUCUGCAGCCAUAUAUGCCACUUUGUGAAGGUUGGAACAGUCAAUCACCAGGCUAUAUUAGUGUGGCCCAGCCACUUCAAUCAAGGACAAGUCUUCAUACUUAAAGUCAAAUUCUGCCUUUAGUCUCAUUAUAAAUUGCUGUUUAAAUAUUAAGCAAACAUUUGUUUAAUGCGAUUAAGACAGUACUAACUCAAUACUUGUUCUAUUUUUGGAUGCAAAUGCUUGAUGGUUUCAUCAUUGGAUGGGAUAAAGGUGCAUUCAUGAUUAUGAAUACUUGUAGUUAUAUUUUCAUUCUCUUUUUUCUCAAUGAGACUUGUUGGCACAAUUUUGCUGUUCAGAAACCUACCUCUCCAUCGAAAAUCAGUUGUGAUUGAUAGUACUGGAUAUAUUCAAGAAAGCUAAAUAUAGAUAGCACCAAAUAUUAUCGAUAUAAAUAGCAUUAACAGCGUACGUAUGUCUCAAUGCUCAUCAGCUAUAAGCAACGGGCAAACACUUACUAUGAGCAACUUGCGUCAAAAUUCCAGAAUAGGACAUAGAAGUGACAGAUCUAUAUAUAUAUAGAACACUGCAUAUGAGUCACAAGAAAGGAAAUUACGGGUGCAUAGCAGCUCUUAUUUUACAUCCUACUCAUACUGAUCAAAGUCACUCAGUUGGGAUGGGUGGGAGUAGGAGGUUUGUGGGGUGGCUUGUGCGGAGGAGUUGGCAGCUUCUUUCCAGGACCUGGUUGCUUCUCUGCUGGAGUUGAAGGAGGCUUAAUCUUCCGAGGUGGCUUGUAUGAGUCUUCAGCAUUCUCAGCAGGAGGGUGACCAGGGUUGUGACCAUAAUGUGGUGGCUUCUCUCCCUUAGGUGGUUUGCCAACUGGGGUUGGUGGCUUGUAUGAGUCUUCAGCAUUCUCAGCAGGAGGGUGACCAGGGUUGCGACCAUAAUGUGGUGGCUUCUCUCCCUUAGGUGGUUUGCCAACUGGGGUUGGUGGCUUGUGUUCUGGGAGUGGCUUCUCCCCCUUGGGAGGUUUUUCCAAUGGGGUUGGUUUGUGUUCAGGAGGUGGCUUCUCCACUGGAGGCUUGUGUUCAGGAGGUGGCUUCUCCACCGGAGGCUUGUGUUCAGGAGGUGGCUUCUCCACCGGAGGCUUGUGUUCAGGAGGUGGCUUCUCGAAUGGGGGAUGCUCAGGGUAAUCAGCAAGUGAGGGGUUGGUGAGAACCACCAUGCCAAGCAACAGGACUAGCAAGUAUGUAGGAGACAUCUUUGGGUUUGGACUUAAGACAGUGGAAAACUGCGAGAAUUCUCUAGCCUUUUAUAGCGGGUCGACCCAGUACUCACAUGACACGUGUCAUUAUGACACAUGUGCCAUGGGGUCGAUUUGGGUCCUACAGUGUUGAAAAGUUGGGCAUUUGAGGUGUGAGCACAACUUUUGGCCUUUGCUUUCUCUACAGCCGCCAUGCUUUUCCCUUUUUUCCUUUUCCUUUUGUUUUCCUCCUGCCUCGUGUUCUCAACUAAACACAAUUAGGUUGUUUAAUUGUUAAAUGAGAUUUUUGUCUGUCAAUCAUAUUAUAUCCUAUCAAGAGAGAACAGAGUGUAAUGUAGUACACAUAACACGAGGCAGUAGUAAUUUUAUCAUUUAUUUUUAUAGCUUGGACCACCGCAUUUUUUCUUCUAAAAUAUUCUGUCUUGUUAAGAGACGCAAUAAUACACAAUUUUAUCUGCCAUUCAACAUUUACUGUAAAGUUCUUUUAUCUCUUUGUAGUUCUAGAAAAGUACAAAAUGGAACAUCAUGUAUAUGGUGCCUUCUGUCCUAAAAAAGAAACUGGACAAAUUAUGAACUGCAUGCUAAAAAGAGGCAAAGGAGCUUAAUUCGCAGCAUAAUUAUUUUGGUUUCUAGAGAGCCCGGGGCCUUUUGGUUGGUUUGGGGUCAGAAAAUGAACAUCAUAGGGAUUGUGCCCUUAACUGGCCUUGUUACUACAAAGAAAUUGCCAUAGAAAUUUAUUCCAGGCUGAGUAUCUCCGGAUAGACCCCAGAAAAGAAGAGUCAUAAUGAGAAUCAACCUUUGUUGAGUUUGAUUCCAUGCCUCCAUUGUGUUCAUUUCAUGAAUCUGAUUUGCAUUUAACAUUACAGUUUUGUUCUGGAAACAAUCAAAGGAGCAUCGUUUGCUUCUUGGGUGACCCAUAGUGGUGGGUGGGUCGAUUUGCUUAGUUGAAAAUUGGACAAUUGGCUCCAUCGCCUACCUCUUGGAUUCCAUGCUCGGAUAAAACGACAACAAAUAAAUAUUUAUAACUUACAACUGGGGAAAGGAAAAAAUAGUACUAAAUUCAUGGUACAUGAUAGUGAGAGAAGGGGGUGUUACACUCAGCUAAAGUUCUUUUCUAAAUAUUGCAUGGUGUUUAAUUUUAUGUGUCGGCGCGCGUGUGAAUGGAACCUGCAAAAGUCCAAAUUGGCGUUUCUCCAUUUUCCACAUAGGAUGGUGACGUUAAUAGACAAAGAUACAAUAUCUGUAGACAUUGCUUAAAAAUCGAUGUGAAGUAUUAGAAAUUACAGGCCACUGUACUGGGGGAGCGGCUGCCCCGCCAAAGGAAGAAUGUAGCAAUUUCUUCUGUUAGCCAGGCCUUAGGAUUUAUGCAUGGGAUGCCUAAUAACAAACAGAGAAAAUAUGCUUUUGGGGAAGGUAUCCAACAACAGACACCAUCAUUCAGAUGGUGGGAAGGUAUCCAACAGAUGCCAUCAUUCAGAUGGUAACAUAUAUAUACAUUUAUUAGUGAGUUUUUUUAAUACCUAUAAAAAAAAUAUACACUUUGAUAUUGUGGCUGAAUCCAUUACAUACUCAACUAACCUUGCUCAUUAGGGAUUUGACGUAACAAGGGCAACGUUGCAGUAAAAGCUCGAAACUUUAUGCAGGUGACAUUACAUUUGGUAAAGAAGAGGAAAAUAAGGAAAGCCAUCCAUAAAAGCAAAAUUCCUCAUGGGAUGAAAUUCACAAACUUCAUUUACGUUAGAGUCGCAUCCAGGCAAUUAAUUCCACAUUAGACCGCCUUUUGACAUGUGUACGGAUCUUUUUUCAAAAAUUAUUUAUAAAUAAUUGAUACUUACAAAAAUAAUUUAAGAUUUAUAAAGGAUAAAAAAAUAUUUUCAAAUCUAUGACAAUUUAUAAAAUAUUAAUAAAAAAUUAUCUCUUAAACUUAGUAUAGUUUUAUCGUAUUAAACUUUUAUUUUGAACAAAUAAUUUUAAUCUAAGUUUUAAAUUCUAAAAUUAUUUCCUUAAAAUAAAAUUUUAAAAUUCAACACUUCAAUUGAAAUUGUCUUUUAAAAAAAAUAUCUUCUUAUUUUAAUCCUUAUAAACUAUAGUUGAUUGAAAAUACUAUUGAAGUUCUCUCUUCAAAAAAAGUCUUAUUUUAAUCUUCAUAAAUUGCCCUUGAUUUGAAAAUAAACUUUGGGUUAUCAUAUUUUAAAUAAUAUAUAUAUAUAUAUAUAUAUAUAUAUAUAUAUAUAACAAAUACUCUAUUUUUUUUUUAAAUGAACUAAUUUUAAUUAUAUUUUAUUUUAUUUUUUUAUAUAUUUUUAAUGAUAAACCAAACAUAGAAAAUCAUUUUUCUAAAUAUUUUAAAAUUUCUAAGCAACCAAACAUAAUCUUCAAAAUAAAAGGAGAAUAAGGAGGGACAAGUGAGAAAUGGCGAUUAAAAAAAAGUGUACAAAAGCUCAAUUAAUUUUCUUCUAGUCUUUUAUAUAAAAAAGUAUUGGUAUGUAAAUUAAUAUUUGGAUUUUAAUAGUAUUUUAUUUGUCUUUCUCUAUCUCAUGUAAAAGAGAAUUUAAGAUAUUUCCUAAAGCAAAGCAUUAGUUAUCUGCAAUCAGUGGUGAUCAUGGUCCAUGUCAAUUUCGGACCCAUAUCUUAAAACCGUAUAAUUUGCGUUUCAACAUUACUGAUUUCUCAGAUGUUUCAUACUCCACAGAAGAGUAUUGUUAGUGAAAGCAUUUUGUAACUGUUACUCAUAGUGUUUUGACUCUGGCUCAACAACAUCAGCCAUUGACGGAUUUUCAUACAUGCAAAUCAAAUAGUCUUCUUCCUCCCUUAGGAAUUUCGGUUUAAAUGUUAUUAAGCAUACAUUUGGCUGACAAUUAUUAACCACUUCAUGAUAUGGUUUCUUACCCUUAAUCAAUGGUUUCUAAGUGAAUAUAUGCAGAAGGAAAUCUGAACUGUAGACAGCAGUAUUGAUAACUCUCAAUAUUCUUUAUAUAAGAGAAUAAACAACGUCAUAGUGAUCGUCGCCUACAAGAAAGGUACAUUUCCCAACAAGAUGUAGUGGUGACUGCUACAUGGACGCAAUUAACUCGUAGAAAAGGAUAAGACCAGUGCACGGCAGCUCUUAUUUUACAUGCUAAUUAUGCUAACCAAAGUCACUCAGUUGGGAUGGGAGGGAGAUGGAGGUUUGUGCGGUGGCUUGUGGGGCGGAGUUGGUGGCUUCUUUUCAGGAGCUUGUGGCUUUUUCGGAGCUGAAGGAGGCUCAAUCUUAUGAGGCGGCUUGUACGAGUCUUCUUUACUCUCGACAGGAGGGUGACCAGGGUUGUGACCAUAAUGUGGUGGCUUCUCUCCCUUAGGUGGCUUGCCAACUGGGGUUGGUGGCUUGUGUUCAGGAAGUUGUUUCUCUCCCUUGGGAGGUUUACCAAUUGGGGUUGGUGGCUUGUGUUCUAGGAGUGGUUUCUCUCCCUUGGGAGGUUUAGUGGGUGACUUGUGUUCUGGAGGUGGCUUCUCCACCGGAGACUUGUGUUCUGGAAUUGAUUAAAAAAAUUCUACCACUCUUUUAAGUAAUGGAAGAUUAUUAUCUCUGAUUGGCACCACAACAGCACAUGCUGCUAGAUCUUUCUAGACACUCCAUGCAAUGAAAGCACAAUGGAUCUUGUAACGAUAGAAACUAAGCCAUGCUACAGUACUAGAUGACGAGGUAAAACUAGUAGACAUGGGUGGUAGUUGAUUACUACUCAAAAAGUACUCUUUUAUAGUUUGAAACUAACUGUUUUAAACACUUUUGAGUAGUAGUUAAUAAAUUUUAACUCAAUUGGCACAUUAAGGAACCUAGCAAGGGUUACUAAUAAACUUUUGGCAAGUUUUGGUGUUUUUGGUAGUUAUUCGAUCAUUGAAACAAGCCAAGAAUGAGGGAGAAUUUUGUGAAGUCCAUGGCAAUGCAAGUUAAAGCUCAAAUACACGAAGAAUCCAAGCUUUGGAGCACUACAUAGCCCUUUGCCAAGCCAAUUAGAGAUGCAAGGAACAAAACCAAAGGAAGAAAUCCAACAACCAACAUUUUCGCAUGGUUGUGUGAAAUUUCGCACACCAUGCGAAACCACAAGAGGUAGCCAAAGAAUUUCACAUGGUAUGCGAAAUCUUCUCAUGCACCGACUCCGUUAGAUUUUUAUCUUCAGAUAUUUUGUGUAAUUUCCUAGUUUCUCCUUGUAACCAACCUAGAUAUUUUCUUUUAUAUCUUUUUUUAUAUUUUUUAGGUAACAUCAUAUAUAAGGGGAGAGACAUAAGGAGGAUAUGGAUGUUUUUCAUAGAACACUUGUAAAUUUUCAGUAGUAAGAAAUAUACAAAGCUUUUUGCUAUGCCUUACCUUCUCAUUUUGUUUUCACCUGUCUUUCUAGCCAAACAACCUCUAAGGAUGAUUUCUCAGGGGAUGAGUGGCUAGGUUUUACGUUUCUUGGAGUGAGGGAAGCUAGGUGAAGGACCUGAAUGCAAAGAUGAGAGUUUUCCUUGCUUUAAAUGAAAGUAGUUGUUAAACAUUAAUGGUUUUUAUUUUAAGGUUUAGCUUUAAAUCCCUUAAAAACACCUUGAAUGACCAAUACUUGGUAAGCUUUUCGGAUUCUAUGGAUGCUUAUUGCUAGAUCCAUGGAUGUCUAUUAGUUAUCAUUUACGAGCCUUUGGAAGGUGAUUCAAGGUGAGGGUCUUUAGUGUUUGAAGCCAUUAAUGGGAAGCAAUUACCAUUUUUUCAUGAAUCCUUUGGAUCAAAUCUUAAUUGCUAAAUAUAAAACCGAUUUGGGAAAUAACCAUCCUUUAUGUUAUUAUCCCCAACGCAAGGAGAAGAUCCGGAAUCUUCCCUUUUGUCUAAGGAACCCGAUCCUAGUGACCUAAAGCUCCAAGAGACCUUUUCUUUGUAGUUAACUUCAUUUAUUGUUUUUGCUUAACUUAAAAUCAAUCUUUGCAACCACAAUUCCAUUUUCUUUAAAAGCUAAUUUUUAUAAGGAAAAACACCAUUUUAUUUCCUUCACUAAGUCAACUGUACGAUGAAAACCCAUCCCUGUGGACGAUCCUAGAGCCAUUAUACUAUGUUAGCUAUGCUACCCUAGUGUGAGGUGAUUUAGGUUUUAUAAAUUUUGUUGAUAACACCCAUCUGAGCCAGAAUCAAAUGGCACAACUGAACCAGGGACGAAUCAAAUGGCGCCGCUAUCGAGGAUGGUGCCAAAGUACAUUGACAUGACUUUUGGUGAACACUUGUGAUCUUCAUCACAAGUUUGGUGAUUUUUCUAUUACUAAUUUUUUUCUUUGUUUUUAUUUUAGCUUAUCUUUUAUUUAGUUUUUAGCUAACCUUAACUUUUUCUUAGAAUUGUAUUUCUUCUAUUUUCUUUGUUUUUGUUUCAGUGAUCUUUAGUUGUGCAUGCCCUAUUGGAUAAGAAAUAUUGAGGGAAUACUUGUGAAGAUUGAAAAUCCUCGAGAAACUGAGUUGGAAGUGUGAUUGAACAUCAUGGAUGUUCCACCUGAAGACCAGAAUAGCCAACAUGGUUAAGAGGAUAAUUUCAAAGCAUACCGAUCCAUGAGGGACUGCAUGCAUCCACCUCGUAUGAGUGCACCGUCAUGCAUAGUGCCUCCCACUGAGCAACUAGUAAUCUGACCUCACAUUGUGCCACUCCUACCUACUUUCCAUGGGAUGGAGAGUGAGAAUCUCUACUCGCAUAUUAAGAAAUUCGAGGAGGUUUGUAAUACAUUCCAAGAAGGAGGAGCUUCAAUUGACUUGAUGAGGCUCAAGCUAUUUCCUUUCACUUUGAAGGAUAAGGCUAAGAUUUGGCUUAAUUCUUUAAGGCCAAGGAGUAUCCGAACUUGGACUAAUUUGCAAGCCGAUUUUCUUAAGAAGUUCUUCCUUACCCAUAGGACCAAUGGUUUGAAAAGGCAAAUUUCGAACUUCUCAGCUAAAGAGAAUGAGAAAUUCUAUGAGUGAUGGGAGAGGUACAUGGAAGCUAUUAAUGCUUGUCCUCACCAUGGCUUUGACACAUGGCUCUUAGUGAGUUAUUUUUACGAUGGUAUGUCUUCUUCAAUGAAGCAACUCCUAGAAACUAUGUGUGGAGGAUACUUCAUGAGUAAGAAUCCGAAGGAAGCCAUGGACUUUUUGAGUUAUGUGGCUGAAGUUUUAAGAGGAUGGGAUGAACCAAAUGCUAGAGAGGUGGAAAGAAUGAAGUCUCAACCUAAUGCUAAGGGUGGGAUGUAUGUUUUGAAUGAAGACAUUGACAUGAAAGCAAAGGUUGUAGCUAUGGCAAGGAGAUUGGAAGAGCUAGAAAUGAAGAAGGCACAAAAAGUGGAAGCCAUUUCUGAGACAUCAGUGCAAGCUAUGCCUUGUUCCAUUUGUCAACCUAAUGCUAAGGGUGGGAUGUAUGUUUUGAAUGAAGACAUUGACAUGAAAGCAAAGGUUGUAGCUAUGGCAAGGAGAUUGGAAGAGCUAGAAAUGAAGAAGGCACAAAAAGUGGAAGCCAUUUCUGAGACAUCAGUGCAAGCUAUGCCUUGUUCCAUUUGUCAAUCUUAUGAGUACCUAGUGGAGGAGUGUCCUACAAUUCCAGUAGUGAGAGAGAUGUCUGGUGAUCAAGCAAAUGUUAUUGAUCAAUUCAAGCCUAAUAAAAAUGCUUCAUAUGGCAACACCUACAAUUCAAAUUGGAUGAACCAUCCAAAUUUCUCUUGGAAACCAAAGCUACCUCAAUACACACAACCUGCUCAAGCACCUUAGCAAUCCUCGAAUCUUGAACAAGCUAUUGUGAACCUUAGUAAGGUUGUGGGAGAUUAAAAGUCCAUCAAUGCUCAACUGAAUCAGAGAAUUGACAGUGUAGAGAGUACAUUGAACAAAAGGAUGGAUGAGAUGCAAAAUGAUCUGUCUCAAAAGAUAGACAAUGUCCAAUAUGCAAUCUCAAGGCUUACCAACCUCAACACAGUGCAAGAGAAAGGAAAGUUUAUUUCUCAACCUCAUCAAAAUCCCAAGGGUAUCCAUGAAGUGGAGGCUCAAGAGAGAGAAUCUUCAAAGGUGAGGGAAGUCAAAGCAGUUAUCACCUUGAGGAGUGGUAAAGAGGUUGAUCAACCCACAUCCAAGCCAAAGCAUAAUGAAGAGAGUUUUGUAGAAAAAGAAAAGAGAGGAAAAUAAAGGAAAGAGAAUAGAGAAAAGUACAAAGAAAGAUGACCAUGAGUCUAGUGUGGAUGAAGAGCCCAAGAGGAUAGUGAUCAAGGAAAAUAUGAUGAAGAAACACAUGCCUCCACCUUUCCCCUAAGCUUUGCAUGACAAAAAAGGAACCAAUAAUACAUCGGAAAUUUUUGAAGUAUUGAGGCAAGUGAAGGUCAAUAUCCCUUUGCUAGAGAUGAUCAAACAAGUGCCGACAUAUGCAAAAUUCUUGAAGGACUUGUGCACUGUAAAGAGAGGGUUGAAUGUGAACAAGAAAGCUUUCUUGACCGAGCAAGUGAGUUCCAUCAUACAGUGCAAGUCUCCAGUGAAGUACAAAUAUCCGGGCUACCCUACCAUCUCAGUGAGUAUUGGAGGUACUUGUGUGGAAAAAGCUUUGUUGGACUUGGGAGCAAGUGUGAAUUUGCUACCCUACUCUGUCUAUAAGUAGUUGGGACUUGGAGAGUUGAAGUCAACAUCCAUCACCCUAUCUCUGGCAGAUAGAUCAGUGAAGAUUCCAAGAGAGAUGAUAGAAGAUGUCUUGGUUCAAGUUGACAAAUUCUACUAUCCAGUGGAUUUUGUUGUUCUUGAUACGGAUCCGAUUGUCAAAGGAACUAAUUAUGUUCCUAUCAUACGAAGACCCUUCCUAGCUACAUCAAAUGCAAUCAUCAAUUGUAGGAAUGGAGUCAUGAAACUCACGUUUGUCAACAUGACAUUAGAGCUCAACAUCUUCCAUUUGUACAAGAAGCAUAUCCAUUCAGAAGAAAAAGAAGGUCUAGAGGAAGUGUGCAUGAUUGACACUUUAGUGGAGGAGCAUUGUGAUCGACAAUGCAAGAAGAUUUAGUUGAGAGUUUUGGGGAUCUUGAUGAAGGGUUACUUGAACCCUCAGAUUUGCUUGCUACCCUACUCCAUUGGAGGAAGAGAGAAGAAAUUCUACCCUUAUUCAAUGAGGAGGAGACACAAAGAGCUGCUAAAGAUAAGCCCCCAAAGCUUAUUCUUAAGCCACUACCCACAGAGUUGAAGUAUGCAUACUUGGAAGAAGACAAGAAGUGCACUGUUGUUAUAUCUUUAGCUCUUACCAUUCAUCAGGAGGAUUGUCUACUUGAAGUCCUUAGAAGAAGUAAGAAGGUAAUAGGGUGGCAAAUUUCUGAUUUGAAAGGGAUCAGCCCUUUUGUCUGCACCCAUCAUAUUUACAUGGAGGAUGAAGCUAAGCCAAUUCAUCAACCUCAGAGAAGGUUGAACCCUCACAUGCAAGAAGUGGUGAGAGUUGAAGUUCUUAAGCUACUUUAGGCUGGUAUUAUUUACCCCAUAUCAGAUAGCCCAUGGGUGAGUCCUACUCAAGUUGUGCCAAAGAAGUCGGGGAUCACGGUGGUGCAAAAUGAUAAGGGAAAAGAUGUCUCUACAUGUCUCACUAUAGGUUGGAGGGUGCGUAUCAAUUACAGGAGGUUGAAUGUAGUGACAAGGAAUGACCAUUUCUCGUUGCCCUUUAUUGAUCAAGUGCUUGAGAGGGUCUCUGGGCAUCCUUUUUAUUGUUUCUUGGAUGGCUACUCGAGGUAAUUUAAGAUAGAAAUUGAUGUUGAAGACCAGGAGAAGACCAUUUUCACAUGCCCAUUUAGAACCUAUGCAUAUAGGAGAAUGUCUUUCGGCUUAUGCAAUGCACCCACAACUUUCCAAAGAUGCAUGUUAAGCAUUUUCAAUGAUAUGGUGGAGCAUAUUAUGGAAGUCUUUAUGGAUGAUAUCACCAUAUAUGGAAGUGCAUUUGAUGAAUGCUUGGUCAACUUAGAAGUUGUUCUGAACCGAUGCAUUGAGAAAGACUUAGUGCUUAAUUGGGAGAAGUGCCAUUUCAUGGUACACCAAGGGAUUGUCCUUGGGCACAUCAUCUCCAAGCAAAGCAUUGAAGUUGACAAAGCAAAGGUUGAACUCAUUGUUAAGUUGCCAUUCCCAACAAAUGUCAAAGGAGUAAGGCAAUUCCUUGGCCAUGCCGGGUUCUAUAGGAGGUUUAUCAAGGAUUUCUCUAAGCUUGCAAGGCCUCUUUGUGAAAUAUUGGUGAAGGAUGUUAAAUUCAUAUGGGAUGAUAGAUGCCAAAGGAGUUUUGAAGAAUUGAAGCUAUUUUUGACAACCUCACCAAUAGUGAGGGCUCCCAACUAGCAACUGCCCUUUGAGGUAAAGUGUGAUGUCAAUGACUUUGCUAUAGGAGCUGUUCUUGGGCAAAGAGAAGAUGGAAAACCUUAUGUGAUCUACUAUGCGAGCAAGACAUUGAAUGAGGUGCAAAGAAACUACAUAACCACCGAGAAAGAAUUGUUAGCUGUAGUUUUUGCCUUGGAUAAGUUUCGUGCUUACUUGGUGGGAUCCUUCAUCGUGGUUUUUAUUGAUCACUUUGCUUUGAAGUAUCUAUUGACUAAGCAAGAUGCUAAAGCAAAACUGAUUAGAUGGAUUUUCUUGCUUCAAGAGUUCAAUCUCCAGAUCAAAGACAAGAAAAAAAUGGAGAAUGUGGUAGUAGACCACAUUUCAAGGCUAGCUAUCGCACAUAAUUCCCAUGCUUUGCCCAUUAAUGACGAUUUUCUAGAGGGGUCUCUCAUGUUGGUGGAAGUUGUCCCUUGGUACGCUCACAUUGCUAACUACCUGGUCACAAGAGAAGUUCCAAGUGAGUGGAAAGCACAAGAUAAGAAGCACUUCUUUGCAAAAAUUCAUGCCUACUAUUGGGAAAAGCCAUUUCUAUUCAAGUAUUGUGCGGAUCAGAUAAUAAGGAAGUGAGUUCCUGAAGAAGAGCAACAGGGGAUCCUCAGUCAUUGCCAUAAAAAUGCAUGUGGAUGCCACUUUGCUUAUCAGAAGACAACCAUGAGGGUGCUGCAAUCGGGUUUCUGUUGGCCAUCACUUUUCAAAGAUGCCCACACCAUGUGCAAGAGUUGUGAUCGAUGCCAGAGGCUUGGGAAGUUAUCAUGUAGGAACAUGAUGCCUUUGAACCCCAUUUUAAUAGUUGAUCUUUUUUAUGUUUGGGGCAUUGACUUCAUGGGACUUUUCCCUAUAUCUUUUGGCUACUCUUACAUCUUGGUGGGAAUAGAUUAUGUUUCUAAGUGGGUUGAGGCAGUCCCAUGCAAACACAAUGACCAUAGAGUGGUUCUCAAGUUUCUUAAGGAGAACAUCUUCUCAAGAUUUGGGGUGCCCAAAGCCAUAAUUAGUGAUGGGGGUACUCAUUUUUGCAACAAGCCUUUUGAAACUCUCCUAGCCAAGUAUGGGGUGAAGCAUAAGGUAGCUACACCUUACCACCCUCAAACUAAUGGGCAAGUUGAGUUAGCAAACAAGGAGAUUAAAAACAUAUUGAUGAAGGUGGUGAACACAAACAGAAAAGAUUGGUCAGUCAAGCUCUUCGAUUCACUAUGGUCAUGUAGAACAGCUUACAAGACCAUUAUCGGGAUGUCUCUUUAUCACCUAGUCUAUGGAAAAAAUGCCAUCUCCUUGUGAAAUUGGAAUACAAAGCUUGGUGGUCAAUCAAGAAGCUCAACAUGGAUUUGAGCAGAGCUGGGUUGAAGAGGUUCUUAGACCACAAUGAGAUGGAGGAAUUGAGAAAUGAUGCCUACAUCAAUUCAAAAAUUGUAAAAGAAAAAUUGAAGAGGUGGCAUGAUCAGUUGAUUUCCCGCAAGAAUUUUCAAAAUGGAUAAAGAGUCUUGCUCUAUGACUCUAAACUCCACAUCUUUCCGAGCAAGCUGAAAUCAAGGUGGAUAGGUCCUUUUACCAUUCACCAAGUGCAUUCAAAUAGAGUAGUGGAACUACUCAACUCCAACAACAUCGGGAGCUUCAAAGUGAAUGACCAUUGUCUCAAGCCCUUUGUAGAGUCUUUUUUCUCGCGACAAGGAGGAAUUCAUCCUCCUUGAUCCACAUCAAGCUUGACAAGACCAGUUUUUUUUUAUGGACUUAGUCUUUCUAAAGACUAUCGAGUCCAUAACUUUUUAUUUUAUUUUUUAUUUGAGAGUUUUUCGGUAUUAUUACUUGUUUUGUUUUUUAUUUUUCGUUUUACUUUUAUUUGGUUUGAUUUAACUUAGAUUUUUUAUGAUCAAUUGCAGGGGGGAUUUCAAAUAGAGGAAAAACCAAGAUAAUUCGCACACCCUGCGAAAAUUUCGCAAGGCAUGCGAAAUUUAUGGCUCAUUUCGCAUGGGAUGCGAAAUUUCGCACACCCUACGAACCAAUUUCGCACACUUUGUGAAAAUAAACCAACCCUACGAAAUCAUUUCAAAUACUCUACGAAAUUUUCGCAGAGCAUGUAAAAAAUUUCGCAGACCAAACACCAUUUCGCAUACUAUGCGAAAAUGUAAGGGGUCUACAAAACCAUUUCGCACCUCCAAAGCCAUUUCGCACAUUGUGCAAAAAUGAAAAGUCGCCCUAUCAUCCAUUUUUAAACCCCUUGAGCCCUGAAAUCCCCAUUUCGCAAGCACCCCUGUCCUUGCGAAUCCCUCAUUUUCCUCUGCCACCUUGCGACCUUGUCCCUCUCCAUUUGAUAUCGUGCCCUGCGCACAUCUCAUUUCAAAGACUCGCACUCUGCGCCCUCUCAAAGCACGAACCCAAGGCUCACAUUCCAUUUCCGACAUGGCACAGACCCGAGGAGCCCUUCCCGCCCCUUCAUCGAGACGCACACCAAGGUAGAGAGCCUCUUUUGCUCAGAUGCCAAGUGAUUCUCCAUUUCAGGCCACGGAGGCCCUGCGGAUUCCACAUUCCAAGGGUAGAACAGCCACUGGUCCUUCCUCUUCUAUUCCUCAGCGUAGAUAUGAGACGAGGAGACCACCUACUACACAAAGGGCGACUACUUCGCGCCAUGAGAAUUCGGUACGACACCCUCCUGCCAAGAGGGCCAGGACUUCAGGCCCAGGCGAGUCAUCCAAAGCUUCACAGCCUGAGCCUCCUGCAGAUUCCGAGGUUCCUACUGACAUAUCAUCGGAGUCUAUUAUCAAACGCCCGAUGCUCACAGCACCGCCCAUUGAGGGCAACUCUGAUUGUAGAGCGAGACCUUUCCACUUGGAGCUAUAUUUUAAUUAAGAGGCCAUGCCACAGCAGCCUGAGCUCCAAGACUCUUAUGGCUUACUACAGAGGUACCAUCUUGAGGACCUUAUGACUCCUCGUGAGUUCUUUUAUCCCAGAGUAGCACUAGACUUUUACCAGUCCAUGACUACUCGUGGCGUCCCGAGUCCUACCGCGAUGCACUUCACCAUUAAUGGACGUCAUGGUAUCCUCGAGGCCAGACAUAUUGGAGAGGCUCUACAGAUUCCUUUCGAGCUAGAGGACCCAUCUGUUUUCUGCCAAUGGUCCCCAAUAUCUCAGAGGGACAUGGUCCAUAUUUUAUCCAGGGGGACAUCUACAUAUUCGAUCCUUCUACGGAAGGAGCUUCGACCUGGGAUACUCCUCGUAGAUGUGGUGCUACUUUCCAACCUCUUUCCCUUUUAGCAUUCGAUACAUAGGCGAGGAGCUAUUUUGGACGCUUUAUUCUGUAUAUCAGAGGGCUUCUACUUUGGCCCGCACCACUUGAUCAUGGUUUCCCUCAUCCAUUUUGAGGAGAAGGUCCAUAGAAAGAAGCUUCAGAGGGCGAACACCAUUCCAUUACUAUUCCCGAGGUUGCUCUACUAGAUCUUGGAGUACAUGGGCUUUCCUACUGAGCCUCGGCUUGUGUGCCGCCGCCUUUGUCAAGAGCGAUCCACUCUCGACAAAUGGAAUCAGUUGGCGGGCUAUUCUACACCUCCAGGAGCCCCUCCCAUGGUAGCACCUCUAGUGUCCCCACAGGCAGAGUAGGGCAAGCUCCCGGUAGAGACUGCACCCCUAGUGCCCACACCUGAGGCUACUUCUGCUGUUCCGCCUACGACUCCUACUGUUCCACCAGUUGGUCCUUUUACAUCUGAGUCUUCCAUCAACAUCUCGACUUCGGAGUUUCGCGCCCUUGUGCAUACCUUUCAGACACUCACCACCACACAUACUGCUCUCUUCUAGAAAAUGGCUGAGAUGCGUGCCCAUCAGGACCAGCAGACUACUAUACUCCGCCAAAUUCAACAGCACCUGGGACUUCUGCCUCUGCCUCAGCUUGACCUUCCCACAUCAUCAGAGCCUCUAGCUCCAGUUGAGGAUACUAUUCCACCUGAGGACACUACCACAGUAGAGGUUCAGAUUCCACCACCUCAGGAGGCCACCACAGCUACAUUAGAGGAUGCAUCAUCUCCACCUGAGGCUCCCACUACUUGAUCAUAGGACAUCUCUUUAUCUUAUUGUAUUUACAUAUUAUAUUACUGGAGAUUUGUCUUUGUUUUGAUACUUUAUAUUCUGGCAUUGAAUGUAUUGCCUAAUGAUAUCUCAAUUGUACUUUCUCAUAUUAAUAUAUAGACAUCAAUUUUUUUUAGUAUACUUAGGAUUUUUCUAUUUACUCUACUCAUUACUCUUUUGUUUUUUUUUUUUUACUCAUGUGGUUUCUCCUAUACGACUCAGACUCCAUUUCACUCAGGAGGUACCACUUCUUCCCUUUAUUUUCAAUUGCUCUUGAAACAUUGAGGGCAAUGUUGAUCUUGGUUGGAGGGAGAGUUGAGGAAGGAAGUGAUUACUACUCAAAAAGUGCUAUUUCAUAGCUUGUAAUUAACUCUUUUAAAACACUUUUGAGUAGUAGUUAUCACCUUUUAACCCAAUUAACAUAUUAAGGACCCUUGCAAUCAAUUCUAAUCAAAUUGUGUUAAGUUUUGGUAUUUUGAUAGCUUUUUUAUCACCAAAGCAAUCCGAGAUUGAGGAUAUUUAUUUGGAAUCCAUGGCAAAAGAUGUUUGGACAGGACGUCCGGACACACCAUCGGAGGGCGGCGGAACGUGGGCUGUGGCAGGCUGUCGGAAUGACGUAGCAAGGCUUGUGCACUUUAGCCAAUGAUCGGGAUAACAUAUCCGAAAUUCUGCUCCGCCGACAUUCCACCCGGAUGUCUCACAUCCGGAAUUCUGCUCCGCCGACAUUACACCCAGAUGUCUCACAUCCAAAAUUCUUCUCCGUCGACAUUCCAUCCGAAUAUUUCACAUCCGACGCUUGACGCCGGAUGGGAGAGGAGGGCGUUUCAACUUCCCCGGUCAGACAUAUCCGAAUCCUUUGAUAACGCUUACCCGGAGAGUUUCGCAGCCAUUUUGCACAGUGCCGCGGUGUUCUCUUGAAGCUUCCCGAUAUGUGCGACCGACAUUUUGAGAUAUUUUGCUUUAGAUAUUUGAUGUCUAAAUCCCCAAACUCUCCUUGUAACCCACCAAUUAUAGGAUUCCUUAGUUAUUAAGUUUGGAAAAAUGGUGAAUAACCCCUUAUAUAUAGUUUGCAAUUUUCAUAAAAAAGAUAUGUAGAAUCUCGGGAGCUUGUUCCCAGAGAGACGCAUCCUUUGUACAGUUUUGGAAGGAAGUAAAAUACAGAGCACUUGCUCUGCUUUUCAUAUAUAUUUUUGUUUUCUCGUUCUUUUUAUUUCUAGCCAAUCAAAGUCUGAGGAUUUUUCCUCAGAGGAUGAGAGGCUAGGCUCUUCGUCUCUUGGAGUGAAGAAAACUAGGUAAGUUUCCACAUGCAUAAAUUGAAAGUUUUGUUGUUUUAGUUUUUAAUGAAGAGAAAGUGUGACCCGUUAAUGGUUUUUAUCUUUUUAGUUAACUUAAAACGCCUUUAAAUCACCCGGGCCAACACUUGAUAAGGCAAGUGGUCUCCAUCCAUUGAGAUGCACUAGUUUAUCUCUUGCGAGCCUUUGGGAGGUGGUUUGAAGGUAGGAUUUUCUAGAAUAACCAACACUUGAUAAGCUUUUGGACUCUAAGGAGACAUCCAUUAGUUAUCUCUUGCGAGCUUUUGACGGGUAAUCCAAGGUUAAAGAUCACCUUGAAUGGCAAGUACUAGGUGAGAGGUAUGAGCCAUUGCAAGAUGCAUUAGUGAGAGGGAUUUAGUGUUUGAACCCAUUAAAGGGAAGCAUCUGUACCACACCGGUUCGGGAAAUAACUAUAUGUUAAAUCCCCAAUGAGAGGAAAAGAAACAAGUGACCGGAACUCCCUUUUUGUAUAAGGAACCUGAGCCUAGUGAUCUAAACUCCAAGAAACACUUUUCUUUGUAAGUAAAAUCAGUUACUAUUUUUGGUUAGUUUAAAACCAAACCUUUUUCAUUCAAACAUCUUUAUGUUUUCUUUUAAAGCUAACCUUGAAAUGAAAAGGCACCAAUUCAUAUUUGAAUUAAUAUCAAUUGUGAAGUGAAAACCCAUCCCAGUGAACGAUCCUAGAGCCACUAUGCUAUAGUAGCUUUGUCUUUGCUACCCUAGUUCAUGGUUUAAUAGGUUAUAAAUUUUGUUGAUUACUCCCACAAUCAAAGGAGCACCAGUUGGACAUGAAUCAACUGAGACACUAAUUGGGCACAAAUCAGGAAGUUUUGUUAAUAAUGCUAGGUUAAUUUGUUAAUUUAGUUACUUUCUGCUUAAUUUUAAAAGUUUUCACUUUACUUUCCAUAGUUAUUAAGGAAAAAUUCUCAAAAUGAAAUGGGAGAAAUUGAAUUCUUACAUUUUUACUUGAAUUUUAGAAUUUGUAUUAUGCUUAUUGAAGCUGAUGAAUUAUUGAAACUCCUAUUGAAUUCAACCUUAUUUCUUCCACUUUAAUCUUACCACACACGGUGCACAUUAGGUUCCGAUUAUAAGAGGUGCGUUCUUAGCCUAUUGGAGGUUGGUCAAUUUGUUAAAGUUUGAGAAAGAUCUAGGUUAGGGGAGAGAGAAUAGUCUGACAUACUAUAAUCGAAAACUAAUAAACUUAACACUUAGAUCUUUGUGGAAGAGUAAGGAUUGGACCUUUGGGAGUGGAAAUUCGUUUGAUGCUUAAAUUUGCAUAAUGCUUACACUUUAUAAAUUGUGAUUAGGCAAGAGAUUUGAUGACUCUUGUUCAAGGUUGGGUUUUGCCUCUUUGAUGUUCCAUGAGAGAGUAUAAUCCUCAUCAUGCCACUUGAAAUUUUUUUUGGAGUGAUUAACAUGAUUUUGUAAAUUACUUUACUGUCUAUUUUUUUUUUAUCUCUCCUUCAUUGCUAAUGGACUAGCAAUAUGUCAGUUGAGGGGAGUGAUUACUACUCAAAAAGUACUCUUUUAUAGCUUGAAACUAACUGUUUUGAACACUUUUGAGUAGUAGUUAAUACCUUUUAACUCAAUUGGCACAUUAAAGAACCUAGCAAGGGUUACUAAUUAGUUUUUGGCAAGUUUUGGUGUUUUUGGUAGCUAUUUGAUCAUUGAAACAAGCCAAGAAUGAGGGAGAAUUUUGUGAAGUCCAUGGCAAUGCAAGUUAAAGCUCAAAUACAUGAAGAAUCCAAGCUUUGGAGCACUUCAUAGCCCUUUCCAAAGCCAAUCAGAGAUGCAAGGAAGAAAACCAGAGGAAGAAAUCCAACAAUUAGCAUUUUCGCAUGGCUGUGCGAAAUUUCGCACACCAUGCGAAACCACAAGAGGCAGCCAAAGAAUUUUGCACACUAUGCGAAAUUUCGCAUGGUAUGCAAAAUCUUCUUGUGCACCAACUCCGUUAUAUUUUUAUCUCAAAUAUUUUGUGUAAUUUCCUAGUUUCUCCUUGUAACCAACCUAGAUAUUUUCUUUUAUAUAUUUUUUAGGUAACAUCAUCUAUAGGGGGAGAGACAUAAGGAGGAUAUGGAUGUUUUUCAUAGAACACUUGUAAAUUUCCGGUAGUAAGAAAUAUACAGAGCUUUUUGCUCUACCUUACCUUCUCAUUUUGUUUUCACUUGUCUUUCUAGCCAAACAACCUCUGAGGAUGAUUUCUUAGGGAAUGAGUGGCUAGGUUUUACGUUUCUUGGAGUGAGGGAAGCUAGGUGAAAGACCCGAAUGCUAAGGUGGGAGUUGUCCUUGCUUUAAAUGAAAGUAGUUGUUAAACAUUAAUGGUUUUUAUUUUAAGGUUUAGCUUUAAAUCCCUUAAAAACAUCUUGAAUGGUCAAUACUUGGUAGGCUUUUUGGAUUCUAUGGAUGCUUAUUGCUAGAUCCCUGGAUGUCUAUUAGUUAUCAUUUAUGAGCCAUUGGAAGGUGGUUCAAGAUGAGGGUCUUUAAUGUUUGAAGCCAUUAAUAGGAAACAAUUACCAUUCUUUCAUGAAUCCUUUGGAUCAAAUCUUAAUUGCUAAAUAUAAAACUAGUUCGGGAGAUAACCAUCCUUUAUGUUAUUAUGCCCAACGCGAGGAGAAGAUUCGGAAUCUUCCCCUUUGUCUAAGGAACCCGAUCCUAGUGACCUAAAGCUCUAAGAGACCUUUUCUUUAUAGUUAACUUCACUUAUUGUUUUUUCUUAACUUAAAAUCAAUCUUUGCAACCACAAUUCCAUUUUCUUUGAAAGCUAAUUUUCAUAAGGAAAAUCACCAUUUUAUUUUCUUCCCUAAGUCAACUGUACGAUGAAAACCCAUUCCCAUGGACGAUCCUAGAGCCACUAUACUAUGUUAGCUAUGCUACCCUAAUGUGAGGUGAUUUAGGUUUUAUAAAUUUUGUUGAUAACACCUGUUUGAGCCAGAAUCAAAUGGCGCAACUGAACCAGGGACGAAUCAACAACUUAUAUGGGAGGGACACAAGUUUAAUUGAUUUGCAUUUCAACGUUAUAUAUAGGUAUGUUUUGGAAGAUUUGUUCUGGAAAUACUGCACCAAGUACGAUUCUUUUUGUCUUGAGUGGGUCUACUUGCAUGCCAAUUAACGAGUGGAAAAGUAGGAGCACCUACCUCAUGCUCGCGGAACCGAAGGUCAGUGAAGUGGGGCUCCUUUUGGCCUCUUGUGUUUCUAUUCCAACCAAGGCGGCGUAAGGAAAAACAACAAUAUGUUUGUGCUAAAUAUCAACGCAUGAUAGAUGUUUUUGUUUUUUGGUAUGUCAAGGCUAAUGAAUGAAAUGCUUUAGCUUGUUUUGUGACUGGAACUGCAAAUGUCCAAAUUGGAGUAUCUCCAUUUCUCACUUCGGAUGGUUAACUUAUAAACAAGAUAUAGGAAACAUGUGAACAUCUUGAGGAACAAUUUGAAUUAUUCAUUAGAAGUCCUGGGUUGAGUUCCAAGAUUUAAAUUAGACCCCUCUAGCAGCUUCAGGGGUACCUAGCAACCUAUAGCAUAUUAAUGAAGAUUUAGGAUUUAGACUCUAGAAUACAAAUUAAUAUGUAUCUCAUGCUUUGACUAGCUUCCCUACAUAUGCACAAAAUGGAGAUGACCUAAAAAAAUAGCAGAAUCUAGCUUCCCUACAUAUGCACAAAAUGGAGAUGACCCAAAAAAUAGCAGAAUUUCCUUAGUUUCUGUGGUUAAGGUGAUUCUCCGCUUAAUAUCACAUUGACUCAUUAUGCAAAAUCAACUGAGCUAAUUUUGUUUAUUUAUUUAAUGUCAAAUAGGAACUCCUAAUUAACCUAACCCUUGGCCUGUGUAAAUUGAUUUCACAUGCCCAAUGUUGAAGUAGAAGUCCAUAUUUUGAAUUUUAUUUUUGUAAAGGUAAGGAAAAUGAAGCAUUGUGUAAUUAUAAAAAUAACUUCAUUGGAAUUCACAAGGUUCACCCAAAAUGGAGCUACAUCCGUAUUCUAUCCUGCAGUAGACUAUAUAGAUUGUACAAUAGUAAAUUGCAAAUACAAUUAAUAAGUCUUGUGCUUCCUUACUAAUAAUCCUUUGACAUGAACAUUGCAGCACUAAGGUCCUCUUGGGAAGACACCUUGCACCCAUGAGAGCACGAAGAGGAAGCAAGGCAGAGUCAUGGGUGCAAUGUCAUGACUUGUUGUUGCACCAAGAGAGGCUUGGUGAUGGCAUGGUGUUGCAGUAGCAAGAAUGUUGCCUUGGUAGGGACAUAAUCUAGGGAUAGAUGCCAAGAAAGGCUUAGCACUCACAUGAGUUGCACAAAGAUGAAUGUAAUAGAGCAUCAGAGAGACGUCUUGGCAAGUAAAUGAAUGGAUCCAAGAGGCAACAACAUGAGGAGUUUCAAAUGGAUAAGGAAUGAGUCAAAGACAUUUGAAAGCUACAAGUUGGAUUCUAAUUACGAUUGCAAUUUGAGUUUGAGUAGGAGUUUAGAUUCUGAUUGUAAUUGUAGUAUGAGUUGGACUAGGAUUGCUUAUCCCUAGUCAAAAUAGGAGUGGUUCGUGUCACACCCUAUGAAAAGAGUUUGAGUAGGGACUAGGAUUGCUUACUCCUAGUCAAAUAUGGAGUAGGUGGUGCCACACCUAUAAAAAAAAAGGGACAACAUGAGAGAGAGAGAGAGAGAGAGAGAGAGAGAGAGAGAGAGAGAGAGAGAGAGAAAGAGAUAAUGAAUUCACUAAAGAUAUUGUGGGAGUUUUUCUUUGUUACGUCUUGUAUUAUUACUUAGAAUAGGAAUAAAAUACAAGUUUGGGCUAGAGCCCCAUAAUUAAUCUCGUGUGCCUUUGUGGUUAUUCUUUAUUUGUCAUCUCGUGUGGAUUGGAUUACAUUGACUUAGAGGGCUUCUAAGCACCACCUUUGUGGGUUAUUAUUUAUUUUCCAUUUCUUGUGGAUUAGAUUAGGUUGACUUUGAGGGCUUUUAAGCACCACCUUUGUGGGUUAUUCUUUAUUUUCCAUAUCGUGGGGAUUGGAUUAGGUUGACGAUGAGAAAAAUUAUGUGGGAAAUUUGUGUUGGGACACUUAUCAUAACCAGGUAAAAUCUGCCAAGUCCUUUGUAAUAUCUUCAACAAAUAUUUCAGACUAGUUCUUCACCAUAAACAUCAUAUUGUGUUUUGUUUUUCUCCUGGAUUCUGAGUUGAAUUGUUUCAAGUCAAUUGAAUGCAUCUGAAUAUUAUUAGCUUGUUUGAAGGCCUGGUGAUUUUCCAUUUAACUUUACUUUCUUUAGGUUAUGCUCACUAUAAGAAAAAUGAGAAAUAAUGACGCUUUUUACGCGUUAAGAAAGGCAACAGAUGAUGCUUCUCUAAAGCGUCCUCUUCGGCUCUGUCAUUAUAUGUGUUAGCCAAUAAUGACGCUUCUAGGAAGUGCCAUCUUUGAAUAAUGUUAAUAACGACACUCGUAAAAAGUGUCAUCUUUAAACAUAUUCUGGUCAAAUAAUUUUUACAAAAUUAGUAAUCUUCAAGCCGUUUCUGAAUCAUAUCUGAGCCUAUUUCUGGGGACCAGAAAACCAUCUUUUUUCCAUUCGCCUGAGAGGUCUGAUUAGCAUUUCUGGAAUCAAUCUCUAAACCCAAGCUUCCCUCAUCUACCCAUUUAACCCUCAUGCCCUCCUGUUUGAACAACUUUCCCACUAUAUACACAAAUUUUUUACCUUCUGUUGUUGGUAUUCGACCUCUUCCCAUUCCCAGCACAGAAUCCACCAUUAGUGCCACUUUGUGAAUAAAAUCAUCGAACCAGAUCUUUCGGGCGGAAGAUGAGCUCCAGAGAAAUAAAAUUUUUGGGGUCUUCCCAGCAUGAAAGUCAUAGGUAGCAUUAAUGACAUCAAGAAAUGGGGCACUGUUGAGAAAAAACAUGUUCCCAUCAACCACCCAAGAAUUGUACCAGACUCCAAACACUUCUGGAUUACAUAUGCCUUUACUAAGAUAUAUUUCUUGAUCUCCAUAUCAGAAUCUUGGAGACUCUUCAUUUUAUGAGCUCUGACACUACUGUGAAAUUGGUCCACAUCAAUCACAGGAUGACCCCUUCUAGCAAGAUCAAGCAGGAAGUCUGAAUUCGGGCCCAUAAAAAUGUAGUUCUGAAUAUUGAAACUCUCAAAGUGGCACAACAAAUUCCUUAUGACUCUUUCAGAUGCUCCAAACAGGCUCACAAGUAUAAUGGUAUCCUGUUUUUGCACAGAGUAAAGAAAAUAUCCGAGUUCUUCAAAACUCCUUACAACUAUUCCAGGAUGUACUUCUUUGAAACAGAAAUCGUACCACUUUAGCUUAGUCAGAGGUUGAAUCUAAAAUAACAAAACCCAAACUGAAAUCAAAAUCGAAAUCAACCCUAAUAGAUUUCAGAAACAACAAAUUAAAAGAGUAAAGCACAAAAGGGGGAAAACACAUAUGAAGCAAUCUCCAUACAAGCCCUAACCUUAGAUAAACCCAAAAAAAAAAAUCAAAGCAGAGAGUUACCAUAGAGCAUCUCUGUUUCAAGCUUAGAAAAUGUUUAAUGCCAUUGAUAACUAGUUGGCUAGUGGUGGACUUCAAGCUUCUCUAUUUCGGUGUUAGUAGCUCUCAAUGGCUAUGGUGAGAACAAAGAAAUGAGAGGCUUAGGGUUUGGGAUGUGAGGUUAUUGAUGAUGAUGAGGAUAAAGUUAUGGGCUCUUGGAGGGGUUAGGGAAAUUGAAGAUGGCUGAGAGUAAAGGCUAGGGUUUUUGAGAUAGUUAAUAGCUUUUUAGGGUGUGACUGUCCAUAGAUAGAAGAUAAAUGAGGGUGUGAGAAUUUAUAGAUCUCUAGGUGAUAUGGCGGGUGUGAGAAUGAAAUUUUAGAGGGAAUUGUGUGUUUGGUAGAAAUUUCACACAUGCAUAUAUAAUGUUUCAGAACAUGGCACUUUAAAAAUACGACAAGGAAGAAAUUAUUUAUUGACGCUUAAAUAAAGCGCCAAGGUCUCCAACAUUUUUGCAAUCAAUGACGUUUGUAAAAGGUGCCAUUGAAUAGGAGUGCCAUUGCUUUCCCACAAAGCAUCAUUGUUAAUCAAGCCUUUAAAAAACGCCAAGAUAUGUUGCCACUUAGGUUAAAUAUUGACGCUUUUAAAAAACGCCAAGGAAAAAAACGUCAUUAUUCAUGUUUUUUGUAGUAGUGGCUUGAUUCCUAAAAAGUAAAGGAAAGCAAAAAGUAAAAAAAUAAAAAUGUGGAGAGUUAGGACAUGCGUUAUCUAAUUGUCCUAGUCCCAAAUAUAUUAAGAAAGUCAUGUAGGUUACUUGGAGUAACGAGUCAAGUAAAGCAAGCCUUCUAGUGUUUAAGACAUUAGAUAUUACCGAACUGAUUAUGUCAUUAAUGUAUUGCAUUUGUUGUUUCUAAUAUAUAGAAGAAGAUGAAAUUAUUGGAAUAAGUGGGAAAUAGGAAUAAAUCCAAGGUACCAAAAAGUCACUUUAUCUUAGAUGUUGUUGGAAACAUAAGUGAUUUCACAAUAACGACUAUGAGACAAUCAAGGAUUAAUAAGAUAGACUUUAUAUGAUAUACCUCCCAAUUAGAGCCUAAAAAUAUGGAUGAAGCACUUAGAGAUGAAUCUUCAAUUUUUGUACUAUAGGAAGAAUUAAAUCAAUUUGUUAGCUAUUCUUUGGAUAUUUGAUUCAUCACAAGCUACAAAUCACUUUUGAUGACCAAACACGAAACUAAGAGGAUUGGGCCCAAUUCGAUGCCUAUCAACAAUGAUUUGUAUUCCACCUCAUUAAUUAUUCAAAGUUGGGAAGCUAGGUCUAACCACUUUCUCUACCUGUUCACCCUUAGAGGAGCAGAAGAAAAUUCUAACUUUGGUGCCUAAUGCCUUUGACAAUCUUUCGACAAAGAGAGUUCACUAAUUACUUUGAUUAUUUCUCUGUUGGUCACUGGGGGACAAGACUUUUGUAAUGAAGUCAACUAGAACUUGCCCUUUGAGGGCCAUUCAUGGACGAUAUUACACCAUGAAUUCCCUUAGGUCAUGUUUGGUAUGUGAGAAUGAGGAGUGGAAUGGACAUCUUAUUCAUUUUUUCAUCUAUUCAAAUGUUGGGAUAACUCAAGUGACCAUGAGAAUGAAAUCAAGAAUGAUUCAAGGGAAAUGAAAUCUUACUUAUAAGUGUGAUUUCAAUUAAUCUCUAAUAGAAAUUAUUUUGAAUCAAUAGUGCAAGUUAUUUUUAAAAACAUUUUUCCAAAAUUAAAAAAAUCAAUUUUUUUUUUUUCGAUAAGUUGUUUUUAAAAGGAUUUUUUUUAUUUUGUAAAAAGAAAAUUGUAAUUCAAUUUAUAUAAUAUAAACUAAAUUUUAUUUUAUUCAAAAAGAAAUAAUUUUUUAAUUAUAAAUAAAUUAAAAAUAAAUACUUUUAAUAAAAUAUAAAUAGUAUUAUUAUAAUAAAAUCAUAAAUAAAUUUAAUUUUUUUUAUAAAUAUUAUAAAAAUAUGGAUAUUAACAUUGGAUAAUUGAUUUAUUUUGUUAAAAUAAAAAAUAAUAAUUUUUAAUAUUAUUUUAUGUUAAAUGAAUUUUAAAAUAAAGAAAGUUUAAUUAUUUUAAGGUAUAGAAGAGCCAAAUUUUGCAUUACAUACAUAACAAACAAUAUUUAUUAGAAACAUUUCUCAAGGAGAAUCUUAUUCCAUCUCACAAAGAUACUCGUUUAUUCGAUGUUUGACCAUCCGUAACAAUCAUGUCAAUUCUACUGAUUUAAUAAUUCCUUUACAUUUAUUACUCACUUAUGAACAUGGUAUUGUGAUUUAUUUAUUUAUUUGAUGUAUAAUUAAUUAAUCAAUUUUUUAAAUUUCAAAUUAUUUUUAAAAACUAUUCAUUAAGGAAUUUAAAGCAUUAAUUAUGUCUAUUAUUUUUUAUAGUCAUUAUAUAUAUAUUGAGUUUUAAUUUAUUUUUAAAAAUUAUUAAACUUAUUAAUAAAUUCAAUAUAAAGUCUCGUUUCAUUUGAAAUUCAUUUCUUUAGUGAAAAUUUUGAAAAAAAAAUUGUUAUUUAUUUUACUUUGUUUUAAAAAAAUUGUUUCUAGAGAACAAUAAUCAAAUAAUGGUAUGAAUUUUUAAAAACAAUUUUGUUUUUAAAUCAUAUGCCCAAAUAAUUUUUUUUUAUUUAGCAAAAAACUUUGUUGUAGUAUGUGGCUCAUAUUGAGGGAAAGACAUAUAUGGAGAAAAAUGUGCAAAUGUUGGAGUGGAGCGGAGUGGAAUGACGACAUUUGUCAUUCAAACUUGUAUUUUUAUUGUUAAGGGUGACCGAUAGGUUGGUACGGUUUAGGGGUAUUUUUGGAAUUUCAUUACCUGAGGGUUAGUAUAAAUACCAUUUUAUGUAACCCUAAUUUUACAUAUAAUGUAAGUUUUCUUCCUUGUUCUUGUGGACAUAGGCAAUCCGUCGAACCACGUUAAAUCUGUGUGUUUUUUUUUCUUUUUUCUUUUUCUCUAAUUUCUUCACCAGGAAUCGUUACACUAAGAUCAACAAACUCUCAAAGAUGAUUUUUAAAAUGAAAAAAAUAAUGUAUAGUGUGAGAAUUUUUUAUUUUUUAUUUUUUUAAAAUGAAAAUAAAAAAUUGCUUUAAGGUAAAAGUGUGGAUAUUAUUGUUAAUUUAUUUCAUUUUUCAUUUUCAUUUCCAUUGUUACCUACAAUUGAAAUGGAAACAACUAAUCAUUACAACCUUACAUUCUUAUAUGCAUCCAAAUACAAAAAUUGAAAUCACCAAAUUCAUAUUCAAGGCAAAAUAGGAAUGAAAACAAAUAUUCAUUCUCAUUCUUUAUUCCCACGUGUCAAACAUGACCUCAAAGUUAUAAACAUGAACAAGAAGUCCUUGAAACACCAAUGAUCUCUUCUGGUAUAUAUAUGAGCUUGAUUGACAACUGUUUUAAAUACAGUUUUUUUUUUUUUUGUUUUCAAAAUCAAAACAAAUUUAUUUUUAUUUUUUAUAAAUAGUAGUUUUUUAAUAUUUUUUUUAAACCUUAUUAUGAAAAUAGGAUGUUUUCUAAUAUCAUAUUUUAAUUAUUUUCAAUUAUUUUCCCUUCUUUUAAGGAGGGCUAUUUUAAAAAUAUGAAAAAUGAUACAAAAUAAAGCAUUACAAAUAAAAAUCAUUUUUAAGAAAUAUAUGAAAAUAAUUUGAGAACAUUUGAAGUUCCUUAAUUAAACUUUUGUUCUAGAAAAUGCAAGAAAACUGUUUUUGAAAAUUGUUUUCAUAAUGAUAUGCAUUGAUCGUUUAAAAUUUAAUUACAUGAUAAAAAGACCUAUGUAAAAACCAGAGUUAUAUAAUCAGUCAUAGAUCAAAUCUACUAAAUAUGAAAAGUAAGUACAUAGUUGUAUAUGACUUAGAUGGAGCCUUCUCCGAAUGACAUUCUUUAGUCGGUACUCAUAUUUUUUUGUUUCGUGUCUUCAACAUAACACCUCAUGAUCCUUAAUAAAUCACCUGAAAACUAUAUUAGCACCUUAUUGUUUAAUAUUUCUCUAAAUUUUUUUAUUAAGCAAAUAAAUUCCAAAUUUAAAAUGACAAAUAAAAUUUAUUAAUUUUUAAAAAUAAUUUAAAACUCAAAAACCAAUUUAAUUGAUAUUAAAAGUCAUGAAACUUAAUAAUAUUAGAAAGUCAUGUAUCCAAAUUUAUUUUAAAUGACUUGUUUAAUUUCUUGUUUAUAUAUAUUAUAUUUUUAUAAUUUUUUUUACUAUACAAAUAAAUUUUAAAUUAAACAAAACUUAAUGCGUUGAAUUCAUUAACGAGUCUAAUAAUUUUUAAAAGUUACUUAAAAUUUAAAUACUAAAUCAAUUAGUACCACAAAUUCAUGGAAAAAAAUUGAUUUAUUACUACUAUAUUGUUUCUCUAUUGCAUAGAACCAUUAUUUUUCAAUUUUUUCAUUUGGCAAAUGAACAUCAAAUUAAACAAGACUAAGUGUAUUAAAUUCAUUAAUGGGUCUAGUAAUUUUUUAAAAUAAUUUAAAAUUCAAAUAUUGAUACUCCAAAUUAAACAAGACUUAGGUGGUGUUUGUUUUUUGGUUGAAUAGAAAAAGGUAAAAUAUUUGACUUUUUCUAUUUAGUUAAAAGUAACUUGUUGACAUCGUCCAAUAUAAUUAAAGUAAACCUAUUGAGGGCAAGUUCACUUUAAUUAUGUUGGACGAUGUCAACAGGUUACUUUUAACUCAAUAGAAAAAAUCAAAUAUUUUGACUUUUUUUUUAACUCAAAUAAUAAAUCCAUUAAUACAAAAAAAUUAUGGAUAAUUUGAAACUUUCUUUCUUUUUUUUUUUUUUUUUGCUACACAUAGCUAUAUUUUUAUAAAUUUUAUCAUUAGAGAAAUGGAUUUCAAAUCAAGUGAAACUUUGUAUUGAAUUAAUGGAUUUAACAUUUUUUAAAAAUAAUUUGGAACUAAAAAAAAAAGAUUUAAUUACUAAGAAAAUCAUAGAUCAAAACUAAUAUAUUCUGAUCCAUGAUUUUAUUAUUUUUCCUAUACAUACAAUUAUAUUUUUAUAAUUUUCUCACUAGGUAAAGAUAUUAUAAAUUAAGUGACACAUAAUUAAUAAUUUAAAUUUUUGAAUGAAUCUUUUAAUUUUAGGAAUAAUUUGAAAUUUAAAAAGUUGAUCCAAUUAAUUGUAAAUUAACUUAAAAUAUUAUAAAAUAUUAUGUUCAUAAUUAAGUACUAAAUGUAUAUAUGUAAUGAAAACUUAACUAGUUACAUGUUACAAAAGCCAAAAUUUAUUCAUUCUUUAUUUUAAAUAAAAUAUUAUUAAUAAUUAUUUUUUUUAAAAUAAUAUUUAGUAAUUAUUGUUUUUAAAUUAUUAUUAUUAAUUUUUAAUAAAAAAAUUGCAAAGUUAUUAAUAUCAUUAUAUUUCUAACAUAAAUUUAAAUAGUAUAUUUUUUAAUAUAUAUAUAUAUAUAUAUAUAUAUAUAUAUAUAUAUAUAUAUAUAUAUAUAUAAUUUAUGAUUUCAUUAUAAUAUUUUUAUUCAUGAUUGACGAAAAAUUAUUUAUUGUUUAAUUUAUUUGAAUUGCAAAACUAUUUUUCAAAAUUCAAGCGAGAAAAUAGGCCUGGAUUUGAAUUUCCUGUAGAAGAGAAGGAUGUGGAGAAUAUGUUGGGAGUAUUUGUGGAUAAAGAAAAGGCCAGGGUACUGAGAAAGGAGAGAGAACUUGCUCUUGCCAAAAGAGCCCUGCACAGGUAUUCUACUGAUUCUAAUUAUCGGUUCUUACAUGAUCAGAUUUCAGAUUUAUUUGCUGAGCUUCUGAAAUCUGAUACAGUAUUUAAACUCCGGUGAGCUUUACAAGAUUAGUCUCGCAUCCAAUUCCAAAUGGUGUCCCACAAUUGAUUCUUCUUAUGAUAAAUCCACCUUGAUAUGUGAAAAUAUUGCUCGAAAGGUUUAUCCUCGCGAGGAAUAUCCAGAAUACUAAGGAAUUGAGGAGGCUCACUAUGUUUAUAGAGUCAGGGAUAGGUUGAGAAAACAAGUAGUUGUUCCAUUACAUAAGGCCCUGGAGUUGCCAGAGGUUUUCAUGUGUUCGAACAAGUGGGGAUCACUUCCCUACAACCCUGUGGCUUCAGUGGCCAUGAAAUCAUACAAGAGCCUCUUCUCAAACCAUGAUACAGAGCGGUUUGGUGAGUAUCUUGAGAAAGUGCAAACUGGGAAGGCUAAGAUUGCAGCUGGUGCAUUACUUCCCCAUGAGAUUAUAGCUUCAUUGAAUGAGGAGGAUGCCGAGAGAGUUGCCGAGCUUCAGUGGGCAAGAAUGCUGGAAGAUUGAUCAAAGAAAGGGAGGCUCACAAAUUGCAUUGCAGUAUGUGACGUAUCAGGAAGUAUGAGUGGAACUCCAAUUGAGGUGUGUGUGGCUCUGGGGCAGUUAGUUUCAGAGCUCAGUGAAGAUCCAUGGAAAUUAAGGUAAUGUAAUUACUUUCAGUGCAAAUCCUGAGCUUCACAAGAUCCAAGGAGACAGCCUUGUAUCCAAGACUGAAUUUGUGAGGAUGAUGGAAUGGGGUGCCAACACUGACUUUCAGAAAGUUUUGACAGAAUCUUACAAGUAGCAGUGGAGGGAAAUAUGAGUGAAGAUCAAAUGAUAAAGAGGGUUUUCGUUUUCAGUGAUAUGGAGUUCGAUGAAGCUUGUGGGAGGUAUAACUAUUGUGACUAUGACUAUGAUAUGGAGGAAAUUGACGAGAGUCAGAAGGCAUCUCAGAAGUGGGAGACAGAUUAUGAAGUGAUACAGAGGAAAUUCCAGGAGAAAGGAUACAGAAAAGUUCCAGAGAUAGUGUUUUGGAACCUUAGAAACUCAUCAGCGACUCCAGUGACGGCCACAGAGAACGGGGUGGCCUUAGUAAGCGGGUUUUCAAAGAAUCUGUUGACCUUGUUUUUGGAAGGAGGUGGAAUUCUGAUCCCUCAGGAUGUGAUGGAAUUCGCCAUCUCUGAUGAAGAUUACAAGAAACUUGUUCUAUUUGAUUAAGAUAUCAAGAGAUUUAUCAAUAAUAAUAUAUUUUUUUUCUAUGUGAAAUACAUAUAAUAUUAACUGUGGAGUUAUCAAAGUUCUGGAGGUUUAAUUAUUUCUUCUUUUCAAGUUUUGUUUAUUUAAGGUUUUCUUUGUCUUUGUUAGGAAUUCCCCUUGGGUGGACCCAGCUGGGGAGUUGGAUUGAGGAAGUAAGCAGGCGAACUUGUGUUCUUCUAUGGACAGAGAAAAAAAAUAAAAUAAAAAAAUAAAAAAGGAGGUUAUUUGCAUUUGGAUGUCGUGGUUUGAGGGUACAACUACAAGCUCGAAAUUGUACAUAAUGUGAAAACUCCUGUGUCCAUUGCUGAGAACAGCAUAAAUGAUGGUGAUUUUCAAGUUGUGCCUGGUAUUCUACAGGAUGAAACAAGAAAGGAUCCAGGUGGUAUAUUGAACAAUAUCCCAAUCAUGUUGGUGGCAUCUUUAUUUAGUUAAUGGUAUUCAUUUGGUGGAAGCUGGUUGUUUAUGAUGUUUUUAAUUUUUUUUAACAUGAAGUUCGAUCAAAUACGUAUCUUAGUAUGUUUUGUUUGAGCUAAUUGGCAAAUGCGCUUUAAACAUGGUCACAUGGAUGCAGUUUUAUUUGUGAAAUGAUAAUAGUCGAUUACUUGGUCAGUAAGGUUUAUAUCUCUAACUUCAACAUCUUAUUGUAGUCUUUUAAAAUGUCAAAAGUUUAAUGCUUGAGAAAUUUUGGAAUGGAGACAUUCUAAACAAAGUUAAUAAUCCACAAGACUUGGUAAAACCGAUCAGAUGAUGCUUACGUACAUCAAUGCCUUCUUUAAGCCAUAUCCUAUUUUCAUUGAACGGGAUGUGCCAUCUAGUUUGGUUCUUUAAGCCUCCAAAUCCUAAACCUAGUCUCAAUUUAGAGCAAAUUUAGGGUGCAGGGCCUGCAUGCCUCCCCCUCCCCCUUCCACAAAUAGUAGUGACCUUGCUAUGCCUAUGCAUUGUCAAUGCCUCAUUUUCUAUGGUCUCCAAUGUAAUAUCUUAGUUUCAAUGUCUCUUUCCUUACUAUCUCCAAUGCAAUAGAUUGAUUUCAAUACCUCUUUACAACUAAGACCUCCAAAUUUUCUUGGUUCAAACCUACCAGAAUUUUUCUUCUCCUUUGCUUUCUAUCAAUAUUAGUUCCCCUAAUUUAAUAUAUACUUCUUUAUUACCUUCAACUCUACCUCUCUUUCUUUCUCUAAAAGCUUCCUCAAAGAUUUAAUUGCUUUCUUGCAUGUUUUAAGAAAACAAACAUGCUCAUAUUACAUUACCUCUACUUGAGAUCUACCUUAUACUCUACCUUCUUUCUUUACCUCCUAUAUCAUCUACUACAUUAGCUUCAAAAAUAUUAUUUAGUUUGAUACUAAAUAAGGCUCCUAAUCCUACUCUUCCUUCAACAAACUUUCUUUUUACAAGUUCCUUAAACUUUAUUUUUUAUUUUUUAUUUUUUGGAAAUUCGGGUUAGAAAGAUUCCAUUACUCUUACCUAAUAUUUCAACCAUCAAGUUGAAUCCACUUAUUGCCUAAAUCCAAGGAGUCUGCCCUCCACAAAAACAAGGAAAUUGAUCCCACAAUAACAAGGAGAUUGCCUUCCACAGAAACAAAGAGAUCUCCCUUCACAGAAGCCGAAUACAUUGCAAUCUAUUUUCUUUCUUGUAAGAUCAAAUCUUCAAUCGAGCUCCAUCUUAUGGGGGCAUAUUAGAGAAAUUUAAUAUUAUCCUUAAUUUACAUAUUAAUAUUUAUCUAUUUAUUAUAUAUUGAAUUAAAAUAGAAUAUAGAAUUUGAAUCAUAGUAGAAGUUUACUAUAAGAUUGAAUUACAAUAGUUAAUAGAGUUUAAAUUAUAAUAACUCAAAUACAUUUAUAUAUAUUUGACCUUACGAGAUUUUCUAUUUAUGUAUUUGAACUACAAUCCUUAUGAUCCUUAGGUCUCUAUACCUUCGUGAUGGGCUCCUUGACAUUUCAUAGGUUGUGCUACACAUGCAUUUGAAAUUUAGAGUGCAUUUGACAGUGAUUCUGGGAAGUGUUUUUGGCAUUUCUAACACUUAAAAUUUUUUAUUUUUCAAGUAUUAGAAAUGCUACAAACACUUUUGAAAAUUACUGUCAAACACACUCUUAGGAGCGCAUAUAGUAGAAAACUAGAAAUUGUGGUUUUUUUAGGAUUUACUGUAAUGUCAUUAGGAGGGUAGUAAGUUGAAACUGAGUAUGAAUAAAUAUUUCUUUCUUUGGGAUGUUCUUCUGGUAGGUGCUGAUGAAACUGUUCUUUUUACUGCCAAUGUCACAUAUCAGCCAGAAAUUGAAAAUUUCAGUCAAGGUGUCCUCGGUUUUAGUGGUGAGGAAAGCUAGAAAUUUUAAGGUGAAGUUCUGUUAAAAACCUUAAGUAGCUGGGAUAUCAGGCCUGUUUUGCUUGAAAAAAAAAGUUGCAAGAUAACUCAUAUGCCAAACAGGUUCUGAUAUUGUGAAUCUAUCGGCAGACAUCAGUAAUCUCAUCUUCUGAGAUGGAUGUUGGGGGUGCAUGUGGUGGUGGAGGGGCAAGGUUUCAUUUGGUUUAUUUUGUUGAUGGAUAUUGUCUAGCCCCCUGCGCCAAGUUUGAGGGGUGGUGGGUUGUGAUGGCCCUACAAUUACUAUUAAUUUCUUCCUCUUUUACCGAUUAAAGUGUCCGAACAGUCGAAGUUACCCUUAUGCAUGUCAACUUGAUCACUUACCUCUUCAAUGGAGUUUAUGCUGGUUCAUUUAGGAACUGAUUUUUAUUGUUAUGCAUUCUAUGCUGAUGUUUAGGCCUCUCCAUCAUCACUAUAUACAAAAAUUCUAGGUUGAUACUAUAGGUUGAGAUUUAUUUUUUAAAUAAAAAAUAAUAAAAAUAAAAAUUAUGGUGAUGUUUAGUUGUUUUAUGGAAAAUUUUAACAAGUUAUUUUUGGGCAAGUUUUCAAACAAAAAGAAAAGUAAAAGUUGUUUUGACAAAAACAUAUAGAAAAAAAAAAUCAUAGAAAAGAAAUAAUUUCCCCAUAUUCUAACUUUUUUUAAUUUUUCUCAAUGGGCAAAGGAAUAUCAAAUCAAGUUUGAGUAGGAUUUCUUAAUUUUUAAAAUAACUUACAAUUAAAAAAUUUUGGUGUUUUCAUUUUUGGACAAUUUUUUAUUAAGCAAAUGGACUCUGAGUCAUGCAAGAGAUAUGGUUGAUUAAUGGGUCAAACAAUUUUUUUAAAAUAAUUUAAAACUCAAAUACAUAAUCAAUGUCACAAAAUUUAUAAACAAAAAUAGGUUUAGAGAAGAUCUACACAUAAUUUUACUUUUCUAAUUUUAUUUUAUUUUAUUUUUUUGUUGGAAAAUAGUCUUCAAAUCAUGUAAGAUUUAAUAGGUUAAAUUUGUUAACAAUAAAUUUUAAAUUAUAAAAUAUAAUCUGGAACUUAAAAAUCAAUUCAAGUAAUGCUAAAAAAAAUCAAAUUUGGUAUAGAAUGACUACGUAAAAUUUUUUACAAAACAAAUGAAUUUUAAAUCAAGUGAGAUUUAAUGCAUUAGAUUUUUAUCAAAUAUAGUAAUUUUAAAAUUUAAUUUGGAACUCAACAAUAGACACAAUAAAUACCAAAAAAUAAUGAACCAAAAUUGGUUUGGAAUAACUCCACAACCUCUUUUUUUUUUUUUUGGUGCACACGAAUUUUCUUACUAGGUAUAUUGCUUUCAAAUUGAGAAAGAUUUACUAUUUAGAUUUUUUUUUUUAAUGAGUUUAAUGGUAUUUUAAAAUAAUUCAAAAUUUCAAAAAUUGACUAAUUACUAUUAUAAAUUCAUAAACCAAGACUAAUUCAAAAUGCAUUGGGGGCUAAGGGGGUUGAAAAUAGGGACAAUGGGAUGGGUUUGGGACAUGACACUCAUAUCUCAUUUCCAUUCCAAUUACAUAGUUAUCUCCCAUCCUUAUCCCAAACUUGUGUUGGAGCAAGUUGAUUUGUUCCCAUCUUUGUUGAUGAAAUGACUAAUAACCUCAUCCCCUCCUUAUCUUAGAUGUACAUUUUGUCAAAUUUGAUCAGGUAUGAUUGAUCCAAGCCCUAACCCUAAUUGGUAAUGACUGGAUACUACACCUAAUUGCAUUCUUCUUUCGUCGCAAAAUAAUGAGAUUAUAAUAAUCUAGCAAAUAAGAAAAAAUAGUAUGGAAGUUCAAUUUAACACCAUAACUAUCAAUAAUUUUAAGCUUAUAGAUGACUUAAAUGAUUAAAAACUAAUGCAAAAUACCAAAAAAAAAAGUUCAUAUAAAGAAUUCACAAGAGAACAAAAUGAACAAAAACCAAAUAUGAACAUGGGUCAACAUUAGUUAUGGAUUUGGAUUCCUUUCAAGGCCAAUCUUUGAACCAAGACUUCAUCAAAUCUACUACUUCAAAGGCUUUUGUGUUCUUCUUGGGUUGUGCUCUCAAACAAAGACUUCAAGGUGAUGCUCUAGAUGAUUGCAUUACACAUAUUUAGGGUGGAGAGAUUGGAGAAGCUUGAAGAUGCCAACGAUGGGUACAAUUGAGUGGUCAAUAAGAACAAUGUAGCCUAUGACUAGUUUGAUGUCGUGGUACAAGAGUUUUAGGCAUUGAGGUUAAAGCAAGAGCAACAUGGAAUUGAUUUUGGAGUCUUUCAAUUAGUGUAAAGGAGGAAGAAGUGGUAUUGAUUCUAGAAAUAGGGUUUUAGGUGGUGCGUUAGAGGAUGAAGAAGAAGAAAAAGAAGGAUCUGUUGGAAUUAGUGUGAGUGUGAAGAGAGAAGUAUAUAAAUAAGGGGAAGUAAAAGCAAAGUUCUAAAAGCUAUAUUUUUUUUUAUUGUUGGUGUAUGGUUGCAUGAUUAUCCCUAUAAAUAAUAGGAGUUUUUUUGGUAUUCUACUAGUAGUUGAAGGAUAAUUUCAUAAAUUUAUAUUUAGAGUGGGGUGGGGUGAGUUGUGACAAAAUUCAUACCCGUCCUAAACCUUGGUUCAGAUUUUUAAAAUAUCCUCAAACUUAUCAUAUACCCAACUUUUAUAUUUCAUACUUGUCUUGAUAGAGGCAGGUUAGGCCGGGUUACUUGAGUAACCUACAUAAUUGUCAUCCCUAGUUGAAAUACACUUUUUUGGCAGUGGCCACCAACUGAGCUAGAAGCUUGAUCGAUUGACCUACAAGAUUAGUUCUCAUCAUUUUAAAAAAAGUUUUGGCCUUGGUUGUGAGUGCAAUUGAAUCUAAACUGGCAUUUCCUUAAUGCAUCUACUUCAAUCCUAAAUUUCUUACUUCCUAAGCCUCAAUUGUUGUUAGGAUUUUGGAAAGCCCAUUUCCUUAAAUUGUAAAUUUAAGAAAAAAUAAAAUAAAAGUGAGACAUUUCUUGAUUGAAUAUUGUUAAAGGUCCCUUGGCAUUAAGACUUGGUUGAAGCCUUGGAAGAUUAGUGGAACUCUCAACUUGUGUUUGAAUCUUGAGGAGAGUGGACGUAAGCCAAAAUUUUGUCAAACCAUUAAACAAAUUGAGUUUGAAUCCUCAUUUCUUGAUUUCUUAUUUAUUUGCUUUUUCUUAUUAUUACUUGAAUUGUCAUUUGCAUUCAUUAAUGUUAAAAUUGGUUAUAAUUAACCAACACUAAUUCUCUUUCCCCUUCCCUUUCUUGGGUGUAAACCUAGGUUGGAUUAACUAGAUUAAUUUAUAAAAUCUAUUAAGAUGGUAAAAGAAUAAUUAUUCUUAACACACAUAAGAUCAUCUUCAAUCAAAUGACUCAUUGGCUAAUAUGUUGAAUUUGCUUAUUACUUGCAACUCAAAAUUGUGUUCUAGUUGAUAUGUCAAGUCCCCAGUGUAUGGACAUUAAAUUUGUAGUACGUGAUGGUAAUUAGAUGGUCCAACUCCAAGAAAGUGAUUGAAAACUAGUUCAAGAAAGGUGCAAAAGGGAAUUGUUUUGGUAUUUUCGUUUUUAUUCUUGAAGGUGGCAGAGCUAAAAUUUGUGAAAUCAAGCAAAACAUACUGAAAUUACAUUGAAAGAAAGAAAAUGGGAGUUAAUGUCUUGCAGUAGAUGAUAAGGACUUCAUGCAUGUAGUAUGACCCAUGUCUUGGACUGAUGCCAACUCACGGUUACACUUAUACCCUUGGUUCUCUCUUUACUACCUUGGCUAACCUAGAUCAGGCUAUGAGAUAGGCUCCUCACCACACCAUUACUUGCCCAUUAAUUAGAGACAUUUUCAAGCACUGAGGUAACAUGGUGACACCAAGAGGGUUUAUUCCUCGCCCUCCUCGCCCUCAACAAGUCUAGACUUGGUCUCAAAAAAAUGGAGAAAAAUGAGGUGUCGUUAUGUAGAAAUACAACAACCAUGCCUUCCUCAUUACUUUGAUUCAGAAUGUGAAGGUGAAAUUGAGAAACAGAAACUCUUGAAACCAAAAUGAAAAUUGAUACUUUUACGAAGAAUUACAACAACAUUGGAGGAAGACUACAUUCUUCCUCUUUAUUCCUACAUUUCUACACUACUUCUACUCCACUCCAUAUUUCUACAUACAUCUUUAAUCAGUCUUCCCUCCUUUAUAUAGAGCCAUCUUCACACAAAUUCCGCAAGGUAGAAAAGAGGAAUGAAACUUGGAGCAAGGUUCGACUACUGGCUGUAGCUUGUCAAGGCUGGAAGUGAACCUUUUUUCUUGGCUUUUCUGGGCAUGGGUAGUAACUUGUGGGUUCCUUUUUGGGAUACAAAUGGCUAGAACAUGUGGCACUAUCUUGUUGGAUGAUGUGUCAAGCAUGUGGCAGCCAUCUAGUGGCGAUUAUGUCAAUUUUGGGAUGGAGAGUUGGCAUCCAAUUGCAAAGAAAUAUGACGUCUACCAACAGGCAAUGUAAACCUAUGUAGAUCAUAUGAAGAUAGAGAGGAAAAAUAUAGAAAUGGAUAUAUACCUAGAACUAGCUUUUUAUUAAAUGAAACGGAGAGCCAACAAUGAAGGAAAAUAAAUUUUUUUGGCUUAUAUCAAAGAGUUCACAUUGUGCUACCCUAGGUUUUCUUAAAACUUACUUUUAUGAUAACAAAAAAAAAAAAAAACAUUAUUGUUUAAUCCUUUGUUUUAAACGCAUGUUUAGCAAGUUAUAAAAUGUAAAAAUCUUUCUAAGUUCAAAUAUGAAGAUAUGACAUCAUUUCAAGCAAGAUAGUCUCUAGGAAUUAAUGUAAAGCUAAAUUAAGGUGAAAUUAAAUUAGUUCAAUGCAUUAAUUUAAGAAACUUGACCUAUCAAAAGUACAAAAUUAGAUGAAAUCCAUUUCAAUGGUUAAAAUGAUCAAAAUCAAACUUUUUCUAAGUAUUUUUUAAAAGUAUCAAUAUUGAAAGACAAUUUUAUAUUUAGUCAGAGUUUGGACAAAACCAAAAAGCACACAAAAUCCAAGCGACCAUCUCUAGCUUGGAUGGUCGCUUGAUCUCUAGCUUGUGUACUUGGAAAGCAACAUCGAGAUGAUAUAUAUAUAUAUAUAUAUUUUAUAUAAUAUUGUUUGUCCAAAUUCCCUAAAAAUUAGGCCACCACAUGUUCAUAAUUCUCCCUUCUUGAAUUUGAAAACUCGGACAAUUGGACAAUGCGACACCUAAGUCCGGUUUCUAAAUGCUAAAGUGAAAGGGUAGGUAUGGACCAUUGAAAUGUGAUCACAACUUUUCUCUGUAGCCAUGUUGUCUCUUUUUUCUUUUGCAUGAUUUUCUCACCUUAACAGAAUCAUAGACUUGUUUAAUCUCUAAAUGGGAUUAAUUUCAUCCAGCUUUAAGCUACUAUAUUAUAUCUAGGUGGAGGACUUUUAAGAGUGCAACCGACAUAGAGCACAUGCAAGUGGGUAUAUGGGACAUGAAAUUUCUUCUUAUAAAGAUUGCAUGAUUUUUAUAUUAGAGUUGUUGGGGCGCAAUGUAUGUAGCUUGUUUUGCAGUUAAAUUAAUUGGAUAAGUAGACAUUGGCGUUUCUAAAUCUACUGUGAAGUGCUUCAUGUACGUGUGAAGUAUUAGAAAUUUCUUUCUUGGCAACUUGUUUUUUCUUUGCGGUCUACUGAUAGGUUUGACUAAAAUUAUAUUCCCUGUCAUGCUAAUUAAUUUUCACGUGCAUGCUCAAAAGAAGAGUAUGACCUUAGUGCACCAAAAUCACUUUGAUUAAUUUGUGAUAGGUUUUUGUGCAUCAUGACAUUAGCCUUAUUCAUUUAGAUAAUGUUUAGUUUUUAGAAAGUAUUAAGAAAAGGAAAAUAAAUAUUAAGAAAAAUAUUCUUAUAUUUGAUUGUAUUAUGAAAAAUGUCAUAAAAAAAUCAAAUAUAAUUUAAAUUAAUUAAUAAUUUAUACAUUUUCAAAUUAUUUAAUCUUUAUAUUGAAGAUAUAAUAUAAAUGAAAUGAGUUUUAAGUAUUAUAUAAAAGUGAUUUAUUGAUCUUGCAUAUAUGUAUUUCUUUUUUUUUUCUUCUAUUUUUUUUCUUUAUUUUAUUUUCCUUAUGUUUUCCUCAACAUUUUCCGGAACCAAACAUAGCCUUAGGAAAUCCACAAUUACCUUCAACUGAGUAUAUUCGGUUGUUUUAGCAAUGUUAGGCUGCUAACUUGUGUUGGUACGAACCUGUUAAGCCUAAAGAUGUAAUUAGUUAGGAUAUUCUUUUCCCUCUAGUCUUGUAGCUCCACGUGUAUAGUUGGUUAGGACCUCAUUGUAUAUAAUGCCUGCCCUGUUAUUGUUGAAGACAACAGAGAUAAAUAAUAUUAACAUUUUUCCUCUCAUCUCUCUUUGUUUCCCUCUGUUUUCAUCUCCUCUCUCAUCUUGGUAUCAGAGCCUCCAUGGAUUCUUUCAAAGAAACCUCCGAAUCACCUUCUGCUAGCAUUGUUAAUGUGCAAAACCCAUUAUCUCAGUCAAACAACCUUCCUUCACCAGCAGCCACACCCUCUUUUUCUUUCUUGUCUAUGAAUCAACCUCUCACAGUGAAGCUGGAUAAUGGAAACUACCUCAUCUGGAAGAAUUAGCUUCUGAAUGUCAUCAUUGCGAACAGACUCGAUGAUUUCAUUUAUGGAACUCGACCCUGCCCUCCUUGAUUUCUCAAUCUGCAACAACAAACCCUCACUCCAGAGUACUCGGUCUAGCAGAGAUACAAUCGACUUCUAAUGAGUUGGCUGUACGCAUCCUUGUCCGAAGAUAUAAUGACUCAGAUUGUUGGGUAUUCAACAACUGUGGAGAUUUGGAACGUCCUUAAUCAGAUUUACUCUGCCUCUUCAAUGGCGUGGGUUACCGAGCUUCACACCAAGCUUCAAACGCUCAAGAAAGAUGGACUCUCAGUUGGUGAAUAUAUUCAAAGGCUCAAAUCCAUUUGCAAUAGUCUUGCAGCAAUAGGAGAACUAGUUUCUGAGAAAGACCAGCUUAUCUAUUUGUUCAAUGGAUUAUAUUGUGAGUAUAAUUCUUUUGUUACCUCCAUUCAAAAUCGAUCUGACCAACCAACUAUUGAGCAAAUCCAUAGCCUAUUGCUUAGCUAUGACUUUCGGCUUGAACAACAAAACUCUGUUUCUCUCCAUUAUGCCCAAGUCCGUAUGGCUCAUCUGAACAAGAAACCUUAUAAAUCAACUCCUCAACCUACAUUCAAUCAUAUUCACAUUCAACCUAGAUACUCUUCUCCACCUUUUAAGCCAACCACUAGUCAAUAUCAACCCAGGAUUUUGGGCAAACCACAACCACAACCAUGACAGCCUCAACCUCAAUGGAAACCACAUUUUUCAAUCCAGAAUCAAAAGCCUCAGUGCCAAAUUUGUGGUAAAUUUGGACACACUGCUCUUAUUUGCUUCCAUUGCACAAAUUUGAACUAUUCACCCCAACCUUCUCCUAAAUCUUUCAAUACUGUUCUCACCACAAAUUCCCAGCUCCCUAAUCCUCCAAAAUUUUCUUACCCUACAAUGGCUCAUCCUGCUGCUACGCAUAACACGAUUCCUGAUACAAAUUGGUACAUGGACUCAGGUGCUACACAUCACUUUACUCCGGACAUCAACAUGCUUGACACUGUGACACCAUUUAGUGGUUUAGAACAGGUGACAGUUGGGAAUGGUAAGCAACUCUGUAUCUCACAUCUUGGUACUGCAAAACUACCAUCCUCGUAUUCUCCUCUUGUUCUACAUCAGGUAUAUCACACUCCAAAAAUUUCAAAUAAUCUUAUUAGUGUUAGAAAAUUGUGUUCUGAUAAUAAAGUUUUUGUUGAAUUUUAUGCCACUCAUUUUCUUAUCAAAGAUCAAGUUUCGAAGAGAGUUCUCUUUCAAGGUCAACUUGAUAAUGGCUUAUACAAAGUUCAGUCGUCAUGCUCUCCUUCUACUAUUUCCUUUCAUCCUCAAGUUUUCAUAGCCAACAUCAAGGAUCAAAAUUUGUGGCACAAGAGACUAGGCCACCCAGCUUUAUCUGUUAUUAAUCAAAUCUUGGAUUCUUGUAACAUUGCUCGAACACAGAAAAUUGGUUUUAAUUUUUGUAGUUCUUGUCAAUUAGCAAAAAGCCACAGGCUUCCUUUUUCUCUGUCUCCAUCCAUUGCAGAAAAACCUUUUGAGUUAAUUCAUACAGACCUAUGGGGUCUUUCUCCUGUUCGCUCUAUUUCUGGUGCUCGUUAUUUUUUACUUUUCAUUGAUGAUCAUACUCGUUUUACUUGGUUUUAUUUGCUCAAAACAAAAGAUGAAGCAUAUCCUACUUUUCUCAAGUUUCAAGCUCUCAUUGAAAAUCAAUUUAAUACCAAGAUUAAGGUUGUCCAAUCUGAUUGGGGAGGUGAGUUUCGAUCUCUCUCCAUACUGUUUUCAAAUAUGGGCAUUGUCUAUCGUUUAUCAUGUCCAUACACCUCACAACAGAAUGAGUGGGUUGAGCGAAAAAAUCACCAUGCGGUUGAAAUGGGAUUGUCCUUUCUUGCUCGCUCGGGUAUGCCCUUAUCUUAUUGGCCUUAUGCCUUUCAAACUGCCACUUACCUUAUUAAUCGUCUCUCUACCCCUGUGCUGCACCAUCAAUCCCCUUACUUCGCACUCUAUCACAAAUUCCCAGCUUAUACUCAUCUUAAGGUCUUUGUUCCUCUUGUUUUCCAUAUUUACGCCCUUAUAAUACCCAUAAACUCCAAUACAGGUCACUGGAGUGUGCUUUUCUUGGUUGCAGUUCACACCACAAAGGUUAUCUAUGUCUUGACAUUCAUUCUAGCAGGGUGUAUAUUUCUCGCCAUGUGAUUUUUAAUGAAGAUUCUUUUACAUUCAAGAAUUUGAAAUCUUCUCUCUCUUAGUCUAUUUCUUCUUCCUCUUCUUUAUUAGUUCCUCUGUUCAUUUCCUUGCCUCCCCUCUCCCCAUAUCCUCCUAUUUCUCCAUCUAUAUCUCAUUCUUUUCUCUCUUCUUCUUCUACCUCUAGUACUUGUUCCCCUCUCGUUGCUCCUACCUCUCUUCCUCCCUCUUCACACUUUGUGUCCCAUCUAUUCCACCUCCUUCUCCACCUUCUUCGAGUGUGGACCUGCUUGUACCUUGUGUGAAUACAAAUUUACUUACUUUUUCUCGCACUCACAAUAUUCAUCCUAUGGUGACCAGAUCUAAGGGUUUGUAUCUAUAAACCUAAGUUGCUAUUGAGUGUCUCCAUAGGUUCUCUCACUAAGCCUACUUCCUUUCUUCAAGCUAUUAAAGAUCCUUCAUGGAAGCAAGCCAUGGAAUUGGAGUUUGCUGCCCUUCAACACAACAAGACCUGGCAUCUAGUUCAUUCACCUUCCUCAGGCAAAGUAAUUGGUUGUAAAUGGGUCUAUAAGAUAAAGCUUUAGCCUGAUGGCUAAUUGAGAGAUACAAGGCCCGCUUAGUAGCUUAGGGUUAUCAUCAAACUGAAGGUAUUGACUACUUCGAAACAUUCAGCCUGGUUGUCAAGCCUUCUACUACCGUAUUGUGCUCAGUCUUACUUUUUCCCAGAAUUGGUGUAUUAGACAGCUGGAUGUUCAUAAUGCCUUCUUACAUGGUGACUUAGCUGAAGACGUUUUCAUGGAACAACCACCUGGAUUUGUUGAUCCUCUCUAUCCUACUCAUGUCUGCAAGUUGGAUAAGUCUCUCUACGGUCUUAAUAGUCACCUCGGGCUUGGUAUACUAAGCUGAGUACUUCUCUACUACACUUGGGAUUUGUUACUUCUAAGAAUGACUCUUCCUUAUUUAUUUGUCAUUCGUCUCAUGGGUUACUUCUUGUUCUUGUCUAUGUGGAUGAUAUAAUCGUCACUGGGAGCCACUCUCCUCAAGUUACUCACCUUAUCCAAUAGUUGCAUCAUCAGUUUUCUUUAAAGGAUCUUGGUCAUUUACACUAUUUUCUGGGCUUGGAGGUUCAUCACACCCCUACUGGUAUUCACCUCAGCCAAGCAAAGUAUAUCACUGAUCUCCUUACCCGGGCGGCUAUGUUGGAUGCCAAGCCAUGUCCCACUCCUAUGUCCUCCAACACAUAUCUUUCUCUUCAUGAUGGAGUGGCUCUUGAAAAUGGUUCAGAUUAUUGAAGUUUUGUUGGUGCCCUUUAGUAUUGUACCAUGACACGCCCAGAUAUAGCUUUUGCAGUAAAUAAAGUGUGUCAAUUCAUGCACCAUCCCUCUGAUGUUCACUGGCAGGCUAUAAAACGUAUUCUCCAGUACUUAAAGGGCACAUCUCAUUUUGGUCUCUUCCUACAGCCUUCCUAUGACUUCAACAUCACUUGCUAUACAGAUGCCGACUGGGCUUCCUGCCUUGAUGACAAGUGUAGCACCAGUGGCUACUGCCUCUUUCUUGCCUCUAAUCUGGUUUCUUGGUCAUCUUCCAAACAAAAAGUGGUCUCCCGCUCCAGCGCCAAAUCAGAGUACCGAGGGGUAGCAAAUGGGGCUGCUGAAAUUGCUUGGACUGAAUCUCUUCUUUGUGAACUUUCCACCCACUCGACCUCCCCUCAUUGUCUGUGACAAUAUCAGUGCCACAUACUUAGCUGUCAAUCCUAUUUUGCAUGCCCGCACCAAAACAUGUGGAAAUCGACUAUCACUUUGUCUCGGAACGUGUUCUUCAACGCUCUCUCUCUCUCCAGUUUACACCUUCGGAUGAUCAACUUGCUGAUUGCAUGACCAAGCCUCUCUCCACCCAACGUUUCAUCACUCUACGCUCCAAGCUCACUGUUCUCACUAGACCAAUGAGCUUGAGGGGGGAUGUUAAGCCUAAAGAUGUAAUUAGUUAGGAUAUUCUUUUCCCUCUAGUCUUGUAGCUCCACGUGUACAGUUGGUUAGGACCUCAUUGUAUAUAAUGCCUGCCCUGUUAUUGUAGAAGACAACAGAGAUAAAUAAUAUUAACAUUUUUCCUCUCAUCUCUCUCUCUGUUUCCCUCUGUUUUCAUCUCCUCUCUCAUCUGAACCAAAUGAUCCAUGUUAACCUUGGCUUGGUUUGAUUUGGCUCUAUCUUAGAGAGCUCAAGGAUCACGUCAACUCUGGUUUCUACUAUUCAGGUCCAUUCCCAUAUGAACUGGUUCAAAUUUGAGAAAAUGGUAACAGACCUUUAGUGAUGUUGGUUUGGAGCCAGUUGCCAAACCCGCCCUGAGCUUUACCACUAAUGUCAAGGGAGAAAGCCUUUUGAACAAAAACAAUAGCUUCAAGAGACUGAAUCGUGGAUGAAAUCUGAUCCACAUUUCUUCUCAUUUUGGAAACAAAUGAGAACUUAACUAAGAAGAUUCUACGGCCUCAUAGUGCUUUUCCUGAUCUAAGGUUGGUUCGUUUCCCAAAUUGUGAGAUGCACGGGCCAGACUUCAGAACUCUCACGCUCAGGAGUGUAUCCACGUGGUGGACAUAAGAUGGUGGCUUAAGAUCUGGUGUCGGUGGCUUUACUUUACUAGGAGAGUAGUGUGUCUUCAUCUCAUUCACUGCCGGAGGGUGGCGUAAGCAGUGACGCUAAGGUGGGGCAUAGUCAAUAUCAUUUGCAUUUGACCAUUAUAGUUUUCUCCCGGCUUGAAAGUAACCUUAUCGUGAUAAAGGAUUACUAGCACUAGUUCAGAUGACAGUCAUGUUAAAUUCGGACCAUGUUUGUGUCACAUUAUCAGCAACCAUGUGUUUAUGGUUCAUGCUUUCUGCAACUGAAAUUGAAAUUGAUAUAUAACCAGGUGAACUUCAAUCUAAAUUCUGGAAGUACUCAUGUGAGCGAUGGUGCCCAUCUGCAGAGUCCAUCAAUUGAAAAAUGGAGUGAGUGUAUCUAUAAGAGGGAAGGCUUGGCAAAUGUCCAGUUUUCUGGGAAUUCAACAAGGAUCUAAAAUAGAUUGUUUUCUUUGCUGAUUUCAAUGGUUGAAAUUUGAGAAGAUUGUGUCCCACAUAACACAACUAUUACUGGUCCUUCUGUUGCAAUUUAUCCUCUAAGGCUCUAGCAUGUCUUCCAAUUCCCACUUCCCUGUUACUCCAGGAAAGCUAUUUCUGUCAUUGUGAAGAAGAAAAGAGAAUGUAGAUAUCGAUGCUUUUAAGUGACUGGAGCAUUCAUAUCAGGUGGUCUGCAGCCAUAUAUGCCACUUUGUGAAGAUUGGAACAGUCAAUCACUAGGCUAUAUAUUAGUGUGGCCCAGCCACUUUAAUCAAGGACAAUUCUUCAUACUUAAAAGUCAAAUUCUGCCUUUAGUCUCAUUAUAAAUUGCUGUUUAAAUAUUAAGCAAACAUUUGUUUAAUGCGAUUAAGACAGUACUAACUCAAUACUUGUUCUAUUUUUGGAUGGAAAUGCUUGAUGGUUUCAUCAUUGGAUGGGAUAAAGGUGCAUUCAUGAUUAUGAAUACUUGUAGUUAUAUUUUCAUUCUCUUUUUUCUCAAUGAGACUUGUUGGCACAAUUUUUCUGUUCAGAAACCUACCUCUCCAUGGAAAAUAAGUUGUGAUUGAUAGUACUGGAUAUAUUCAAGAAAGCUAAAUAUAGAUAGCACAAAAUAUUAUCGACAUAAAUAGCAUUAACAGCGUACGUAUGUCUCAGUGCUCAUCAGCCAUAAGCAUGGGGCAAACACUUACGAUGAGCAACUUACGUCAAAAUUCCAGAAUAGGACAUAGAAGUGACAGAUCUAUAUAUAUAGAACACUGCAUAAGAGUCACAAGAAAGGAAAUUACGGGUGCAUAGCAGCUCUUAUUUCACAUACUACUCAUACUGAUCAAAGUCACUCAGUUGGGAUGGGUGGGAGUAGGAGGUUUGUGGGGUGGCUUGUGCGGAGGAGUUGGCAGCUUCUUUCCAGGACCUGGUGGCUUCUCUCCCUUAGGUGGUUUGCCAACUGGGGUUGGUGGCUUGUAUGAGUCUUCAGCAUUCUCUGCAGGAGGGUGACCAGGGUUGUGACCAUAAUGUGGUGGCUUCUCUCCCUUAGGUGGUUUGCCAACUGGGGUUGGUGGCUUGUGUUCUGGGAGUGGCUUCUCCCCCUUGGGAGGUUUUUCCAAUGGGGUUGGUUUGUGUUCAGGAGGUGGCUUCUCCACUGGAGGCUUGUGUUCAGGAGGUGGCUUCUCCACCGGAGGCUUGUGUUCAGGAGGUGGCUUCUCCACCGGAGGCUUAUGCUCUGGUGGUGGCUUCUCCACCGGAGGCUUAUGCUCUGGUGGUGGCUUCUCGAAUGGGGGAUGCUUAGGGUAAUCAGCAAGUGAGGGGGCGGUGAGAACCACCAGGCCAAGCAAGACCACUAGCAAGUAUGUAGGAGACAUCUUUGGGUUUAGACUCAGAUGGUGCAAAACUAGGAGAAUUGUCUUUUAUAGCGGAUCGCACCCAAUAAUGAAAUGACACGUGUCUUUAUGACCCAUGUGUAAUGGGGUCGAUUUGGGUCCUACAGUGUUGAAAACUUCGACAUCCACUUUUGGCCUUUUGCUUUCUCUACAGCCGCCUUGCUUUUUCCCUCUUUCCUUUUGUUUUCCUCCUGCCCCAUUCUAUCAACUAAACACAAUUAUGUAGUUGUUUAAUUCUUAAAUGAGAUAUUAUCCGUCAAUCGUAUCAUAUUUUAUCAACAGAGAACGGAGUGCAAUGUGGCAAUCCAAAGAAAGAAGAUCCAUAAUGCAGCUGUAAUUUUAUCGUUUACUUUUAUCUCUUGGACCACUGCAUUUUUGUUAAGAGGUGCAAUAAUACACGUCUUUAUCUGCCAUUCAAUGUUUACAGUAAAGAGAGGGCACAAAACUCUUCACUGCUCUGCAUGUGUCCCAAAAAUGCAAUUGGACAAAUUAUGAUUUGCAUGCUAAAAAGAGGCAAAUGAGGUUAAUUCGCACCAUAAUUAUUUUGUUUUCUGGACCCCGGGGCCCUUUGGUUGGUUUGGGGGUCAGAAAAUGAACAUCAUAGGGGGUUUUUCCCUUAUGUGCAUUUGUAUCUGAUGGCUUUAACUCGCCUUGUUACUACAAAGAAAUUGUCACAUAUAGGAACUUAUUCCAGGCUGAGUAUCUCCGCAUAGACCCUAUAAAAGAAGACAAGUCAUAAUGAACAUCUAACCUUUGUUCAAUUUGAUUCAAUGCCCCAUUGUGUCCACCUCACAAAUCUGAAUUAUUAUAUCCAUUGAAUACAUAAAUUAAUGAAGAAAAUAUGAAACCCAAGAUACAUCUCUGCACAACCUCAACCCUGGUUGCUAUGUUUCCCUUCUAUUCACAUGAGGAUAUUGAUUACGGAAUAGGGAAACCUAGCAAGGGUUUACUCGGCUCUGGUUUGAUGCUAAUUGCCAAACUUGCAACAAGCCCUGAGUUUGAAGCUCACAGAAGAUGUUAUACAGGCAGGGAAAAACCUUCAGAGUUCGCUGCCAAAGAUAAUUAUUAAGGAGAUAUCACCAAGAGAAUUCCAAGGAGUCUGAAUCAAAGACAAAUUGGUCGUUCGUGGAGGUUCUUACUUUCUUUUGGGUAUAACUCACUGAGGGCACUGUCUUUUUUAUUUUCAUUUCACAUUUAGAGUUCUGUUCUGGAAACAUAUAAAAGGAGCAUCAGUUUGUUCUUGGGUAACCCAUAGUCGUGAGUGGGUCCAUUUGCAUGCUACUUAGUUGAAAAGUUGGACCAUUUGCUCCGACGCCUACCUCCUGGAUUCCAUGCUCGGAUAAAACAAGAAUAAAAAAAUAUUUAUAAUUUACAAAUGGGGGAAAGAAAAAAAUGUCAACAACAAACUAGGAAAAAAGAGUAGUAAAAUUCAUGUCACAUGCUAGUGAGAGAAGGGGUUGUUACACUCACUCGAAGUUCUUUUCAAAAUAUCGCAUGGUAUUUUAUUUUAUGUGUGAGCGCAGUUGUGAAUGGAACGUGCAAAAGUCCAAAUUGGUGACCUUUAAUAAAUAUUUAAAACAAAAAACGAAAAAAAGGAGGGAAAAGGGAUCAGAAAAGAUAAAACAAUGUGUACAAAAGCUCAAUUAGUUUGCAAAUUACUGUUUGGAUUUUGAUAGUAUUUUAUUUGAUGUAAAAGAGAAUUUAAGAUAUUUCCGAAACAAAAGCAUUAGUUUGCUCCAUGUCAAUUUCGGCAUUUCUCAUAUGUUUCACACAUACACAGAAGAGCAUCGUUUUUUAAAGCAUGCAUUUAUGUUGGAUUAAUUUGGAUUUUGUGGGAACUGGGGCAAGGAUCACAUGGAAGAGAGGUUGACUUUUUUCAGUACUUCAAUGGUUGAGACAGGUGAAGGCCUGAUUGAUACUGAAGCCUGAAAUUGCGACUCCGUCAUUUGUCAAAACAUAUGACAGCUUCCAUGCUCUCGUUUGGUUGCAUUGUUCUGUGGUCAUGCAUACAUGCCACUUAGUGAUCAGUCUGUAACUGUCAAUCAUUGGGCUUUGACUGAACAACAUCAGCCAUGUAUAAAUACUUGCAAAUCAAACGGUCUUCUUCCUCCCAUAAGGAAUUUCGGUUUAAUUAUGAAGCAUGCAUUUGGCUGACCAUCAUAAACCACUUCUUUAAAUUGAUGAAUGAUAGUUUUUCAUUCAUUCUUUCAUUCGUUCAUAUACAGAGUAUAUAUAGAGGGUAAUCAUCAUUCUAAGAAUGGGAAAGAAUGAUACAAGGAAAUAAUGAUAUAAAGAAAUAACAACUAAUAUUCUAAUAUCUCAACUUUCCUAAUAUCUAAACAUUCCUAAUAUCUCAACACUAAAUGAUAUAAAGAAAGAAUGAUAUAAGGAAAGCAUUCCUAAUAUCUCAACACUCCUCCUCAAGUUGGUGCAUAGAUGUCAAACAUGUCCAACUUGUCUAAAAAUUUUGAGAACAGUUGACUUGAGACAUCUUUGGUGAGGAUAUCGGUCAAUUGAUCUUCUGAUCGAAUCUUAGGCAAUUCCACAAUCUUAUCAUCCAACUUUUCCUUAAUGAAAAAUCUAUCCAUCUCGACAUGCUUUGUACGAUCAUGUUGUACUAGAUUAUGAGCAAUGUCACAUGCUGCUUUAUUGUCACAAAACAAUCGGAUUGGUUGCCUAGAUAGGUAACCUAAAUCCUAUAAGAGGAGUCUUAGCCAUAAUGCCUCACAAAGUCCUAAAGUCAUACCUCUAAAUUCCGCUUCUGCACUUGAACGAGCGACGACAUUUUGCUUCUUACUUUUCCAUGUCACAAGAUUACCACCUACAAAGGUAAAGUAACCAGAUGUAGAUCGCCUAUCAUCCACUGCACCGACCCAAACAGCAUUAUACUUCUAUACUCUGAUGAUCAACAUUUUUAGCGAACAAAAUUCCCUUCCUAGGAGCAUUCUUCAAAUACCUCAAAAUACGCAUGACUACAUUCAUAUGUUGCUCUCCAGGAUUAUGCAUGUAUUGACUCACUACACUCAAUGUAUAAGCAAGAUCUAGUCUUGUAUGAGCUAAGUACAUUAAUCUCCCCACAAGUCUCUGGUAUCUUCCCUUAUCGAUUGAUACUUGAUUAGGCUCAACACACAAUUUCAGACCUUCUUCUAUUGGUGUAUUAAUAGGUUGACAUCCCGACAUUCCAGUUUCCUGUAGAAGAUCUAAGGCAUACUUUCUUUGAGACAGAAAAAUUCCUUCACUUGAUCGAGAAACUUCAAUCCCAAGAAAGUAUUUCAGACGACCAAGAUCUUUCAUUUCAAAUUCUCUAGAUAGAUACUUUUGCAAAGCUUUUCUUUCUUCAGGAUCAUUUCCUGUAACUACAUGUCAUCCACAUAUAUCAUAAGUGUCGUAAUCUUACCAUGUUGCUUUUUCAAGAACAAAGUGUGAUUUGAAUUACUUUGAUGAUAGCCAAAAGCUCUCAUUGAUUUUGUGAACCUUCCAAACCAUGCUCUCGGGGAUUGCUUCAACCCAUACAAUGACUUCUUCAAUUCGCACACCUUCUGACAUUGCUUUUCUGACACCAUGCAUCCUGGUGGAAGAUCCAUAUAUACUUCUUCAGAUAAAUCGCCAUGCAGAAAGACAUUUUUUACAUCGAACUAUUGUAAUGGCCAAUCUAGGUUUGCAGCUAAAGACAAUAAUACUCGAACUGUGUUGAUCUUAGCUACAGGUGCAAAUGUCUCUGUGUAGUCAAUUCCAUAAGUUUGAAUGUACCCACUAGUCUUGCUUUAAAUCGUUCAAUACUACCAUCUGCCUUGUACUUCACAGUAUAGAUCCAACGACACCCAACUAGCUUCUUUCCUGGUGGACAUUCUACGAGUUCCCAUGUUUCAUUUUUCUGCAAUGAUUUCAUCUCUUCAUUCAUGGUUGCUUUCCACUUUGGAUCAGCUAAAGCUUCCUGCACACUAUUAGGAAUAGCUACAGUAGAUAAUUGAUUUACAAAUGACUUAUUUGAUUCAGACAAACCAUGGUGUGGACCCGCAUUUUUCACGUGCGCCUCUACUCGAUCGGCGAGACUCGCUUUCUAUUUGUGAAAAAUUAAUUUUAGAAAAGUUGGAGUCGCCACCUAUUUUAUUUUUAUUUUGAAGGGAAAAUAAAACAAGAAAGAAAAACCCUAAAAAGUGACUCCAUAGUUUUGGAAAAAGCAUGUCUUUGGGAAACCUGAGUCUAGGUCCGGGGAUCAUGUUACUUAUUGGGAAGGUACCUCUAGGAGGUAGCACCCCUCUAAGCCUUAUGAAGGUCUCUACUAACUAAAUUAAGGGAAGUGUGGCAAUAAAUCGAUUGAUCAUAGAUACCUAAGUAGACUAGGUGAUUUUAAAGUGUGGCAUGUCAAACACAAUCAAAUUGCAAUAAAGGAGAGUUAGGGCGCGUACCUGAACCGCUUCUCAAGCGCUAUCAUAAAACAUCAAUGGUUAAUUUAAAUAAUAUAUCAUCCAGCAUGUAUUUUAUUAGAAAUAAUCAAACAAUGAAACAUGUAUAUCAGAACACUCAAGCAUUAUUAGACAUAAGCAUUAUUUCACUAUUCACAGAAUUCAGAAAGUAGGUGAUAGAGGACAUACCUGGAUAGCAUAGAUAAUUUGUAAUGUGCUUCCUCAAGUUGUAAGGGGUUAGAUAACAAAUAAUAAAAUAUAGAAAUCCUAGCAUGCUCGUUAUCUAAUUAGCAUAGCAAAAGUGAUCACAGUAUACAGAAUCAUCAAUUAUCACAUACAUCUUGUAUAUAAUUCCUAAAAAAAAUAGAUAGACAUGAUUUCAACAAGUGUCAAAUGUGGCAACAAAAAUAAAUUUUGAAAAGAUUUUCUUAUGUAGGGGUUUCACCAAUUCCCCAAAUUAAUAUACACGAAUUUAGCUUAGAAUUAUCCCAUUUAUUUGGGACUACAAGCUUUGAUUCGUGUUUUUGUUCAAAACCAAAAAUUUUUGUUGAAAAUCAAGAAGGAUGCGAACCGAACAAGAUAUGGUUGCAUAUUAUUUUUAAAUAAAUAAAUAAAUAAAUAAAGGAGAUUUUGAUCCUGAGGACUUUAAUGAGUUUUUUUUUUUAAAAUAGAUUUUUAAAAUGAUUUUUUUGAGAAAAGUAUUUUAUUUUAAAAUAAAAGGGAUUAAUUUGGGAAAAAAAUAAAAUAUAAGAAAUAAAAUACCAAACAAAACAAAAAUGAAACCUCAAAGUAAAAUUUUUUUAGUAAUUAACAAAAAUGAUAAUGGUGAUGGUAGAGGGCAAUCUUCAUGAUUUUCCAAUGGCCUCAGAAAGAAAAUCAAAUUAAAUGAAGGAUCACUAACAGGCAAGACAUUCUAAAUUAGACAAACUAACAAAGUAUCAAUUCAUGAACUAACCGCUAGGAUUUUGAAAGCAUAUAAGCUAAGAUAAGGGUGAUCAGGAACUAAUAUUAAUGAUUUUGAAAUAAAAACUAAAAAAAAGGAUCAAUUCGGGUAAGGAACUAAAAUUAUAAAAGUACCUAAACUAAUUAUGACGAGUUUGACUAAAUUAAACUAAAAACAUGAACUUUCAAACAUAGAAUUAAUUUUACUAAUGAACCAAAGCAAACUAAAAAUAUGUACUUUCAAGCAUAGAAUUAAUUUUAUUGAUGAACUAAACUAUAACAAAUAUCUAAACUAAAUAUAAUGAAUCAAAUUAAAUUAAAGCAACUUAAAAACGCAAACUUUCAAACAUAGAAUCAAUUUUAUCAAUGAAUUAAAACUAUAAAUGUAUUUGAACUAAAUAGAUGAAUCAAACUAAAUCAGAGCAAAAUUAAAAAAAAAAAAGAACUUUCUAACAUGAAAUCAAUUUUAUCAACAAAUAAAUGAAUGAAUAACAAGUAAUUAAAAGAAUAGCUACUACAUGAAUAACUGAAUGAAUAAAAUUCAAAUGUUUUCAAUCUGAAGCAAUCAAUCAAAAUUAAAUAGGGAUCAAAUCAAAAUAAUCGAAAUCGGAAAAACAAUAUGCAAUCUUUCUAAAGGUUUAACCAGACAAUUGAAUUAAAAUUAUGAAUAGAAUAAAUUAAUAAACCAAAUCGAAACCUAAAUUGUACCUAAAAAGAUUAAUUAAUUAAACUAAGAAAUCAAAAUCAAUAACAAAACUAAACUAAGGAGUAAAUUAAGACAAGACUAAUUAAAUUAAACUCACAAACACGUUUUAACUAUCAUAUGGAUUAAAACAAAAUUAGCAUGGACUUAUGAAUUACGAACAAAAAUAAUCAAAACUAUUUUAAAAAACUCACCUCUAUUAUAAGAAAAAAUCUGCCUUUGAUGCGUUGAGGUGGCUCCCCUCUCUGUGUGGAUCUCUCUGCUCCCCAGAAAAAAAAUGUCUCUUCCUCCGUUCUCUUUUGUUUCAGCAAAAUAAUAUAUCCCCUGCUGUGGAUCUCUCUACUCCCAGAAAAUAAUAUAUUCUCUCCGUGUCCUAAAGUGGACCUAGGGUGCCUAAGUGGACCUAGGGUGCCUAAAUGGGCCUAGGGUGCCUAAAUGGGCCAAGUGUAUCUAAAUAGGCUUAGGGUGCCUAAGUGGGCCUAAGUCUAAGUGAGCCUAAGUCUAAAUCAAGACUACCAAGGAUCAUAAUAAGGGGUUAGGCAAUCCCUUAACCAAAGUCUCCAAGGUGGCUAAAAAAAAGUAAGUAGUAUGAGUAGCUAUGGGUCACCAAGGAACUACUGUGGAGCAUUGAAAACGAAUUUAAAGACAUGUGCCAAAGGGACAAAAUUGAGGGUCUACAGAUGGUUAGACACAUAGUUGCUCAUGGGAUAUUUGACUUUGGUAAACAAUUCAGAUUCAUAUGUGGGUUUAGGAAUACCUUUAUUAUGACGGUGUGGUAAUCGUUUCAUGAAUGGAUCAGGUUGCAAAUUAAGAACACCCUCAGCAAACAACGAUUGGUUUGGUAUUUCAGUGAAGACAUCUUCGAACCCAAAUUGUUGACCACUCAUAUCCAACUCACCCGCUUCCUGGUUCACUAGUUCAGAUUGUCCAAAUUCAUCAUUCUCAUAGAUAUGAUAAUCAUAAUCGAGAGUCUGAAUUUCCUUAUGGUACUCCCCCUGAAGUUCAGACUUAGAUGAAAAAUACAUCGAAUAUUCAUGAAACAGCNNNNNNNNNNNNNNNNNNNNNNNNNNNNNNNNNNNNNNNNNNNNNNNNNNNNNNNNNNNNNNNNNNNNNNNNNNNNNNNNNNNNNNNNNNNNNNNNNNNNNNNNNNNNNNNNNNNNNNNNNNNNNNNNNNNNNNNNNNNNNNNNNNNNNNNNNNNNNNNNNNNNNNNNNNNNNNNNNNNNNNNNNNNNNNNNNNNNNNNNNNNNNNNNNNNNNNNNNNNNNNNNNNNNNNNNNNNNNNNNNNNNNNNNNNNNNNNNNNNNNNNNNNNNNNNNNNNNNNNNNNNNNNNNNNNNNNNNNNNNNNNNNNNNNNNNNNNNNNNNNNNNNNNNNNNNNNNNNNNNNNNNNNNNNNNNNNNNNNNNNNNNNNNNNNNNNNNNNNNNNNNNNNNNNNNNNNNNNNNNNNNNNNNNNNNNNNNNNNNNNNNNNNNNNNNNNNNNNNNNNNNNNNNNNNNNNNNNNNNNNNNNNNNNNNNNNNNNNNNNNNNNNNNNNNNNNNNNNNNNNNNNNNNNNNNNNNNNNNNNNNNNNNNNNNNNNNNNNNNNNNNNNNNNNNNNNNNNNNNNNNNNNNNNNNNNNNNNNNNNNNNNNNNNNNNNNNNNNNNNNNNNNNNNNNNNNNNNNNNNNNNNNNNNNNNNNNNNNNNNNNNNNNNNNNNNNNNNNNNNNNNNNNNNNNNNNNNNNNNNNNNNNNNNNNNNNNNNNNNNNNNNNNNNNNNNNNNNNNNNNNNNNNNNNNNNNNNNNNNNNNNNNNNNNNNNNNNNNNNNNNNNNNNNNNNNNNNNNNNNNNNNNNNNNNNNNNNNNNNNNNNNNNNNNNNNNNNNNNNNNNNNNNNNNNNNNNNNNNNNNNNNNNNNNNNNNNNNNNNNNNNNNNNNNNNNNNNNNNNNNNNNNNNNNNNNNNNNNNNNNNNNNNNNNNNNNNNNNNNNNNNNNNNNNNNNNNNNNNNNNNNNNNNNNNNNNNNNNNNNNNNNNNNNNNNNNNNNNNNNNNNNNNNNNNNNNNNNNNNNNNNNNNNNNNNNNNNNNNNNNNNNNNNNNNNNNNNNNNNNNNNNNNNNNNNNNNNNNNNNNNNNNNNNNNNNNNNNNNNNNNNNNNNNNNNNNNNNNNNNNNNNNNNNNNNNNNNNNNNNNNNNNNNNNNNNNNNNNNNNNNNNNNNNNNNNNNNNNNNNNNNNNNNNNNNNNNNNNNNNNNNNNNNNNNNNNNNNNNNNNNNNNNNNNNNNNNNNNNNNNNNNNNNNNNNNNNNNNNNNNNNNNNNNNNNNNNNNNNNNNNNNNNNNNNNNNNNNNNNNNNNNNNNNNNNNNNNNNNNNNNNNNNNNNNNNNNNNNNNNNNNNNNNNNNNNNNNNNNNNNNNNNNNNNNNNNNNNNNNNNNNNNNNNNNNNNNNNNNNNNNNNNNNNNNNNNNNNNNNNNNNNNNNNNNNNNNNNNNNNNNNNNNNNNNNNNNNNNNNNNNNNNNNNNNNNNNNNNNNNNNNNNNNNNNNNNNNNNNNNNNNNNNNNNNNNNNNNNNNNNNNNNNNNNNNNNNNNNAACCAAAGGAAGCAUGUUCCAGACGUCGAUGCCACAACCAAAUUUCAGACUUUUUCUUCUCCUCCUUAGAUCCAUCUGCCAUCAAGGCUUGUUGCAACUUAUUUGAAUCCUUUGAUUGCAAGUCCAAGUAUAGAGUUUCCCCCGCUUAAUACGACAACCAAUCGUCUGUCUUGUUUGAAUGUCCUUAAUCACACAAAAUUCAGGCCAAAAAAUGACAAUACAAGAUAAGGCUGCAGUGAUUUGAGAAACUAACAAAAGAUUGUAAUCUAAAGAUGGAACAACUAAAACAGAAUCCAAAUUCAAAGUAUCAGUAAGAGUUAAGGAUCCUUCCCCAAUGACUGGGGUUGUGUUACCAUUGGCUGUGGAAACAAUUUUUUGUGAGGAAGGUCUAAGGGGUGAAACCUGUCUAGAAUCAAAAGUCAUAUGAUCUGUAGCACCAGAAUCAAUUAUCCAUGCACUAUUAAUAACAGGUGUAAAAGUAUUUAAAAACUUACCACAAUGAUCUGUAGCGGCUACUAAUGCAGAGACUUUCUCAACAACAUUAGUCUUUGUUUUUAUUUCGGUAACAGUUGCAAUCAAGGUUUUCUUGGAAUUCUUCUUCCGUUGAUCACGAUUAUUAUCAUUAAUAACAAAGUGUUGAUAGCCUAAACAUGAUCUAAAGGUCCAUGGUGCAAACCCUCGGUUCCUCAUUGUUUUCCUGGUCAUACCAAGAGUUGUUGCUUUGAAAUUGUGGGAUAUCCAGACUGGUGGGAUCAGUUUUAUUGCAGUGAGUGCAUUUGAAUGUUGACUUAUCAAUAUUAGGGCUUGUCUUCGGAUGGUUGAUUGCUGUUGGACUACCAUAGCGACAAAAUAUCCAGGAUUUCAAUUCCAGGGCUCUGAUACCAUCUUCAAAUUGAUGAAUGAUAGUUUUUCAUUCAUUCUUUCAUGUACAGAGUAUAUAUAGAGGGUAAUCACCAUUCUAAGAAUGGGAAAGAAUGAUACGAGGAAAUAAUGAUAUAAGGAAAUAAUAACUAAUAUCCUAAUAUCUCAACUUUCCUAAUAUCUCAAUAUUCCUAAUAUCUCAACUUUCCUAAUAUCUAAACAUUCAUAAUAUCUCAACACUAAAUGAUACAAGGAAAGAAUGAUAUAAGGAAAACAUUCCUAAUAUCUCAACACCACUUCAUGAUAUAUAUAGUUUCUUACCCUUAAUCAAUGGUUUCUAAGUGAAUUUAUAUAGAAAGAAAUCCAAACUGUAGACAGCAGUAUUGGUAACACUCAAUAUUCUGUAUAUAAUAGAAUAAAUAGCGUCACAGUGAUCGUCGCCUACAAGCAAGGUACAAAUACCACAAAGAGUGACCCACAUAGACAUUCCCCAACAAGAUGUAGUAGUGACUGACACAUAGCCACAAUUAACACGUAGAAAAGGAUAAGACCGGUGCACAGUAGCUCUUAUUUUACAUACUACUUAUGCCAACCAAAGUCACUCAGUUGGGAUGGGAGGGAGAUGGAGGUUUGUGCGGUGGCUUGUGGGGCGGAGUUGAUGGCUUCUUUCCAGGAGCUUCUGGCUUUUUCAUCGGAGCUGAAGGAGGCUCAAUCUUAUGAGGCGGCUUGUACGAGUCUUCUUUGCUCUCGAAAGGAGGGUGGCCAGGGUUGUGACCAUAAUGUGGUGGUUUCUCUCCCUUGGGAGGUUUACCAAUUGGGGUUGGUGGCUUGUGUUCUGGGAGUGGUUUCUCUCCCUUGGGAGGUUUAGUGGGUGACUUGUGUUCUGGAGGUGGCUUCUCCACCGAAGGCUUGUGCUCCGGUGGUGGCUUUUUGGUUGGAGGGGGCUUGGGGUAAUCAGCAAGAGAUGGGGUGGUGAGAACCACCAGUCCAAGGAACAACACUAGCAAGUAUGUGGGAGACAUUUUUGAGUUUGGGCUGAUCAGAUGAUGCAAAACUAAAGCAUUACGUGACCUUUUAUAGCAAGUAGCUCCCAAUACCUACUUGACACGUGUUACUGUGACCCAUAAAUAUUAUGGGGUCUAUUUGUGCCCUACCGGGUUGAAAACUUGGACAAUUGGGCAAGGACCCGCCUGACUAUGGAGGACUACUGAGGUGUGAUCACAGCUUUAGGAUUUUUCUUCCUCUGCAGCCGUCUUGCCGUUGGCAUGAUUUUCUUAAUCUCAAAUAAAGGCAUAGUUAUAGAGUUGUUUAAUCUCUAAAUGGGAUUUUAUAUAUCUUCAGAUAGCCAUUAAUACAUUUGAUGAAGAAAGAAAGACAAGUGCAUACAACAUGUAUACGACUAGCUUUCAUGGAGUUCAUUUAUGAUCAGUUUUCCUGUACAUGUAAACCAAGAUCAUAUAUGUUUUUGUUCCACAACAAUUUUGGAAUCUUGUUUAUCCGUUUUUAUCAUUAUAAUGUCACAUAGGCUGCCAACUUGGGCGCUAAAUUAAAGAUCCAGUUGGGCAAGUUCGUUUCAGAAUUUCAAUGGUGGAUUCAGGAAUUGUUUUAUAAGAUAUGCAAAAUAGUAGAGGGAUGAAUAGUGUUUCAUUAAGAAAAGAGCCCUGUAAAAAUAUUGUUUAAAGGUGCCAUAGAAACUAUAAUCAAUAAAUAACUUUUUUUCCCCAUGGGUGGUGUUUCUUGUGGGGAUCAGUGACUGGUUUGAGUCAACGCCGUGUCUCUUUAGUCCAGAAAUCAACUAUUUUAUGCAUUGAAUACAUCAACAAAGAAAAUAUGAAAGCCAAAUGACACCUCCCCCGCAAAAACUAAACCCUGGUUGCUAACUUUCUAUGUUUCAGUUCCAUUCACACAAGAAUAUUAGUUCAAGUUUGAGAAAAAUGGCGACUUACCUAGUGAUAACUCGGUCUUGGUUUGCGAUUUGACUUUAACGUCAUGGGUUGAAGCCUCCUACAAUCAUCGUGUAUGCUAGUUCAAAGCUCGUGGAAGAAGUUAUACAGGGAGGGAGAAACCUCCACAGCAAGCUCCAAAAGAGAAUUAUCACAUUGAAAGCUCCAGUUGAACACUGGGUGAAAGCCAUAACAAGAUUGGUUUUCUAUCGCUCUUUUAAGUAAUGGAAGAUUAUUAUCUCUGCUUGUCACUACAACCGUGCAUGCUGCUAGAUCUUUCUAGACACUUCAAACAGUGAAACCAAGUAUGAUUCUUUUUCUCUUGAGUGGGUCCACUUGCAUGCCAAUGAACGAGUUGAAAAGUUGGACAAUUGGCCACAGCGCGCACUUACCUUCUGGAACCGAAGGUCAGUGAAGUGGGGUUCCUUUUGGCCCCUUGUGUUUCUGUUCCAACCUACUCCAGGAACCGAAGUUCAGUGAAGUGGGGCUACUUUUGGCCUCUUGUGUUUCUGUUCCAACCAAACAAAAAUGGGAGGGAAAAAUAGCAUUAUGCUUGUGCUAAAGAUCAACGCAUGAUAGCUGAAUAAGGGAGAAAAAGGCAUUGCUAUCUCAAUUUCAUAAACUUGAUAAGUAGUGACAUUAAUAGUCUUCCUCAUAGAUGGAUACAUGGUUUUAUUUUAUUUAUUUAUUUUUAUUUUUUUGUUUUAUGUCAAUGCUAAUGAAUGAAGUGCAUUAGCUUGUUUUGUGACUAGAACUACAAAUGUCCAAAUUGGAGCUUCUCCAAUAUAUUUCUCAGUGAGUUAUUGAUUAGAACUCUUGGAUUGAGUUCCAAGAUUUGAAUCAGACCCCUCUAGCAGCUUCAGGGGUACGUAGCAACCUAUAGCAUAUUAAUGAAGACUUAGGAUUUAGACUUAGGAAUACAAAUUAAUAUGUACCUCAUGCUCUGACUAGCUUCCCUGCGUAUGCACAAAAUGGAGAUGACUCCCAAAAAAAUAGCAGAAUCGCCUUAGUAUGUUUUUGUGGUUAAGAUGAUUCUCCACUUUAUAUAUCCACAUUGGUUCAUUAUGCAAAUUAAUCAACUAAGCUAUUUUUAUUUUUUCUUAAAUGUGAAAUAGGAGCUCCAAAUUAACCUAACCAUUGGCCUGAUUGAAUUGAUUUCACUUGCAUAAUGUUAUAGUAGAAGUCCGUAAUUUGAAUUUUAUUUUUGCAAAAGGUAACGUAAAUGAAGCAUUGUAAUUAAAUUUAUUUGUAAUUACAAACUAAUUUUAUUUUAUUAAGAAUUAAUUUAAUUACUCAUUUAAAAUAAAAAUCAGUUAUACUUUUACCAAGAUGAUAAUAUUCAUAUUUUUCUAGUUAACAUAUAUAAAAUAGUACACUUUUUCAUAUAAAAAAAUAAUUUAUGAUUUAUUAUAAUGUUACUAUUCACAUUUUACUAAAUUGAUGGUACAUGAUAGUGAGAGAAGGGGGUGUCACACUCAGCUAAAGUUCUUUUCAAAAUAUUGCAUGGUGUUUAAUUUUAUGUGUCGGCGCGCGUGUGAAUGGAACCUGCAAAAGUCCAAAUUGGCGUUUCUCCAUUUUCCACAUAGGAUGGUGACGUUAAUAGACAAAGAUACAAUAUCUGUAGACAUUGCUUAAAAAUCGAUGUGAAGUAUUAGAAAUUACAGGGCACUGUACUGGGGGAGCGGCUGCCCCGCCAAAGGAGGAAGAAUGUAGCAAUUUCUUCUGUUAGCCAGGCCUUAGGAUUUAUGCAUGGGAUGCCUAAUAACAAACAGAGAAAAUAUACUUUUGGGGAAGGUAUCCAACAACAGACACCAUCAUUCAGAUGGUGGGAAGGUAUCCAACAGAUGCCAUCAUUCAGAUGGUAACAUAUAUAUACAUUUAUUAGUGAGUUUUUUUAAUACCUAUAAAAAAAAAUAUACACUUUGAUAUUGUGGCUGAAUCCAUUACAUACUCAACUAACCUUGCUCAUUAGGGAUUUGACUUAACAAGGGCAACGUUGCAGUACAAGCUCAAAACUUUAUGCAGGUGACAUUACAUUUGGUAAAGAAGAGGAAAAUAACGAAAGCCAUCCAUAAAAGCAAAAUUCCACAUGGGAUGAAAUUCACAAGCUUCAUUUACGAUAGAGUCGCAUCCAGGCAAUUAAUUCCACAUUAGACCGCCUGUUGACAUGUGUACCAAUCUUUUUUCAAAAAAUAUUUAUAAAUAAUUGAUACUCACAAAAAUAAUUUAAUAUUUAUAAAGGAUAAAAAAAUAUUUUCAAAUCUAUAACAAUUUAUAAAAUAUUAAUAAAAAAUUAUCUCUUAAACUUAGUAUAGUUUUAUCAGAUUAAACUUUUAUUUUGAACAAAUAAUUUUAAUCUAAGUUUUAAAUUCUAAAAUUAUUUCCUUAAAAUAAAAUUUUAAAAUUCAACACUUCAAUUGAAAUUGUCUUUUUAAAAAAUAUCUUCUUAUUUUAAUCCUUAUAAACUAUAGUUGAUUGAAAAUACUAUUGAAGUUCUCUCUUAAAAAAAAGUCUUAUUUUAAUCUUCAUAAAUUGCCCUUGAUUUGAAAAUAAAUUUUCAGUUAUCAUAUUUUAAAUAAUAUCUAUAUUUAAAAUACUCUAUUUAAAAAAAAAUGAACUAAUUUUAAUUAUAUUAUAUUUUAUUUUUUUAUAUAUUUUUAAUGAUAAACCAAACAUAGAAAAUCAUUUUUCUAAAUAUUUUAAAAUUUCUAAGCAACCAAACAUAAUCUUCAAAAUAAAAGGAAAAUAAGGAGGGACAUUUGAGAAAUGGCGAUUAAAAAAAAGUGUACAAAAGCUCAAUUAAUUUUCUUCUAGUCUUUUAUAUAAAAAAGUAAAGGAAUUGAAAAGUAUUGAUAUGUAAAUUAAUAUUUGGAUUUUAAUAGUAUUUUAUUUGUCUUUCUCUAUCUCAUGUAAAAGAGAAUUUAAGAUAUUUCCUAAAGCAAAGCAUUAGUUAUCUGCAAUCAGUGGUGAUCAUGCCCCAUGUCAAUUUCGGACCCAUAUCUUAAAACUGUAUAAUUUGCAUUCAAACAUUACUGAUUUCUCAGAUGUUUCAUACUCCACAGAAGAGCAUUGUUUGUGAAAGCAUGCAUUUAUGUUGGAUUUUGGAUGAUGUGGGAACUGGGGCAAGGAUCAUAUGGAAGAGUGGUCGAUUUUGUUCUGUACUUUAACAUUUGAAAUAGGAGAAGCUCGGGCAUUUGUGGGGCUUAAUUGAUUUUGAAGCCUGAAAUUGCGUUUCUGUCAUUUUGUAAAAAAUAUGGCAGAUUCCAUGCUCUCAUAUGUUUGGUCUGUGGCCAUGUAUAGAUGCCCCUUAGUGACCAGUUUGUAACUGUCAAUCAUAGUGUUUUGACUCUGGCUCAACAACAUCAGCCAUUGACGGAUUUUCAUACUUGCAAAUCAAAUAGUCUUCUUCCUCCCUUAGGAAUUUCGGUUUAAAUGUUAUUAAGCAUACAUUUGGCUGACAAUUAUUAACCACUUCAUGAUAUGGUUUCUUACCCUUAAUCAAUGGUUUCUAAGUGAAUAUAUGCAGAAGGAAAUCUGAACUGUAGACAGCAGUAUUGAUAACUCUCAAUAUUCUUUAUAUAAGAGAAUAAACAACGUCAUAGUGAUCGUCGCCUACAAGAAAGGUACAUUUCCCAACAAGAUGUAGUUGUGACUGGUACAUGGACGCAAUUAACUCGUACAAAAGAAUAAGACCAGUGCACGGCAGCUCUUAUUUUACAUGCUAAUUAUGCUAACCAAAGUCACUCAGUUGGGAUGGGAGGGAGAUGGAGGUUUGUGCGGUGGCUUGUGGGGCGGAGUUGGUGGCUUCUUUUCAGGAGCUUGUGGCUUUUUCGGAGCUGAAGGAGGCUCAAUCUUAUGAGGCGGCUUGUACGAGUCUUCUUUACUCUCGACAGGAGGGUGGCCAGGGUUGUGACCAUAAUGUGGUGGCUUCUCUCCCUUAGGUGGCUUGCCAACUGGGGUUGGUGGCUUGUGUUCAGGAAGUGGUUUCUCUCCCUUGGGAGGUUUACCAAUUGGGGUUGGUGGCUUGUGUUCUGGGAGUGGUUUCUCUCCCUUGGGAGGUUUAGUGGGUGACUUGUGUUCUGGAGGUGGCUUCUCCACCGGAGGCUUGUGCUCCGGUGGUGGCUUCUCCACCGGAGGCUUGUGCUCCGGUGGUGGCUUCUUGAUUGGAGGGGGCUUGGGGUAAUCAGCAAGAGAUGGGAUGGUGAGAACCACCACUCCAAGGAACAACACUAGCAAGUAUGUGGGAGACAUUUCUGAGUUUGAGCUGAUCAGAUGAUGCAAAACUAGAAGAAUUACGGGACCUUUUAUAGCAAGUAUCUCCCAAUACCCACAUGACACGUGUUACUAUGACCAUAAAUAUUAUAGGGUCCAUUUGUGCCCUACCGGGUUGAAAACUUGGACGCUUGGCCGAGGACACACCUGACUAUGGAGGACUAUUGACGUGUGAUCACAGCUUUUGGAUUUUUCUUCCUGUGCAGCUGUCUAGCGGUUGGCAUUAUUUUCUUAAUCUUAAAUAAAGGCAUAGUUAUAGAGUUGUUUAAUCUCUAAAUGGGAUUUUAUAUAUCUUCAGAUAGCCAUUAAUAUAUUUGAUGAAGAAAGACAAGUGCAUACAACAUGUAUACGGCUUGCUUCAAUCGAGUACAUUUAUGAUCAGUUUUCCUGUGCAAGUAAACCAGUUUUUUGUUCCACAACUAUUUUGGAAUCUUGUUUAUCAGUUUCUAUCAUUAUAAUGUCACAUAGGCUGCAAACUUGGGCACCCAAAGAUCUAGGUGGGCAAAUUUGUUUCAGACUUUCAAUGGUGGAUUCAGUAAUUGUUAAAAGGUGUUUCUUCAUUAAGGAAAGAGUCCGGUAAAAAUAUUGUUAAAAGGUGUCAUAGAAACUAUAAUAAAUAAAUAACUUCUUUUCCCCAUGGGUGGUGUUUCUUCUGGGGAUCAGUGACUGGUUAGGGUCACCCAAAAUGAGUCCAGAUUAAAAUUGGUUCGAGUCAAAGCAGUCUCUUUUGUCCAGAAAUCAACUAUUUUGCGCAUUGAAUGAAUCGAUAAAGAAAAAAUGAAAGCCAAAUCACACCUCCCCUGCAAAACCUAAACCCCGGUUGCUAACUUUCUAUGUUUCAGUCCUAUUCAUAUAGGAAUAUUGGUUCAAGUUUGAGAAAAAUGGCAACUUACCUAGGGUUUACUUGGUUUUGGUUUGCGACUAUUUACGCAACCAACCAUGAGUUUGACUUUAACGUCAUGGGUUGAAGCCUCCUACAAUCAUGUAUGAUAGUUCAAAGCUCGUGGAAGAAAUUAUACAGGAAGGAAGAAACCUCCAAAGCUAGCUCCAAAAGAGAAUUAUCACAUCGAUAGCUCCAGAGAUUCCCAAGGGAACUGAAUCAAAGACAAGUUCCUCACUUUUUCUUCUUUUGAGGCCAAAUAUGAACCAAGGAUCACACGACCUCAUUCAACUUCAUAAGUUUGAUUUCAUGCAGUUGAACACUGGGUGAAGGCCAUGACAAGAAUUGAUUAAAAAAUUCUACCACUCUUUUAAGUAAUGGAAGAUUAUUAUCUCUGAUUGGCACCACAACAGCACAUGCUGCUAGAUCUUUCUAGACACUCCAUGCAAUGAAAGCACAAUGGAUCUUGUAAUGAUAGAAACUAAGCCAUGCUACAGUACUAGAUGAGGGGGUAAAACUAGUAGACAUCUUUCUAGACACUCCAUGCAAUGAAAGCACAAUGGAUCUUGUAAUGAUAGAAACUAAGCCAUGCUACAGUACUAGAUGAGGUGGUAAAACUAGUAGACAUGGCUGGCAGUUGAUUACUACUCAAAAAGUACUCUUUUAUAGCUUGAAACUAACUGUUUUAAACACUUUUGAGUAGUAGUUAAUACCUUUUAACUUAAUUGGCACAUUAAGGAACCUAGCAAGGGUUACUAAUCAACAUUUGGCAAGUUUUGAUGUUUUUGGUAGCUAUUUGAUCAUUGAAACAAGCCAAGAAUGAGGGGGAAUUUUGUGAAGUCCAUGGCAAUGCAAGUUAAAGCUCAAAUACAUGAAGAAUCCAAGCUUUGGAGCACUUCAUAGCCCUUUGCCAAGCCAAUCAAAGAUGCAAGGAAGAAAACCAAAGGAAGAAAUCCAACAAUCAGCAUUUUGGCAUGGCUAUGUGAAAUUUCGCACACCAUGCGAAACCACAAGAGGCAGCCAAAGAAUUUCGCAUGGUAUGCGAAAUCUUCUUGUGCACUGACUCUGUUAGAUUUUUAUCUUCAGAUAUUUUGUGUAAUUUCCUAGUUUCUCCUUGUAACCAACUUAGAUAUUUUCUUUUAUAUCUUUUUUUAUAUUUUUUAGGUAACAUCAUAUAUAAGAGGAGAGACAUAAGGAGGAUAUGGAUGUUUUUCAUAGAACACUUGUAAAUUUUUGGUAGUAAGAAAUAUACAAAGCUUUUUGCUCUGCCUUACCUUCUCAAGGGAUGAGUGGCUAGGUUUUCUUGGAGUGAGGGAAGCUAGGUGAAGGACCUGAAUGCAAAGGUGGGAGUUUUCCUUACUUUAAAUGAAAGUAGUUGUUAAACAUUAAUGGUUUUUAUUUUAAGGUUUAGCUUUAAAUCCCUGAAAAACACCUUGAAUGGCCAAUACUUGGUAAGCUUUUUAGAUUCUAUGGAUGCUUAUUGCUAGAUCCAUGGAUGUCUAUUAGUUAUCAUUUACGAGCCAUUGGAAGGUGAUUCAAGGUGAGGGUCUUUAGUGUUUGAAGCCAUUAAUGGGAAGCAAUUACCAUUUUUUCAUGAAUCCUUUGGAUCAAAUCUUAAUUGCUAAAUAUAAAACCGGUUUCGAGAGAUAACCACCAUCCUUUAUGUUAUUAUCCCCAACGCGAGGAGAAGAUCCGAAAUCUUCCUUUUUAUCUAAGGAACCCGAUCCUAGUGACCUAAAGCUCCAAGAUACCUUUUCUUUGUAGUUAACUUCAUUUAUUGUUUUUGCUUAACUUAAAAUCAAUCUUUGCAACCACAAUUCCAUUUUCUUUAAAAGCUAAUUUUUAUAAGGAAAAACACCAUUUUAUUUCCUUCACUAAGUCAACUGUACGAUGAAAACCCAUCCCUGUGGACGAUCCUAGAGCCACUAUACUAUGUUAGCUAUGCUACCCUAGUGUGAGGUGAUUUAGGUUUUAUAAAUUUUUUUGAUAACACCCAUCUGAGCCAGAAUCAAAUGGCACGACUGAACCAGGGACGAAUCAAAUGACGCCGCUACCAAGGAUGGUGCCAAAGUACAUUGACAUGACUUUUGGUGAACACUUGUGAUCUUCACCACAAGUUUGGUGAUUUUUCUUUUACUAAUUUUUUUUAUUUUAGCUUAUCUUUUAUUUAGUUUUUAGUUAACCUUAAAUUUUUCCUAGAAUUGUAUUUCUUUUGUUUUCUUUGUUUUUGUUUCAGUGAUCUUUAGUUGUGCAUGCCCUAUUGGAUAAGAGAUAUUGAGGGAAUACUUGUGAAGAUUGAAACUCCUCGAGAAACUGAGUUAGAAGUGUGCUUGAACAUCAUGGAUGUUCCACCUGAAGACCAGAAUAGCCAACAUGGUUAAGAGGAUAAUUUCAACACAUACCGAUCCAUGAGGAACCGCAUACAUCCACCUUGUAUGAGUGCACCGUCAGGCAUAAUGCCUCCCACUGAGCAGCUAGUAAUCUGACCUCACAUUGUGCCACUCCUACCUACUUUCCAUGGGAUGGAGAGUGAGAAUCCCUACUCGCAUAUUAAGGAAUUCGAGGAGGUUUGUAAUACAUUCCAAGAAGGAGGAGCUUCAAUUGACUUGAUGAGGCUCAAGCUAUUUCCUUUCACUUUGAAGGAUAAGGCCAAGAUUUGGCUUAAUUCUUUAAGGCCAAGAAGUAUCCAAACUUGGAUUGAUUUGUAAGCCGAGUUUCUUAAGAAGUUCUUCCCUACCCAUAGGACCAAUGGUUUGAAAAGGCAAAAUUUGAACUUCUCAGUUAAAGAGAAUGAGAAAUUCUAUGAGUGUUGGGAGAGCUACAUGGAAGCUAUUAACGUUUGUCCUCACCAUGGCUUUGACACAUGGCUCUUAGUGAGCUAUUUUUACAAUGGUAUGUCUUCUUCAAUGAAGCAACUCCUAGAAACUAUGUGUGGAGGAGACUUCAUGAGUAAGAAUCCGGAGGAAGCCAUGGACUUUUUGAGUUAUGUGGCUGAAGUUUCAAGAGGAUGGGAUGAACCAAAUGCUAGAGAGGUGGGAAGAAUGAAGUCUCAACCUAAUGCUAAGGGUGAGAUGUAUGUUUUGAAUGAAGACAUUGACAUGAAAGCAAAGGUUGCAGCUAUGGCAAGGAGAUUGGAAGAGCUAGAAAUGAAGAACAUACAAAAAGUGCAAGCCAUUUCUGAGACAUCAAUGAAAGCUAUGCCUUGUUCCAUUUGUCAAUCUUAUAAGCACCUAGUGGAGGAGUGUCCUACAAUUCCAGCAGUGAGAGAGAUGUUUGGUGAUCAAGCAAAUGUUAUUGAUCAAUUCAAGCCUAAUAACAAUGCUUCAUAUGGCAACACCUACAAUUCAAAUUGGAGGAACCAUUCAAAUUUCUCUUGGAAACGAAAGCCACCUCAAUACACACAACCUACUCAAGCACCUUAGCAAUCCUCGAAUCUUGAACAAGCUAUUGUGAACCUUAGCAAGGUUGUGGGAGACUUUGUGGGAGAUCAGAAGUCCAUCAAUGCUCAACUGAAUCGGAGAAUUGACAGUGUGGAGAGUACAUUGAACAAAAGGAUGGAUGAGAUGUAAAAUGAUCUGUCUCAAAAGAUAGACAAUGUCCAAUACGUAAUCUCAAGGCUUACCAACCUCAACACAGUGUAAGAGAAAGGAAAGUUUCCUUCUCAACCUCAUCAAAAUCCUAAGGGUAUCCAUGAAGUAGAGGCUCAAGAGGGAGAAUCUUCAAAGGUGAGGGAAGUCAAAGUAGUUAUCACCUUGAAGAGUGGUAAAGAGGUUGAUCAACCCACAUCCAAGCCAAAGCAUAAUGAAGAGAGUGUAGCAGAAAAAGAAAAGAGAGGAAAAUAAAGGAAUUAGAAUAGAGAAAAAUACAAAGAAAGAUGACCAUGAGUCUAGUGUGGAUGAAGAGCCCGAGAGGAUGGUGAUCAAGGAAGAUAUGAUGAAGAAACACAUGCCUCCACCUUUCCCCUAAGCUUUGCAUGACAAAAAAAGAACCAAUAAUACAUCAGAAAAUUUUGAAGUAUUGAGGCAAGUGAAGGUCAAUAUCCCUUUGCUAGACAUGAUCAAACAAGUGUCGACAUAUGAAAAAUUCUUGAAGGACUUGUGCACUGUAAAGAGAGGGUUGAAUGUGAACAAGAAAGCUUUAUUGACCGAGCAAGUGAGUUCCAUCAUACAGUGCAAGUCCUAGUGAAGUACAAAGAUCCGGGUUGCCGUACCAUCUCAGUGAGUAUUGGAAGGACUUGUGUGGAGAAAGCUUUGUUGGACUUGGGAGCAAGUGUGAAUUUGCUAUCCUACUCUGUCUAUAAGCAGUUGGGAUUUGGAGAGUUGAAGCCAAUAUCCAUCACUCUAUCUCUAGCGGAUAGAUCAAUGAAGAUUCCAAGAGGGAUGAUCGAAGAUGUCCUGGUUCAAGUUAACAAAUUCUACUAUCCAGUAGAUUUUGUUGUUCUUGAUAUGGAUCCGGUUGUCAAAUGAACUAAUUAUGUUCCUAUCAUACUUGGAAGACCCUUCCUAGCUACAUCAAAUGCAAUCAUCAAUUGUAGGAAUGGAGUCAUGCAACUCACAUUUGUCAACAUGACAUUAGAGCUCAACAUCUUCCAUUUGUACAAGAAGCAUAUCCAUCAGGAGGAAAAAGAAGGUCUAGAGGAAGUGUGAAUGAUUGACACUUUAGUGGAAGAGCAUUGUGAUCGAGAAUGCAAAAAGAUUUAGUUGAGAAUUUUGGGGAUCUUGAUGAAAGGUUACUUGAACCCUCAGAUUUGCUUGCUACCCUACUCCAUUGGAAGAGAAGAGAAGAAAUUCUACCCUUAUUCAAUGAGGAGGAGACGCAAAGAGCUGCAAAGGAGAAACCCCCAAAACUUAUUCUUAAGCCACUACCCACAGAGUUGAAGUAUGUAUACUUGGAAGAAGACAAGAAGUGCCCUAUUGUUAUAUCUUCAACUCUUACCAUUCAUCAGGAGGAUUGUCUACUUGAAGUCCUUAGAAGAUGUAAGAAGACAAUAAGGUGGCUAAUUUCUUAUUUGAAAGGGAUCAGCCCUUUAGUCUGCACCCAUCAUAUUUACAUGGAGGAUGAAGCUAAGCUAAUUCAUCAACCUCAGAGAAGGUUGAACCCUCACAUGCAAGAGGUGGUUCGAGCUGAAGUUCUGAAGCUACUUCAGACCAGUAUUAUUUACCCCAUAUCAAAUAGCCCAUGGGUGAGUCCUACUCAAGUUGCGCCAAAGAAGUCUGGGAUCAUGGUGGUGCAAAAUGAUAAGGGAGAAGAUGUCUCUACACGCCUCACUACAGGUUGGAGGGUGUGUAUCAAUUACAGGAGGUUGAAUGCAGUGAUAAGAAAGGACCAUUUCUCAUUGCCCUUUAUUGAUCAGGUGCUUGAGAGGGUCUCUGGGCUUUUUUUUUUAUUGUUUCUUGGAUGGCUACUCCGGGUACUUUCAGAUAGAAAUUGAUGUUGAAAACCAAGAUAAGACCAUUUUCACAUGCCCAUUUGGAACCUAUGCAUAAAGGAGAAUGCCUUUCGGCUUAUGCAAUGCACCCGCAACUUUCCAAAGAUGCAUGUUAAGCAUUUUCAGUGAUAUGGUGGAGCGUAUUAUGGAAGUCUUUAUGGAUGAUAUCACCAUUUAUGGAAGUGCAUUUGAUGAAUGCUUGGUCAACUUAGAAGCUGUUCUGAACCGAUACAUUGAGAAAGACUUAGUGCUUAACUGGGAGAAGUGCCAUUUCAUGGUACACCAAGGGAUUGUCCUUGGGCACAUUAUCUCCAAGCAAGGCAUUGAAGUUGACAAAGCAAAGGUUGAACUCAUUGUUAAGUUGCCAUCCUCAACAAAUGUCAAAGGAGUAAGGCAAUUCUUUGGCCAUGUCGGGUUCUAUAGGAGGUUUAUCAAGGAUUUCUCUAAGCUUGCAAGGCCUCUUUGUGAAAUAUUGGUGAAUGAUGUUAAAUUCAUAUGGGAUGAUGGAUUUGAAAGGAGUUUUGAAGAAUUGAAGCUAUUUUUGACAACCGUACCAAUAGUGAGGGCUCCCAACUGGCAACUGCCCUUUGAAGUAAUGUGUGAUGUCAAUGAUUUUGCUAUAGGAUUUUUUCUUGGGCAAAGAGAAAAUGGAAAACCUUAUGUGAUCUACUAUGCGAGGAAGGCAUUGAAUGAGGCACAAAGAAACUACACAACCACCGAGAAAGAAUUGUUAGCUGUAGUUUUUGCCUUGGAUAAGUUUCGCGCUUACUUGGUGGGGUCCUUCAUCAUGGUUUUUACUGAUCACUUUGCUUUGAAGUAUCUGUUGACUAAGCAAGAUGCUAAAGCAAGGCUGAUUAGAUGGAUUCUCUUACUUCAAGAGUUCAAUCUCCAUAUCAAAGAUAAGAAAGGAGUGGAGAAUGUGGUAGCAGACCACAUUUCAAGGCUAGCUAUCGCACAUAAUUCCCAUGCUUUGCCCAUUAAUGACGAUUUUCUAGAGGGGUCUCUCAUGUUGGUGGAAGUUGUCCCUUGGUACGCUCACAUUGCUAACUACCUGGUCACGGGAAAAGUUCCAAGUGAGUGGAAAGCACAAGAUAAGAAGCACUUCUUUGCAAAAAUUCAUGCCUACUAUUGGGAAGAGCCAUUUCUAUUCAAGUAUUGUAUGGAUCAGAUAAUAAGGAAGUGCGUUCCUGAAGAAGAGCAACAGGGGAUCCUUAGUCAUUACCAUGAAAAUGCAUGUGGAGGCCACUUUGCUUAUCAAAAGACAGCCAUGAGGGUGUUGCAAUCGGGUUUCUGUUGGCCAUCACUUUUCAAAGAUGCCCACACCAUGUGCAAGAGUUGUGAUCGAUGCCAGAGGCUUGGGAAGUUGACACGCAGGAACAUGAUGCCUUUGAACCCCACUUUAAUAGUUGAUAUUUUUUAUGUUUGGGGCACUAACUUCAUGGGACCUUUCCCUAUGUCUUUUGGCUACUCUUACAUCUUGGUAGGAGUAGAUUAUGUUUCUAAGUGGGUUGAGGCAGUCCCAUGCAAACACAAUGACCAUAGAGUGGUUCUCAAGUUUCUUAAAGAGAAUAUCUUCUCAAGAUUUGGGGUGCCCAAAGCCAUAAUUAGUGAUGGGGGUACUCAUUUUUGCAACAAGCCUUUUGAAACUCUCCUAGCCAAGUAUGGGGUGAAGCAUAAGGUAGCUACACCUUACCACCCUCAAACUCAUGGACAAGUUGAGUUAGCAAACAGGGAGAUUAAAAACAUAUUGAUGAAGGUGGUGAACACAAACAGAAAAGAUUGGUCAGUCAAGCUUCUUAAUUCACUAUGGGCAUAUAGAACAACUUACAAGACCAUUCUCGGGAUGUCUCCUUAUCGCCUAGUUUAUGGCAAAGCAUGCCAUCUCCCUGUGGAAUUGGAAUACAAAGCUUGGUGGGCAAUCAAGAAGCUCAACAUGGAUUUGAGCAGAGCUGGGUUGAAGAGGUUCUUAGACCUUAAUGAGAUGGAGAAAUUGAGAAAUGAUGCCUACAUCAAUUCAAAAAUUGCAAAAGAAAAAUUGAAGAGGUGGCAUGAUCAGUUGAUUUCCCGCAAGGAUUUUCAAAAUGGACAAAGAGUCUUACUUUAUGACUCUAAACUCCACAUCUUUCCGGGCAAGCUGAAAUCAAGGUGGAUAGGUCAUUUUACCAUUCACCAAGUGCAUUCAAAUGGAGUAGUGGAACUACUCAACUCCAACAAUAUCGAGAACUUCAAAGUGAAUGGCCACCGUCUCAAGCCCUUUGUGGAGUCUUUUUCUCACAACAAGGAGAAAUUCAUCCUCCUUGAUCCACAUCAAGCUUAACAAGACCAAUUUUCUUGAUGGACUUAGUCUUUCUAAAGACUAUCGAGUCCAUAACUUUUUGUUUUAUUUUUUAUUUGAGAUUUUUUCGGUAUUGUUACUUGUUUUGUUUUUUAUUUUUCGUUUUAAUUUUAUUUGGUUUGAUUUAACUUAGGUUUUUGAUGAUCAAUUACAGGGGGGAUUUCAAAUAGAGGAAAAACCAAGAUAAUUCGCACACCCUACGAAAAUUUCGCAAGGCAUGCGAAAUUUAUGGCUUAUUUUGCAUGGGGUGAAAAUUUUCGUACAUCUUACGAACCAAUUUCGAACACUUUGCGAAAAUAAACCAACCCUGCGAAAUCAUUUCGAUUACUCUACGAAAUUUUCGUAGAGCAUGCGAAAAAUUUAGCACACCAAACACCAUUUCGCAUACUAUGCAAAAACCUAAGGGGUCUGCGAAACCAUUUCGCACCUCCAAAUCCAUUUCGCACAUUGUGCGAAAACCAAGAGGCGCUGUGCGAAAAUGAAAAGUCGCCCUGUCAUCCCUUUUUAAACCCCUCGAGCCCUAAAAUCUCCAUUUCGCAAGCACCCCUGUCCUUGCGAAUCCCUCAUUUUCCUCUACUACCUUGCAACCUCGUCCCUUUCCAUUUGAUAUUGUGCCCCGCGCACAUCUCAUUUCAGAGACUCGCACUCCGCGCCCCCUCAAAGCAUGGACUCGAGACCCACCUUCCAUUUCCGACGUGGCACGGACCCAAGGAGCCCUUUCUGCCCCUUCACUAAGACACACACCAAGGCAGAAAGCCUCCUUUGCUCAAGUGCCUAGUGAUUCUCCAUCUUAGGCCUCAGAGGCCUCGGAGGCCCCGUGGAUUCCACCUUCCGAGGGUAGAGCAGCCAUUGGUCCUUCCUCUUCUACUCCUUAGCGUAGAUACGAGACGAGGAGACCACCUACUACACAAGGGGCGACUACUUCGAGCCUUGAGAAUUCAGUACGAUGCCUUCCUGCCAAGAGGGUCAAGACUUCAGGUCCAAGUGAGUCAUCCAGAGCUUCAUAGCCUAAGCCUCCUGUAGAUUCCAAGGUUCCUACUGACAUAUCACCGGAGUCUAUUAUCAGAAGCCCGAUGCUCAUAGCACCGCCCAUUGAGGGCAACUCAGAUUAUAGAGCGAGAUCUUUCCACUUGGAGCUAUAUUUUGAUCAGGAGGCCAUACGACAGCAGCCUGAGCUCCGAGACUCUUAUGGCUUACUGCAGAGGUACCAUCUUGAGGAACUUAUGACUCCUCGUGAGUUUUUUUAUCCCAGAGUAGCACUAAACUUUUACCAGUCCAUGACUACUCGUGGCGUCCCGAGUCCUACCACGAUUCACUUCACCAUUGAUAGACGUCAUGGUAUCCUCAAGGCCAGACAUAUUACAGAGGCUCUACAAAUUCCUUUCGAGCUAGAGGAUCCAUCUGUUUUUCGCUAAUGGUCCCCAGUAUCUCAGAGGGACAUGGUCCGUAUUUUAUCUAGGGGAACAUCUACAGAUUCGAUCUUUCUACGGAAGGAGCUUCGACCUGGGAUGCUCCUCUUAGAUGUGGUGCUAUGCUCCAACCUCUUUCCCUUACAACAUUCGGUACAUAGGUGAUGAGCUAUUUUGGACGCUUUAUUCCGUAUAUCAGAGGGCUUCUACUUUGGCCCGCACCACUUGAUCAUGGUCUCCCUCAUCCACUUUGAGGAGAAGGUUCAUAGGAAGAAGCUUCAGAGGGUGGACACCAUUCCAUUACUAUUCCUGAGGUUACUUUGCCAGGUCUUGGAGUACAUGGGCUUUCCUACUGAGCCUCGGCUCGAGCUUUGCCGCCUUUGUCGAGAGUGAUCCACUCUCGACAAAUGGAAUUAGUUGGCGGGCUAUUCUGCACCUCCAGGAGCCCCUCCCAUGGUAGCACCUCCAAUGUCCCCACAGGCAAAGUAGGGCGAGCUCCCGGCAAAGACUGUACCACCAAUGCCCACACUUGAGGCUAUUUCUGCUGCUCUGCCUAUGACUCCUACUGUUCCACCAGUUGGUCCUUUUACAUCCGAGCCUUCCAUCACCAUCUCGGCUUCGGAGUUUCGCGCCCUUGUGCAUACCUUUCAGACACUCACCACCACACAUACUCCUCUCUUCUAGCAAAUGGUUGAGAUGUGUGCCCAUCAGGACCGGAAGACUACUAUACUCUGCCAAAUUCAGCAGCACCUAAGACUUUUGCCUCAACCUCAACCUAACCAUCCCAUAUCAUCAGAGCCUCUAGCUCCAACUGAGGAUACUAUUCCACCUGAGAACACUACCACAGUAGAGGUCCGGUUUCCACCACCUUAAGAGGCCACCACAGCUACAUCAGAGGAUGUGUCAUCUCCACUUGAGGCUCCCACUACUUGAUCAUAGGACAUAUCUUUAUCUUAUUGUAUUUACAUAUUAUAUUACUAGAGAUUUGUCCUUGUUUUGAUACUUUAUAUUCUGGGAUUGGAUGUAUUGCCUGAUGAUAUCUCAAUUGUACUUUCUCAUAUUAAUAUAUAGACAUCAAUUUUUUUUAGUAUACUUAGCAUUUUUCUAUUUCCUCUACUCAUUACUCUUUUGUUUUUUUUUACUCAUGUGGUUUCUCUUAUACAACUCAGACUCCAUUUCACUCAGGAGGUACCACUUCCUCCCUUUAUUUUCAAUUGCUCUUGAAAUAUUGAGUGCAAUGUUGAUCUUGGUUGGGGGGAGAGUUGAGGAAGGAAGUUUUGUUAAUAAUGCUAGGUUAAUUUGUUAAUUUAGUUACUUUCUGCUUAAUUUUAAAAGUUUUCACUCUACUUUCCAUGGUUAUUAAGGAAAAAUUCUCAAAAUGAAAUGGGAGAAAUCGAAUUCUUGCAUUUUUACUUGAAUCUUAGAAUUUGUAUCAUGCUUAUUAAAGUUGAUGAAUUAUUGAAACUCCUAUUGAAUUCAACCUUAUUUUUUCCACUUUAAUCUUACCACACACGGUGCACAUUAGGUUCCAGUUAUAAGAUAAAAAACUAUCUCACCCCCUAAACUUAGAAAAAUUUACACUUGGUACCUUUGACAUCGUUUUAAUAGUGUUGGGACACCUUAUAAAAGGCCAAUGAGCCUUUAAAAAAAAAAAAAAAAAAAAAAAGAGAAAGAACAAAGUAUUGCACUUGCCUUGAAACCUGAGCAAGAUCCGAGGGGUAUACAGUGAAAGUCUUUAAAACCUGGUGCCCUAAGCCUUGAUUGGUUGGGAGUCACCGACCUCAAUGCUCGUUAUAAGGGUGAAUAGGUGGAGUUUAACAUAUUGUAGGUGCUUGGGUAUUGAAUUUCAAUCUCAAAAGUCCGGGAAAAAAUCUAAGGAGUUAGUGGUCAAAAGAUCCUUAAAGCUUGAUGCCCUAAACCUUGAUUGGUUGAGAGUCAUUGAUGGAUCCCCGCUACAUGGACAUUUUAGAAAACAAUACCUUUAGCAUUGCACGCCUACAAUGAAAAAAAAAUGUGAAAUAAAAGAGGUGCGUUCUUAGCCUAUUGGAGGUUGGUCAGUUUGCUAAAGUUUGAGAAAUCUAGGUUGGGGGGAGAGAAUAGUCCGACAUACUAUAAUAAAAAACUAAUAACCUUAACACUUAGAUUUUUGUGGAAGAGUAAGGAUUGGACCUUUAGGGGUGGAAAUUCUUUUGAUGCUUAAAUUUGCAUAAUGCCUACUCUUUAUAAAUUAUGAUUAGGCAAGAGAUUUGAUGACUCUUGUUCAAAGUUGGGUUUUUCCUCUUUGAUGUUCCAUGAGAGAGUAUAAUCCUCAUCAUGCCACUUGAAAUCUUUUUGGAGUGAUUAACAUGAUUUUGUAAAUUAUUUUACUGUCUAUUUUUCUUUAUCUCUCUUUUAUUGCUAAUGGACUAGCAAUAUGUCAGUUGGGGGGAGUGAUUACUACUCAAAAAGUACUCUUUUAUAGCUUGAAACUAACUGUUUUAAACACUUUUGAGUAGGUGUUAAUACAUUUUAACUCAAUUGGCACAUUAAGGAACCUAACAAGGGUUACUAAUAAGUUUUUGGCAAGUUUUGGUGUUUUUGGUAGCUAUUUGAUCAUUGAAACAAGCCAAGAAUGAGGGAGAAUUUUGUGAAGUCCAUAGCAAUGCAAGUUAAAGCUCAAAUACAUGAAGAAUCCAAGCUUUGAAGCACUUCAUAGCCCUUUGCGAAGCCAAUCAGAGAUGCAAGGAAGAAAACCAGAGGAAAAAAUCCAACAACCAGCAUUUUCGCAUGGCUGUGCGAAAUUUUGCACACCAUGCGAAACCACAAGAAGUAGCCAAAGAAUUUUGCACACCAUGCGAAAUUUCGCAUGGUAUACGAAAUCUUCCUAUGCACCAACUCCGUUAUAUUUUUAUCUUCAGAUAUUUUGUGUAAUUUCCUAGUUUCUCCUUGUAACCAACCUAGAUAUUUUCUUUUAUAUCUUUUUUUUAUAUUUUUUAGGUAACAUCAUAUAUAGGGGGAGAGACAUAAGGAGGAUAUGGAUGUUUUUCAUAAAACACUUUUAAUUUUCUGGUAGUAAGAAAUAUACAAAGUUUUUUGCUCUGCCUUACCUUCUCAUUUUGUUUUCACCUAUCUUUCUAGCCAAACAACCUCUGAGAAUGAUUUCUCAGGGGAUGAGUAGUUAGGUUUUACGUUUCUUGGAGUGAGAGAAGCUAGGUGAAAGACCCAAAUGCUAAGGUGGGAGUUGUCCUUGCUUUAAAUGAAAGUAGUUGUUAAAUAUUAAUGGUUUUUAUUUUAAGGUUUAGCUUUAAAUCCCUUAAAAACACCUUGAAUGGCCAAUACUUGGUAAGCUUUUCGGAUUCUAUGGAUGCUUAUUGCUAGAUCCAUGGAUGUCAUUAGUUAUCAUUUAUGAGCCAUUGGAAGGUGGUUCAAGAUGAGAGUCUUUAGUGUUUGAAGCCAUUAAUGGGAAACAAUUACCAUUUUUUCAUGAAUCCUUUGGAUAAAAUCUUAAUUGCUAAAUAUAAAACUGGUUCGGGAGAUAACCAUCCUUUAUGUUAUUAUGCCCAAUGCAAGGAGAAGAUUUCGAAUCUUCUCAUUUGUCUAAGGAACCCGAUCCUAGUGACCUAAAGCUCCUAGAGACCUUUUCUUUGUAGUUAACUUCAUUUAUUGUUUUUGCUUAACUUAAAAUCAAUCUUUGCAACCACAAUUCCAUUUUCUUUAAAAGCUAAUUUUUAUAAGGAAAAGCACCAUUUUAUUUCCUUCACUAAGUCAACUGUAUGAUGAAAACCCAUCCCUGUGGACGAUCUUAGAGCCACUAUACUAUGUUAUCUAUGCUAUCCUAGUGUGAGGUGAUUUAGGUUUUAUAAAUUUUGUUGAUAACACCCGUCUGAGCCAGAAUCAAAUGGAACCACUGAACCAGGGACAAAUCAACAGCCUAUAUGGGAGGGACACAAGUUUAAUUGAUUUGCAUUUCAGCGUUAUAGAUAAGUAUGUUUUGGAAGAUUUGUUCUGGAAAUACUGCACCAAGUACGAUUCUUUUUCUCUUGAGUGAGUCCAUUUGCAUGCCAAUUAACGAGUUGAAAAGUAGGAGCACCUACCUCGUGCUCAUGGAACCGAAUGUCAGUGAAGUGGGGCUCCUUUUAGCCUCUUGUGUUUCUGUUCCAACCAAGGCGGCGUAGGGAAAAACAACAAUAUGUCUGUGCUAAAUAUCAACGCAUGAUAGAUGUUUUUUUUUUUUUUUUUGGUAUGUCAAGGCUAACGAAUGAAAUGCAUUAGCUUGUUUUGUGACUAUAACUGCAAAUGUCCAAAUUGGAGUAUCUCCAUUUCUCACUUCGGAUGGUUAACUUUAUAAACAAGAUAUAGGAAACAUGUGAACAUCUUGAGGAACAAUUCAAAUUAUUCAUUAGAAGUCCUGGGUUAAGUUCCAAGAUUUAAAUCAGACCCUUCUAGCAGCUUCAAGGGUACUUAGCAACCUAUAACAUAUUAAUGAAGAUUUAGGAUUUAGACUCCGGAAUACAAAUAAAUAUGUAUCUCAUGCUUUGACUAGCUUCCCUACAUAUGCAUAAAAUGGAGAUGACCCAAAAAAAAUAGCAGAAUCUAGCUUCCCUACAUAUGCACAAAAUGGAGAUGACCCAAAAAAUAGCAUAAUCGCCUUAGUUUCUGUGGUUAAGGUGAUUCUCCGCUUAAUAUCCACAUUGACUCAUUAUGCAAAAUCAACUGAGCUAAUUUUAUUUAUUUAUUUAAUGUCAAAUAGGAACUCCUAAUUAACUGAUUACUGUCGAAAAGUGCUAUUUUGUAGACCUAAUUAUAAGGGUUUUAAGCACCUUUGAGUAGUAAUCAUAUUCAUUUAACCUAAUUAAUUCAUUAAGCUCCUUAGUAAUUAGUUCUAACCAUUUUUAGUGGCAAGUUUACAUGUUUUUCAUCAGCUUAUGAACCAAUUCAAGCAUGCCAAUUGAUGGAGGAGCUACUUGGGCGAGUUAAGCAAGGAUUUUGGACGUUUACAGGCUUGAAUUUCAAGUGGAAACACGAGCACAAGCAAUGGGAACACCAUUUCGCAAGGGGAGGCAAUUCACCUUGCCAAAUGACCAAUUUCGCAAGGGGAUUUUCCUCAUGGUGCAAAAUUUGGUCAUUUCGCACCAUGAAGAAACCACCUUGCAAAAUUUCGCAAGGUGGAUUUAGGCACCUUGCGAAAUGCCAAAUUUCACAAGGUGGCUUUUCACCUUGCGAAAUUUGGACCUUUCAUCUUCCCCCCUUGCGAAAUGCCUUUGAAAUCCCCUGUUUUGAGACGCUGUUGAUGAUAUUCCACUGCCGGUUCUCCAAGAUAUUUUGCUUGACUUUUAGCUUUAUAAAUACCUAUUUUACCCUUGUAAUCAACCAAUGAAAAGGUUGCUUUUGUAAUAGCUCUUGUAAUUUAGCUUUUUAUUGUCUUUAAAUAGAGGUGAAGAGCCUCAGACACGAUCAUCUUGUAACCUGUAACUUUAUAAGUUAUAAGAGCACUUUUGUUCAUACGCUUCUUUUCUCUUUUCUUUCUCAUUUUCUUAGUAGCCAAACAUCCUUGGAGGAUGAAAUCCCCAAGGAUGAGAGGCUAAAACCUUUUAGUUUCUUGAAGUAAUGGAUGCCAUGUGAAGCUCCCGUGUCAGGAUGGAGAUUUCCAAGCCAUAAAUGUAAGUAGCUGAGCGUCAUAAAUGUUUUCAUUCAAAGUAAAGCUUUUAAUCCCUCUGACUUGCUUUGAAUGGCCAAUACUUGAUAACCUUUUGGUCUCAAUGGAUUCUUAUUGUUAGAUCCACUGACGUUCAUUAGUUAUCUCCUACGAGCCAUUGUAUUGCAAGUCGAGGAGAUGACCUAUACCAAUAAAAGAGCAUUUAUGAGGUUCAACUACCCUUUUUGUAAGUUUUCAAGGACUAAAACUCAGUUGUUAAACUCAUACCGGUUCGAGAAGUAAGCAUCACCUUAGUUGCUUCCCCAACUCGAGGUGAAAAGUCCCAAAAUCUCCAUUUUUACACAGUGAGUUAAGCAUGGCUAUCCAAAGCUUUAAGAAACUUCUUUUUCCAUCUUUUAACCUAUUUUCAUGUUAGUUUAGUUUACAACACCUUCAUCUUUUUAUGUUUUCAUCUUAACCUAAUUUUUAUUAAGAAAAGUUCACUCCAUCCUCCGAACUUCACCAGUUAAAGUAAAAACCCUUCCCAGUGUUCGAUCCUAGAGCCACUAUGCUAUAGUAGCUUUGCUACUUUAGUGUAAGGACCUUAGGUAUAAAUUUUGUUGAUACCCUUACAUGCCAAGCUACCAAGAGUCGGGUUAUCAUUAACCUAACCAUUGGCCUGUGUAAAUUGAUUUCACAUGCACAAUGUUGUAGUAGAAGUCCAUAUUUUGAAUUUUAUUUUUGUAAAGGUAAGGAAAAUGAAGCAUUGUGUAAUUAUAAAAAUAACUUCAUUGGAAUUCACAAGGUUCACCCAAAAUGGAGCUACAUCUGUAUUCUAUCCUACAGUAGACUAUAUAGAUUGUACAAUAGUAAAUUGCAAAUACAAUUAAUAAGUCUUGUGCUUCCUUACUAAUAAUCCUUUGACAUGAACAUUGCAGCACUAAGGUCCUCUUGGGAAGACACCUUGCACCCAUGAGAGCACUAAGAGGAAGCAAGGCAGAGUCAUGGGUGCAAUGUCAUGACUUGUUGUUGCACCAAGAGAGGCUUGGUGAUGCCAUGGUGUUGCAGUAGCAAGAAUGUUGCCUUGGCAGGGACACGAUCUAGGGAUAGAUGCCAAGAAAGGCUUAGCACUCACAUGAGUUGCACAAAGAUGAAUGUAAUAGAGCAUCAGAGAGACGUCUUGGCAAGUAAAUGAAUGGAUCCAAGAGACAACAACAUGAGGAGUUUCAAAUGGAUAAGGAAUGACUCAAAGACAUUUGAAAGCUACAAGUUGGAUUCUAAUUACGAUUGCAAUUUGAGUUUGAGUAGGAGUUUAGAUUUUGAUUGUAAUUGUAGUAUGAGUUGGACUAGGAUUGCUUAUCCUUAGUCAAUAUAGGAGCGGUUCGUGUCACCCUAUGAAAAGAGUUUGAGUAGGGACUAGGAUUGCUUACUCCUAGUCAAAUAUGGAGUAGGUGGUGCCACACCUAUAAAAAAAAGGGACAACAUGAGAGAGAGAGAGAGAGAGAAAGAGAGAGUGAAUUCACUAAAGAUAUUGUGGGAGUUUUGCUUUGUUACGUCUUGUAUUAUUACUUAGAAUAGGAAUAAAAUACAAGUUGGGGCUAGAGCCCCAUAAUUAAUCUCGUGUGCCUUUGUGGUUAUUCUUUAUUUGUCAUCUCGUGUGGAUUGGAUUAGGUUGACUUAGAGGGCUUCUAAGCACCACCUUUGUGGGUUAUUAUUUAUUUUCCAUCUCUUGUGGAUUAGAUUAGGUUGACUUAGAGGGCUUCUGAGCACCACCUUUGUGGGUUAUUAUUUAUUUUCCAUCUAUUGUGGAUUAGAUUAGGUUGACUUAGAGGGCUUUUAAGCACCACAUUUGUGGGUUAUUCUUUAUUUUCCAUAUCGUGUGGGUUGGAUUAGGUUGACAAGGAGAAAAAUUAUGUGGGAAAUUUGUGUUGGGACACUUACCAUAACCAAGUAAAAUCUACCAAGUCCUUUGUAAUAUCUUCAACAAAUAUUUUAGACUAGUUCUUUCAGUUAGUGUAAAGGAGGAAGAAGUGGUAUUGAUUCUAGAAAUAGGGUGUGUGUAUUUGAACUACAAUCCUUAUGAUCCUUAGGUCUCUAAACCUUCGUGAUGGGCUCCCUGACAUUUCAUAGGUUGUGCUACACAUGCGUUUGAAAUUUAGAGUGCGUUUGACAGUGAUUCCGGGAAGUGUUUUUGGCCUUUCUUACACUUGAAAAUUUUUAUUUUUCAAGUAUUAGAAAUGCUACAAACACUUUUGAAAAUUACUGUCAAACACACUCUUAGGAGCGCACAUAUAUAGUAGAAAACUAGAAAUUGUGGUUUUUUUAGGAUUUACUGUAAUGUCAUUAGGAGGGUAGUAAGUUGAAAUUGAGUAUGAACAAAUAUUUCUUUCUUUGGGAUGUUCUUCUAGUAGGUGCUGAUGAAACUGUUCUUUCUACUGCCAAUGUCACAUAUCAGCCAGAAAUUGAAAAUUUCAGUCAAGGUGUCCUCUGUUUUAGUGGUGAGGAAAGCUAGAAAUUUUAAGGUGAAGUUUUGUUAAAAACCUUAAGUAGCUGGGAUAUCAGGCCUGUUUUGCUUGAAAAAAAAAGUUGCAAGAUAACUCAUAUGCCAAACAGGUUCUGAUAUUGUGAAUCUAUCGGCAGACAUCAGUAAUCUCAUCUUCUGAGAUGGAUGUUGGGGGUGCAUGUGGUGGUGGAGGGGCAAGGUUUCAUUUGGUUUAUUUUGUUGAUGGAUAUUGUCUAGCCACCUGCGCCAAGUUUGAGGGGUGGUGGGUUGUGAUGACCCUACAAUUACUAUUAAUUUCUUCAUCUUUUACCGAUUAAAGUGUCCGAACAGUCGAAGUUACCCUUAUGCAUGUCAACUUGAUCACUUACCUCUUCAAUGGAGUUUAUGCUGGUUCAUUUAGGAACUGAUUUUUAUUGUUAUGUAUUAUAUGCUGAUGUUUAGGUCUCUCCAUCAUCACUAUAUACAAAAAUUCUAGGUUGAUACUAUAGGUUGAGAUUUAUUUUUUAAAUAAAAAAUAAUAAAAAUAAAAAUUAUGGUGAUGUUUAGUUGUUUUAUGGAAAAUUUUAACAAGUAAAAGUUAUUUUUGGGCAAGUUUUCAAACAAAAAGAAAAGUAAAAGUUGUUUUGACAAAAACAUAUAGAAAAAAAAAUCAUAGAAAAUAAAUAAUUUCCCCAUAUUCUAACUUUUUUGAAUUUUUCUCAAUGGGCAAAGGAAUAUCAAAUCAAGUUUGAGUAGGAUUUCUUAAUUUUUAAAAUAACUUACAAUUAAAAAAUUUUGGUGUUUUCAUUUUUGGACAAUUUUUUAUUAAGCAAAUGGACUCUGAGUCAUGCAAGAGAUAUGGUUCAUUAACCGGUCGAACAAUUUUUUUAAAUUAAUUUAAAAGUCAAAUACAUAAUCAAUUUCACAAAAUUUAUAAACAAAAAUAGGUUUAGAGAAGAUCUACACAUAAUUUUACUUUUCUAAUUUUAUUUUAUUUUAUUUUUUGUUGGAAAAUAGUCUUCAAAUCAUGUAAGAUUUAAUAGGUUAAAUUUGUUAACAAUAAAUUUUAAAUUAUAAAAUAUAAUCUGGAACUCAAAAAUCAAUUCAAGUAAUGCUAAAAAAAAAUCAAAUUUGGUAUAGAAUGACUUUGUAAAUUUUUUUACAAAACAAAUGAAUUUUAAAUCAAGUGAGAUUUAAUGCAUUAGAUUUUUAUCAAAUAUAGUAAUUUUAAAAAUAAAUUUGGAACUCAACAAUAGACACAAUAAAUACCAAAAAAUAAUGAACCAAAAUUGGUUUGGAAUAACUCCACAACCUUUUUUUUUUUUUUUUGGUGCACACGAAUUUUCUUACUAGGUAUAUUGCUUUCAAAUUGAGAAAGAUUUACCAUUUAGAUUUUUUUUUAAUGAGUUUAAUGGUAUUUUAAAAUAAUUCAAAAUUUAAAAAAUUGACUAAUUAAUAUUAUAAAUUGAUAAACCAAGACUAUUUCAAAAUGCAUUGGGGGCUAAGGGGGUUGAAAAUAGGGACAAUGGGAUGGGUUUGGGACAUGACACUCAUAUCUCAUUUCCAUUCCAAUUACACAGUUAUCUCCCAUCCUUAUCCCAAACUUGUGUUGGAGCAAGUUGAUUUGUUCCCAUCUUUGUUGACGAAAUGACUAAUAACCUCAUCCCCUCCUUAUCUUAGAUGUACAUUUUGUCAAAUUUGAUCAGGUAUGAUUGAUCCAAGCCCUAACCCUAAUUGGUAAUGAGUGAAUACUACACCUAAUUGCAUUCUUCUUUCAUUGCAAAAUAAUGAGAUUAUAAUAAUCUAGCAAAUAAGAAAAAAUAGUAUGGAAGUUCAAAUUAACACCAUAACUAUCAAUAAUUUUAAGCUUAUAGAUGACUUAAAUGAUUAAAAACUAAUGCAAAAUCCUAAAAAAAAUAAAAAUCAUAUAAAGAAUUCACAAGAGAACAGAAUGAACAAAAACCAAAUAUGAACAUGGGUCAACAUUAGUUAUGGAUUUGGAUUCCUUUCAAGGCCAAUCUUUGAACCAAGACUUCAUCAAAUCAACUACUUCAAAGGCUUUUGUGUUCUUCUUGGGUUGUGCUCUCAAACAAAGACUUCGAGGUGAUGUUCUAGAUGAUUGAAUUACACAUAUUUAGGGUGGAGAGAUUGGAGAAGCUUGAAGAUGCCAACGAUGGGUACAAUUGAGUGGUCAAUAAGAACAAUGUAGCCUAUGACUAGUUUGAUGUCAUGGUACAAGAGUUUUAGGCAUUGAGGUUAAAGCAAGAGCAACAUGGAAUUGAUUUCGGAGUCUUUCAGUUAGUGUAAAGGAGGAAGAAGUGGUGUUGAUUCUAGAAAUAGGGUUUUAAGUGGUGCGUGAUUACUACUCAAAAAGUGCUAUUUGAUAGCCUUUAAUUAAUCCUUUUUAACACUUUUGAGUAGUAGUUUAGGCCUUUUAACUCAAUUGGCAUGUUAAGGAUCCUUUAAAGCAAUUUUGAUCACUUUGUGCAAGUUUUGGUGUUUUUGUUAGUAUUUUGAUCACCAAAGCAAGUCAAGAAUGAGGAGAACUAUGAGGAAUCAUGGGCAAAGCUUAGAAUUCAAUUGCCAAGAGUGAAUCCGGAUUGCAAGGAGAAAAAGCAAAGAGAAUCUGUCAUGAAGCCUAUUCUUGAUGACAGUCGUAGCAGCCACUUUUGGAGCACUUUCUGAAGUCCAAAUGAUGCAAGCUAUAUACCAUUUCAAAGAUCAGGAAGUCAACAAUCCAAUGCUUCAAACGGUGCGCGAUUCGGAGUUGAAACGAAGAAGUUGCAGCCAUUACAAGCCAGUCACUCUAAAGUGUUGCGGAAUCAGCCUUUUGUUGCGAGAAUUUCGCAGCACUUUUGUACAGUAAGGUGUUUCUCCUUCUGACGAUGCACGAACCAUGCCGCGAGAGGGAAGCUAGGAACUUCAAGAUGGAAGCCAACUUUGCAGCCUGGUGAAGAUAGCUUGGUCUUGCGAAAUAAUUUCGCAGCCCUCUUGGGUGUCUGCGAAAUUUCGCAGGCACCACUUUUUUCCUGCGAAAUGGCUCCGGAAGCCUCCCGAAGCUUGCUACCGACAUUGGGAGAUAUUUUCCAUUAGAUUUUUGUUGUCUAAAUUCCAAAAUACUCCUUGUAAACCACCAAUUACAUGAUUCCUUAGUUUUUAAGUUAGUAAAAAGACCAAAUAUCUAUGUAAUAAUUAGUUUUAUAUUAGUUUGCUAUAAAUACCUCUCGGGAGCAUGUUCUCAGAGAGGAGUUCCUUCUGUAACCAUUUUGGUAAGCAAGUAAAGUCUUUUCUUUCUACUGCCUUACCUUCUCACUUUGUAUUUUCAUUUUAUUUCUAAGUUAUGAAUUCUCUGAGGAGCUUUCCCCAGAGAAUGAGUAACUAAACCUCCAAUUCCUUGGAGCUAAGGUUGCCGGGGAAGGUUCCAAGUGCAAGAAUGCAAAGCUCUGUGGUUUUAGCUAGUAAUGAAGAGGAAGUGAAAUCCUUUAGUGAUUUCAAUGUUUUUAGUUAACUUAAAACACCUUGGAGUCACCUGGGCCAACACUUGGUAAGGCAAGUGAUUUCCAACCGUGGAAAUGCACUAGUUUACCCCUUGCGAGCCUCUGGUAGGUGACUUCAAGGUAGGAUUUUCUGGAAUUACCAACACUUGGUAAGCUUUUGGACUCCUAGGAGACAUCCAUUAGUUAUCUCUUGCGAGUUUGUGAAGGGGAAUCCAAGGUUAAAGAUCACCUUGAAUGGUAAGUGCUCGUGAGAGGCAUGAACCAUUGCAAGUUGUAUCAGUGAGAGAAUUAAAGUGAAAUCUAAUUGAAGGAGUCUCUGUACAUCACCGGUUAGAGAAUUGACUAUAAGUUGAAUCUCUAAUGCGAGGAAAUGAACCAUCUGACCGGAGCUAUGUCUUUUGCAUGAGGAACCACCCCAGUGAACCUAAAUCUCCAAGGAAUGCUUUUCUUCCUAAAUUAUUCCAAACUUCUGUUAAGUUAGUUAGUUUAAGUCUAAACCUUUACCAAUCAAACUUUGUGUUUUAUUUCUUAAGCUAACCGUGAAAUGAAACAAAACCAAUUCACUUGGAAUUGGUAUCCUUGAUUGCUUGCAAAUCAUUCCCAGUGAACGAUCCUUAGAGCCACUAUACUAUAGUAGCUUUGUAUUUGCUACCCUAGUGUAUGGUGUUAUAGGUAUAAAUUUUGUUGAUCACUUCCUCAAUCAAGGAACACCAGCUGAACACAAAUCAGCUGAGACACCAAUUGGGCAUGAGUCAAAUGGCGCCGUUGCCGGGGAAUGAGUGUCAAGAUCAUUGUGAUACCAUUUUUGAGCACUUGUGAUUUUCAUCACAAGUUGGUAAAGUUUCUUUCACUUUACUAAUUUUCAUUCUCUCUUUGUUUAUUUACAAUCUAAGUUUAUCUUUUUAAAAUUUAGUCUAGUUUAAUUUUGCUAUUGUAGCCUUGUUUCUCUUGUUGUCCUCUGUUCUUGUUGUCCUCUGUUUUCAUUUUAGUUGCAGCUGAAUACUAGUUGUGUAUGCCAAAGUGGAUACGAGACAUUGGAGGUAGGCUUAUUAAGUGUGAUACACCUCAGAGAGGAGAAUUGGAAGUAAUCUUGAAUAUCAUGGAGGCUGCACCUGAAGAUCAGCAUAGUCACCAAGGUCGUCAAGACAAUCUCAAUGAAUUCAGAUCAAUGAGGGACCGUAUGCAUCCACCUCGUAUGAGUGCACCAUCAUGUAUAGUGCCCCCUACAGAGCAACUAGUGAUCAGACCAUAUCUUGUUCCACUUCUACCAACUUUCCAUGGGAUGGAAAGUGAGAAUCCGUAUGCACACAUCAAGGAAUUUGAAGAUGUUUGUAAUACAUUCCAAGAGGGAGGAGCUUCAAUUGAUUUGAUGAGGCUUAAGUUAUUUCCUUUUAAUUUAAAGGAUAAGGCCAAAAUUUGGCUUAAUUCUUUAAGGCCAAGGAGUAUCCGCUCUUGGACUGAUUUACAAGCUGAAUUCCUCAAGAAAUUUUUUCCUACUCAUAGAACAAAUGGCUUGAAAAGGCAAAUUUCAAACUUCUCAGCUAAAGAGAAUGAGAAAUUCUAUGAGUGUUGGGAAAGAUACAUGGAAGCUAUAAAUGCUUGUCCUCACCAUGGCUUUGAUACUUGGCUACUGGUGAGUUAUUUUUAUGAUGGUAUGUCCUCCUCAAUGAAGCAACUCCUCGAGAAAAUGUGUGGAGAAGAUUUCAUGAGCAAAAAUCCAGAGGAAGCUAUGGAUUUCUUGAGCUAUGUAGCUGAUGUUUCAAGGGGAUGGGAUGAACCAACUAAAGGAGAAGUGGGAAAGAUGAAGUCUCAGUUGAAUGCUUACAAUGCAAAGGCUGGGAUGUAUACUUUAAAAGAGGAUGAUGACAUGAAAGCAAAGUUGGCAGCUAUGACAAGAAGAUUGGAGGAGCUGGAGCUGAAAAGAAUGCAUGAAGUGCAAGCUGUUGCUGAAGCACCAGUGCAAGUGAAGUUGUGUCCCAAUUGUCAAUCGUUUGAACAUUUGGUAGAGGAAUGCCCUGCAAUUUCAGCUGAAAGGGAAAUGUAUAGAGAUCAAGCAAAUGUUGUUGGACAAUUCAGGCCCAAUAACAAUGCUCCUUAUGGAAAUACCUACAAUUCAAGUUGGAGGAAUCAUCCAAAUUUUUCAUGGAAGGCCAGAGCAACUCAAUACCAACAGCCGGAUCCACCAUCUCAACAAUCUUCAAGUAUUGAACAAAUAAUAGCUAAUCUCAGCAAGGUAGUGGGAGAUUUUGUGGGAAAGCAAGAAGCCACCAAUGCUCGAGUGGAUCAAAGAAUGGACAGAGUGGAUCAAAGAAUGGACAGAAUGGAGAGUAUGUUGAACAAAAGAAUGGAUGGAAUGCAAAAUGAUAUGAAUCAAAAAUUUGAUAACAUCCAAUAUUCAAUUUCAAGGCUUACAAAUUUGAAUACACUGCAAGAAAAGGGAAGAUUUCCUUCUCAACCUAACCAAAAUCCCAAAGGUGUCCAUGAAGUGGAAAGCCAUGAGGGAGAAUCAUCACAGGUGAAAGAUGUGAAAGCUUUGAUCACUCUAAGGAGUGGUAAGAAAAUUGAGCAGCCAACACCCAAGCCACAUGUUGAGAAAGAAGAAGAGAUGAAGAAAGGGAAGGAAAUGGAAGAUAAAGGCAGUGAGAUCAGUGAAGAAAAGAAGGACUCUGAUGCAACAAUGAAAGUAAUUCCAGAGAAGGAGCUUCUGAAGGAAGAAAUGCUGAAGAAAUCAACUUUUCCACCUUUUCCUCAAGCAUUACAGGGGAAAAAGGGGGUUAGAAAUGCAGCUGAAAUCCUAGAAGUAUUGAGGCAAGUGAAAGUUAAUAUUCCACUGCUGGAUAUGAUCAAACAAGUUCCAACGUAUGCAAAAUUCCUAAAGGACUUGUGUACUAUCAAAAGAGGGUUGACUGUAAACAAGAAAGCCUUCUUGACUGAGCAAGUAAGUGCAAUCUUACAGUGUAAGUCUCCUUUGAAGUACAAAGACCCUGGAAGUCCUACCAUUUCAGUCAUGAUUGGAGGAAAGGUAGUGGAGAAAGCCUUGCUAGACUUGGGAGCAAGUGUGAAUUUGCUUCCAUAUUCUGUCUACAAGCAACUGGGACUUGGAGAGUUGAAGCCAACAGCAAUCACUUUGUCUCUGGCAGAUAGAUCAGUGAAAAUUCCAAGAGGGGUAAUUGAGGAUGUAUUGGUUCAAGUAGAUAAUUUCUACUAUCCUGUAGAUUUUGUUGUUCUUGAUACAGAUCCUACUGUAAAGGAAGCUAAUUUAGUUCCUAUCAUCCUUGGAAGGCCAUUUCUUGCAACUUCAAAUGCAAUCAUCAACUGUAGAAAUGGGCUUAUGCAACUCACUUUUGGUAACAUGACACUGGAUCUAAAUAUUUUCUAUAUGUCUAAAAAGCAAAUCACUCCAGAAGAAGAAGAGGGUCCAGAAGAGCUAUGUAUUAUUGAUACUUUGGUGGAGGAGCACUGCAAUCAACAUAUGCAAGAUAAGUUGAAUGAAAGUUUUGUGGAUAUUGAGGAAGGUUUUUCUGAAUCUCCUAAUGGGCUUGCUACUCUACAAAGUUGGAGAAAGAUAGAAGGAAUUCUACCUUUGUUCAAUGAAGAAGAGGAGGCAGCUGUUGAAAAAGAAAUUCCAAAACUCAAUCUGAAGCCUUUACCUAUGGAGCUGAAAUAUACAUAUCUUGAAGAAAAUAAUCAAUGUCCUGUCGUAAUAUCUUCAUCUCAAACCAAGUCUCAAGUGAAGGAUGCAAGCUUCAAAUGGGAUCCGGGCAAACUGAAUCAGGAAGGGCAAAAAGUUUUGAUGUAUGACACAAGACUCCAUAUCUUUCCUGGGAAGCUCAAGUCAAGGUGGAUUGGUCCAUUUGUUAUUCACCGAGUAUAUUCCAAUGGAGUGGUGGACUUAUUGAAUUCCAAUGGCAAGGACAGCUUUAGAGUCAAUGGAUAUCGUCUUAAGCCGUUCAUGGAGUCAUUCAAAUCAGAAAAGGAGGCAAUCAACCUCCUUGAACCUCAAAAAGCCUAAGUGAAAUGGGUUUGCUGGACGUGGUUUUACCACAGUCCAAAAAUUUUUGUAAAUUUUGUAAAUUUUCAAGUUGUUUCCAUGCUUUUAAUCUUAGUUUUUGAUUUUAAAUCAUGUUUUUAGGUGUGUUUUAAUCGUUUUAUAUGAUCCCAGGCGGAAGAAAUUUCAAGGGGAUUGAAAAGAAAAAAAUCGGGUCGAAAUUGGAGCCGAAACAGAGCAAAAACAGGGGAAAAACAGAGCUCUGCGAAAUUUCGCAGGGUGAAGGAAACUUCUGCGAAAUUGGCAUUUUGCUGCCAAACCAUUCCGCAGCACUGUAGAAGCCUCUGCGAGUGUAUUUCGCAAUUGCGAAAGUGGAUUUGGCACACGAGUGCCACUUCGCAGCACAGUGACAUCAAUUUCGCAGCUGCGAAACUCACUGCGAAGUUGCUGCGAAAAUGGCAAGUUGCUGCGAAAUUGGCGUUUUGUUGCGAAACGUAAUCUGACCCCUGGGCUUCCGUUUUUCCUAUUUAUACCUGUCAAAAGUGCUGCGAAAAAGGUUUCAAAAAUUAGAGCACCAUUCUCGCAGCCCUUUCAUCUUCUUCGCCAAGCCACGCCGUCCGUUUCUCCGGUCGUCUUCUCCGUUUAGCAGCGCCGGCCAAAGAUCGAUAGCCCAAAAAUGGCACGAACGCGAGGGGCAAAGUCUUCAUCCCCUUCGAACCGCAAAAGGAGUCUGCGAAAGGAGCCAAGUUCAGGCUCUGUUCCAGAACCUGCUCCAAAGCCUUCGCCGUCGAGACCACAACCUUCUCCAGUGAAGCCGGCGCCACCAAAGCCGCCGGCAAGGCGAUAUUUAACCAGGUCAGGUGGUCAGCCAUUGAAGAAGAAAGCCAGAGUUGAGAGCUCUGAACCAAUCGAUUUGACUGAGCAAUCCCCUGAGAAAUCACCAAAUCCUUCACCGGUACAAAUUCCAGUGCCAUCACCGGUUCCCUCGCCAAUUCCCUCACCAGAAGCAACUCCAAUUCCAUCGCCGGUACCAUCUCCGGCACCCCAAGAAAAAGCUCAGGAGCCUCAAGCGCCAAUUCCAGAGCCCCAAAUUGCAGCUGAAGCACCUCUGGAAGAAGUGAUCCGAAGGCCAAUGCUGCCUCAGCCCCCAAUCGAAGGAAACCUGGAUUGCCGAACUCGGGCAUUCCAUUCUGAGCUUUGCUUCGAUUUAACAGCAUUCAGAGUGAGGCCAGAGCUUGCCCAAUCCUUCCAACUGCUGAGGAGAUAUCAUAUGGAGCAUCUGCUAGCUCCAAGGGAUUUUUUCUAUCCCCGGGUAGUCACGGAUUUCUACCAAACCAUGACAACCAAAGAAGUAAGAAAUCCAACUCUGAUUCAUUUCAUAAUUGAUGGAAGGCAUGGUAUUUUGGGAGCAAGACAUAUUGCUGAAGCCCUGCAAAUUCCUUUUGAGCCAACUCAAUUCGACAAUUUUAAAGCUUGGACAAAUCCUACUGAGUUAGAGAUGGUUAGCACACUAACCAGAGGAGCUGCAAAUCGAUCGCAUUUGUUGAGGGGGGAGCUACCUCCAGUUAUGUUUUUGAUUGAUGCCUUUUUGAGGCAUAAUAUCUAUCCCCUGCAGCAUUGGACCCAAAGAAGGGGAAUUCUCCUAGAAGCCUUGUACAAAAUGUCUGAAGGAUUCUUCUUUGGGCCUCAUCAUCUGAUCAUGGCAGCCCUUCUAUACUUUGAGGAGAAGGUUCACAAGAAGAAGCUUCAAAGAGCAGAUUGCAUUCCACUCCUCUUCCCAAGGCUGCUAUGCCAAGUUUUGGAGCAUCUCGGAUACCCCUCUGAGCCUCAGCAGGAAAGAAAGAGAAUAUGCCGUGAGCCUUUUACCCUUGAUAAAUGGAAUAAUAUGACGGCCUACAAAAUUGAUCAGCCUGGGCAGCCUCAGCCAGCAGCAAGGAGAGUCUCCCCAAGACAUAUACCUGAAGGUAUAACACUUGCUACUCCUGCCAUCCCUCGAGCUCCACCAGCUGCACCUGCUCCAUCACAGCCAUCCACAUCAGCUGAGCCGAGGAUGGCCAUCCCUAUAUCCGAAUAUCGAGAGCUGUGCCGUGCAUUGGAGACUCUUACAGCUUCUCAGAGCAAUCUUGCUCAGGAGUUGGCAGCCAUUAAAGCAUGCCAGGAGCAGAUGUUAGCCUCUCAGACUCAACAAGCUGCCAUCCUAAGGCAGCUUCAAGUCCAUUUCGAUCUGCCACAAGCUGUAGAGCCCUCUAUUCCUACUCCACCAGAGCCACACUCUCAGCCUUCAGAGUCUCAUCCUCCAGAACCCGAAGCACCAGCUGAUCCACCUACUGAGGAGGCAGAUCCUUCUGCCUAGCACCAUCACCCCCCUCAUCAGACAUUAUAUAUAUAUUUGCUGUUUAUGUUUUUAUGCAUGUUUGUUUUGUUUUAGUUGAAAAGAAAUCCCAGUAUUUUGGUACUAUAUAUGGGAUUCCUUGUGUUACUUGUCUUUAGUAUUGUAAUCACAUGAACUCAAAGUAAUACAAGUUGACUAUUUCUUGUUAAAAGUUAGCAUUAAAGUUUCCUUAUUUCCUUUUCUCACAUAUUCUAUUCUUUUUGAAACAUGUGGUUUUCCCCAAUCAAUAUUCGAAUUUGAUAUCAGCAUGGAGGUACCACUUCCUCCCUUUUAUUACAGUCACUCAAAUCACAUUGAGGACAAUGCUCAGUUCGGUUGGGGGGUAUGAGGAAGGAAGUAUUCUAAACCUUUUUGGUAUUGCAAUUAUAUUGGUUAAUUAGUUGUAGAUUUUACUUUUUACUAGUGUUACUCUAUUCUCCAUGAAUUUUGAGGAAAAAUUUUCAAAUUAAACCAAGAGAAAUUGAACUGUUGUUUUUCACUUGACUUAGAGUAUGGAUUAUGCUUACUAAAGUGGUUCAAUUGUUGAAACUUCUACUGAAAUUGAAUUGAGUUCUUCCACUUUAAGCUAUCCACACACUGUGCACAUUAGUUUCCGAUUAUAAGAUGAAAAGCUAUUUCCCUCUUGACUUAGUAUAUUUUUGGGACUUGGUAUAUUUGACCUCAUUUGAUAAAAAUUGAAACACCCUGCAAAAGGCCAAUGAGCCUUUGAAAUAAAGAAAGUUGUUUGCUUGCCUUGAAACCCGAGCAAGGUCUGAGGGGUAUAUGGUGAAAAUCUUUAAAGCCUGGUGCCCUAAGCCUUAAUUGGUUGGGAGUCACCGACCUCAAUGCUCGUUACAAGGGUGAAUAGGUAGAGUUAGCAUAUGGUAGAUGCUUGGGUAUUAGAAAUUCAUUCUUAAAAGUCCGGGGAAAAAUCCGAGGAGUUAGUGGUUGAAAGAUCCUUAAAACUUGGUGCCCUAAACCUUAAUUGGUUGGGAGUCAUCGAUGGACCCCCAUUACAUGGACAAGUCAGAAAGAGUACCCCAUAAAGCUACCUUAAAAAAAAAAAAAAAAAAAAAAAAAAAAAAAAAGAUGAAAGUGUGUUCUUUUCUUAUUGAUUUUGGUCAGUUUGCUAAAGUGUUGAAAAGAGAUAGGUUGGGGGGUGAGAUUAGUAGCAUAUUAUUCUCGGAACCUAAGGAACCAAUACACAUAGAUUUUUGUGGAAGAUUGAAGUUUAGUUCUUAGAAAAUGAAAUGAUUUUAAAACUUCAGUUUGCAUAAUGCACUCCCUUGAUUGACAGUGUUUAGCAUAGGUGUUAUGACUCUUGUUGAGAUUUGGGUUUGUAUUUCUUUAAUGAUUCAUGUGAGAAAUAGAUCAUCAUGCCACUUGAGAAUUAUUUUCCUUUUAGCAUGAUGUUGUAAAUUUUAGAUUAGUUUGCUAUUUAUUUUUUAUUUUCUCUCCUAUAUUGCUAAGGGACUAGCAAUAUGUCGGUUGGGGGGAGUGAUUACUACUCAAAAAGUGCUAUUUGAUAGCCUUUAAUUAAUCCUUUUUAACACUUUUGAGUAGUAGUUUAGGCCUUUUAACUCAAUUGGCAUGUUAAGGAUCCUUUAAAGCAAUUUUGAUCACUUUGUGCAAGUUUUGGUGUUUUUGUUAGUAUUUUGAUCACCAAAGCAAGUCAAGAAUGAGGAGAACUAUGAGGAAUCAUGGGCAAAGCUUAGAAUUCAAUUGCCAAGAGUGAAUCCGGAUUGCAAGGAGAAAAAGCAAAGAGAAUCUGUCAUGAAGCCUAUUCUUGAUGACAGUCGUAGCAGCCACUUUUGGAGCACUUUCUGAAGUCCAAAUGAUGCAAGCUAUAUACCAUUUCAAAGCUCAGGAAGUCAACAAUCCAAUGCUUCAAACGGUGCGCGAUUCGGAGUUGAAACGAAGAAGUUGCAGCCAUUACAAGCCAGUCACUCUAAAGUGUUGCGGAAUCAGCCUUUUGUUGCGAGAAUUUCGCAGCACUUUUGUACAGUAAGGUGUUUCUCCUUCUGACGAUGCACGAACCAUGCCGCGAGAGGGAAGCUAGGAACUUCAAGAUGGAAGCCAACUUUGCAGCCUGGUGAAGAUAGCUUGGUCUUGCGAAAUAAUUUCGCAGCCCUCUUGGGUGUCUGCGAAAUUUCGCAGGCACCACUUUUUUCCUGCGAAAUGGCUCCGGAAGCCUCCCGAAGCUUGCUACCGACAUUGGGAGAUAUUUUCCAUUAGAUUUUUGUUGUCUAAAUUCCAAAAUACUCCUUGUAAACCACCAAUUACAUGAUUCCUUAGUUUUUAAGUUAGUAAAAAGACCAAAUAUCUAUGUAAUAAUUAGUUUUAUAUUAGUUUGCUAUAAAUACCUCUCGGGAGCAUGUUCUCAGAGAGGAGUUCCUUCUGUAACCAUUUUGGUAAGCAAGUAAAGUCUUUUCUUUCUACUGCCUUACCUUCUCACUUUGUAUUUUCAUUUUAUUUCUAAGUUAUGAAUUCUCUGAGGAGCUUUCCCCAGAGAAUGAGUAACUAAACCUCCAAUUCCUUGGAGCUAAGGUUGCCGGGGAAGGUUCCAAGUGCAAGAAUGCAAAGCUCUGUGGUUUUAGCUAGUAAUGAAGAGGAAGUGAAAUCCUUUAGUGAUUUCAAUGUUUUUAGUUAACUUAAAACACCUUGGAGUCACCUGGGCCAACACUUGGUAAGGCAAGUGAUUUCCAACCGUGGAAAUGCACUAGUUUACCCCUUGCGAGCCUCUGGUAGGUGACUUCAAGGUAGGAUUUUCUGGAAUUACCAACACUUGGUAAGCUUUUGGACUCCUAGGAGACAUCCAUUAGUUAUCUCUUGCGAGUUUGUGAAGGGGAAUCCAAGGUUAAAGAUCACCUUGAAUGGUAAGUGCUCGUGAGAGGCAUGAACCAUUGCAAGUUGUAUCAGUGAGAGAAUUAAAGUGAAAUCUAAUUGAAGGAGUCUCUGUACAUCACCGGUUAGAGAAUUGACUAUAAGUUGAAUCUCUAAUGCGAGGAAAUGAACCAUCUGACCGGAGCUAUGUCUUUUGCAUGAGGAACCACCCCAGUGAACCUAAAUCUCCAAGGAAUGCUUUUCUUCCUAAAUUAUUCCAAACUUCUGUUAAGUUAGUUAGUUUAAGUCUAAACCUUUACCAAUCAAACUUUGUGUUUUAUUCCUUAAGCUAACCGUGAAAUGAAACAAAACCAAUUCACUUGGAAUUGGUAUCCUUGAUUGCUUGCAAAUCAUUCCCAGUGAACGAUCCUUAGAGCCACUAUACUAUAGUAGCUUUGUAUUUGCUACCCUAGUGUAUGGUGUUAUAGGUAUAAAUUUUGUUGAUCACUUCCUCAAUCAAGGAACACCAGCUGAACACAAAUCAGCUGAGACACCAAUUGGGCAUGAGUCAGUGCGUUAGAGGAUCAAGAAGAAGAAAAAGAAGGAACUGUUGGAAUUAGUAUGAGUGUGAAGAGAAAAGUAUAUAAAUAAGGGGAAGUAAAAGCAAAGUUCAAAAAGCUAUAUUUUUUUAUUGUUGGUGUAUGGUUGCAUGAUUAUCCCUAUAAAUAAUAGGAGUUUUUUGGUAUUCUACUAGUAGUUGAAGCAUAAUUUCAUAAAUUAAUAUUUAGAGCGGGGUGGGGUGAGUUGUGACAAAAUUCAUACCCGUCCCAAACCUUGGUUCAGAUUUUUAAAAUAUUCUCAAACUUAUCAUAUACCCAACUUUUAUAUUUCAUACUUGUCCUAAUAGAGGCACGUUAGGCCGGGUUACUUGAGUAACCUACAUAAUUGUCAUCCCUAGUUGAAAUACACUUUUUGGCAGUGGCCACCAACUGAGCUAGAAGCUUGAUUGAUUGACCUACAAGAUUAGUUCUCAUCAUUUUAAAAAAAGUUCUGGCUUUGGUUGUGAGUGCAAUUGAAUCUAAACUGGCAUUUGCUUAAUGCAUCUACUUCAAUCCUAAACUUCUUACUUCUUAAGCCUCAAUUGUUGUUAGGAUUUUGGAAAACCCAUUUCCUUAAAUUGUAAAUUUAAGAUAAAAUAAAAUAAAAGUGAGACAUUUCUUGAUUGAAUAUUGUUAAAGGUCCCUUGGCAUUAAGACUUGGUUGAAGCCUUGGAAGAUUAGUGGAACUCUCAACAUGUGUUUGAAUCUUGAGGAGAGUGGAUGUAAGCCAAAAUUUUGUCAAACCAUUAUACAAAUUGAGUUUGAAUCCUCAUUUCUUGAUUUCUUAUUUAUUUGCUUUUUCUUAUUAUUACUUGAAUUGUCAUUUGCAUUCAUUAAUGUUAAAAUUGGUUAUAAUUAACCAACACUAAUUCUCUUUCCCCUUCCCUUUCUUGGGUGUAAACCUAGGUUGGAUUAACUAGAUAAAUCUAUUAAGAUGGUAAAAGAAUAAUUAUUCUUAACAUACAUAAGAUCAUCUUCAAUCAAAUGACUCAUUGGCUAAUAUGUUGAAUUUGCUUAUUACUUGCAACUCAAAAUUGUGUUCUAGUUGUGUCAAGUCCCCAGUGUAUGGACAUUAAAUUUGUAGUACGUGAUGAGUAAUUAGAUGGUCCAACUCCAAGAAAGUGAUUGAAAAGUAGUUCAAGAAAGGUGCAAAAGGGAAUUGUUUUGGUAUUUUCGUUUUUAUUCUUGAAGGUGGCAGAGCUAAAAUUUGAGAAAUCAAGCAAAACAUACUGAAAUUACAUUGAAAGAAAGAAGAUGGGAGUUAAUGUCUUGCAGUACAUGAUAAGGACUUCAUGCAUGUAGUGUGACCCAUGUCUUGGACUGAUGCCAACUCACGGUUACACUUAUACCCUUGGUUCUCUCUUUACUACCUUGGCUAACCUAGAUCAGGCUAUGAGAUAGGCUCCUCACCACACCAUUACUUGCCCAUUAAUUAGAGACAUUUUCAAGCAAUGAGGUAACAUGGUGACACCAAGAGGGUCUAUUCCUCGCCCGGAACAAGUCUAGACUUGGUCUCAAAAAAAUGGAGAAAAAUGAGGUGUCGUUAUGUAGAAAUACAACAACCAUGCCUUCCUCAUUACUUAGAUUCAGAAUGUGAAGGUGAAAUUGAGAAACAGAAACUCUUGAAACCAAAAUGAAAAUUGAUACUUUUACGAAGAAUUACAACAACAUUAGAGGAAGACUACAUUCUUCCUCUUUAUUCCUACAUUUCUACACUACUUCUACUCCACUCCAUAUUUCUACAUACAUCUUUAAUCAGUCUUCCCUCCUUUAUAUAGAGCCAUCUUCACACAAAUUUCGCAAGGUAGAAAAGAGGAAUGAAACUUGGAGCAAGGUUCGACUACUGGUUGUAGCUUGUCAAGGCUGGAAGUGAACUUUUCUUGGCUUUCUGGGCAUGGGUAGUAACUUGUGGGUUCCUGUUUGGCAUAAAAAUGGCUAGAACAUGUGGCACUAUCUUGUUGGAUGAUGUGUCAAGCAUGUGGCAGCCAUCUAGUGGCGAUUAUGUCAAUUUUGGGAUGGAGAGUUGGCAUCCAAUUGCAAAGAAAUAUGACGUCUACCAACAUGCAAUGUAAACCUAUGUAGAUCAUAUGAAGAUAGAGAGGAAAAAUAUAGAAAUGGAUAUAUACCUAGAACUAGCUUUUUAUUAAAUGAAACGGAGAGACAACAAUGAAGGAAAAUAAAAUUUUUUGGCUUAUAUCAAAGAGUUCACAUUGUGUUACCCUAGGUUUUCUUAAAACUUACUUUUAUGAUAACAAAAAAGAAAAAACCAUUAUUGUUUAAUCCUUUGUUUUAAACGCAUGUAAGGUGUAAUUAAGUUAGUUCAAUGCAUUAAUUUAAGAAACUUGACCUAUCAAAAGUACAAAAUUAGAUGAAAUCCAUUUCAAUGGUUAAAAUGAUCAAAAUCAAACUUUUUCUAAGUAUUUUUUAAAAGCAUCAAUAGUGAAAGACAAUUUUAUAUUUAGUCGGAGUUUGGACAAAACUGAAAAACACACAAAAUCCAAGCGACCAUCUCUAGCUUGGAUGGUCGCUUGAUCCCACCUAGAGAUGUGCAUGAGUAAAAGGAUUUGAAAAUGGAAAUUGACUAUGUAGUCGAUCAAUUAACUUUGCAACAUCAUAUGCAAUCCUAAUUGCUAGUCAUCUAAUCAAUUAGGUAGUCAAUCAACAGGCCAAAAAUAUGUUUAUAAUGACUAUUUUGUACAAAAACCACCUGUAUAGUUAAAUAUAAUGCAUUUCAUUUAUAAAUCUUCUAAUUCUUGAAUAACGAUCCUAUCAUCCUUUGAAAGUUUUUAUUACACUUUUUUUACUUUUGUUCUAAAACUUACACAUCACCCUUAAUUGUACCAUGAGAACCUAGCUAUUUUUUAUUUUUUUUUUUGUAAUUCAUCAAAGUUAGCUUUUGUAUUCAUUGUUGUAUUAUUUUUAGUAUAACUUAGAAAGCUAGUGUUUUCAAGUGAGUAAAAUUAACUUGUAAAUAUUGUAAAGAUUCAUCGACAUGUAUCUUAAACUAAGUGUACAAGUUAAAACAUUUGCUAGUAGAUUUUCUCAAAAUUUAGAAUAGAGCUUGAGACUAUUGAAAUAGGUGGGGUUGCACCAAACCACAUCACAUCGUUGUUUGCACCUUUUUUCACUCUCUUUUACUUAGUUGCUCUAUAUUUGUUGUCUAGUAAUAUCCUAUAGGCUUGAUGGGUUAGGGAGCAUCCCUUUGUGAAAAAAUUUUAUUCAAUCCUUAGUUGUAUCACGCAUAUAUAAAAUGCCUCAUUGUUUUAAUGGUAUUCAGUCGUGGCAUCACAGAUAUGGGCAUCUAAAUUUUAAAAGUUUGAAACUUUUAUCUAAAGAAAAUAUGGUGCUUUGCCUUUUUGUAAAGCAUGUUGAUGAAAUCCAUGAGAAUUGUGUACUUGGGAAGCAACACCGAGAUGACUUUUUUUUUUUUUUUAUAAUAUUGUUUGUCCAAAUUCCCUACAAAUUAGGCCACCAGAUGUUCAUAAUUCUCCCUUCUUGAAUUUGAAAACUCGGACAAUUGGACAAUGCGACACCUAAGUCCGGUUUCUAAAUGCUAAAGUGAAAGGGUAGGUAUGGACCAUUGAAAUGUGAUCACAACUUUUCUCUGUAGCCAUGUUGUCUCUUUUUUCUUUUGCAUGAUUUUCUUACCUUAACAGAAUCAUAGACUUGUUUAGUCUCUAAAUGGGAUUAAUUUCAUCCAGCUUUAAGCUACUAUAUUAUAUCUAGGUGGAGGACUUUUAAGAGUGCAACCGACAUAGAGCACAUGGAAGUGGGUAUAUGGGACAUGAAAUUUCUUCUUAUAAAGAUUGCAUGAUUUUUAUAUUAGAGUUGUUGAGGCGCUAUGUAUUUAGCUUGUUUUGCAGUUAAAUUAAUUGGAUAAGUAGACAUUGGCGUUUCUAAAUCUACUGUGAAGUGCUUCAUGUACGUGUGAAGUAUUAGAAAUUUCUUUCUUGGCAACUUGUUUUUCUUUGCGGUCUACUGAUAGGUUUGACUAAAAUUAUAUUCCCUGUCAUGCUAAUUAAUUUUCACGUGCAUGCUCAAAAGAAAAGUAUGACCUUAGUGCACCAAAAUCACUUUGAUUAAUUUGUGAUAGGUUUUUGUGCAUCAUGACAUUAGCCUUAUUCAUUUAGAUAAUGUUUAGUUUUUAGAAAGUAUUAAGAAAAGGAAAAUAAAUAUUAAGAAAAAUAUUCUUAUAUUUGAUUGUAUUAUGAAAAAUAUCAUAAAAAAAUCAAAUAUAAUUUAAAUUAAUUAAUAAUUUAUACAUUUUCAAAUUAUUUAAUCUUUAUAUUGAAGAUAUAAUAUAAAUGAAAUGAGUUUUAAGUAUUAUAUAAAAGUGAUUUAUUGAUCUUACAUAUAUAUAUUUCUUUUUUUUUUCCUUCUAUUUUUUCUCUUUAUUUUAUUUUCCUUAUGUUUUCCUCAACAUUUUCCGGAACCAAACAUAGCCUUAGGAAAUCCACAAUUACCUUCAACUGAGUAGAUUCUGUUGUUUUAGCAAUGUUAGGCUGCUAACUUGUGUUGGUACGAACCUAUUAAGCCUAAAGAUGUAAUUAGUUAGGAUAUUCUUUUCCCUCUAGUCUUGUAGCUCCACGUGUACAGUUGGUUAGGACCUCAUUGUAUAUAAUGCUUGCCCUGUUAUUGUAGAAGACAACAAAGAUAAAUAAUAUUAACAUUUUUCCUCUCAUCUCUCUCUGUUUCCCUCUGUUUUCAUCUCCUCUCUCAUCUUGGUAUCAGAGCCUCCAUGGCUUCUUUCAAAGAAACCUCCGAAUCACCUUCUGCUAGCAUUGUUAAUGUGCAAAACCCAUUAUCUCAAUCAAACAACCUUCCUUCACCAGUAGCCACACCCUCUUUUUCUUUCUCGUCUAUGAAUCAACCUCUCACAGUGAAGCUGGAUAAUGGGAACUACCUCAUAUGGAAGAAUUAGCUUCUAAAUGUCAUCAUUGCUAACGGACUCGAUGAUUUCAUUGACGGAUCUCGACCCUGCCCUCCUCGAUUUCUCGAUCUGCAACAACAAACCCUCAAUCCAGAGUACUCAGCUUGGCAGAGAUACAAUCGACUUCUGAUGAGUUGGCUGUACGCAUCCUUGUCCAAAGAUAUAAUGGCUCAGAUUGUUGGGUAUUCAACAGCUAUGGAGAUUUGGAAUGCCCUUAAUCAGAUUUACUCUGCCUCUUCUAUGGCGCGGUUUACUGAGCUUCGCACCAAGCUUCAAACGCUCAAGAAAGAUGGACUCUCAGUUGGUGAAUAUAUUCAAAGGCUCAAAUCCAUUUGCAAUAGUCUUGCAGCAAUAGGAGAACCAGUUUCUGAGAAAGACCAUCUUAUCUAUUUGUUCAAUGGAUUAGAUUGUGAGUAUUAUUCUUUUGUUACCUCCAUUCAAAAUCGAUCUGACCAACCAACUAUUGACAAAAUCCAUAGCCUAUUGCUUAGCUAUGACUUCCGGCUUGAACAACAAAACUCUGUUUCUCUCCAUUCUGCCCAAGUCCAUAUGGCUCAUCUGAACAAGAAACCUUAUAAAUCAACUCCUCAACCUACAUUCAAUCAUAUUCACAUUCAACCUAGAUACUCUUCUCCACCUUUUAAGCCAACCACUAGUCAAUAUCAACCCAACAUUUUGGGCAAACCACAACCACAACCAUGACAGCCUCAACCUCAAUGGAAACCACAUUUUUCAAUCUAAAAUCAAAAGCCUCAGCGCCAAAUUUGUGGUAAAUUUGGACACACUGCUCUUAUUUGCUUCCAUCACACAAAUUUGAACUAUUCACCCCAACCUUCUCCUAAAUCUUUCAAUACUGUUCUCACCACAAAUUCCCAGCUCCCUAAUCCUCCAAAAUUUUCUUACCCUACAAUGGCUCAUCCUGCUGCUACGCAUAACACGGUUCCCGAUACAAAUUGGUACAUGGACUCAGGUGCUACACAUCACUUUACUCUGGACAUCAACGUGCUUGACACUGUGACACCAUUUAGUGGUUCAGAACAGGUGACAGUUGGGAAUGGUAAGCAACUCUGUAUCUCACAUCUUGGUACUGCAAAACUACCAUCUUCGUAUUCUCCUCCUGUUCUACAUCAGGUAUAUCACACUCCAAAAAUUUCAAAUAAUCUUAUUAGUGUUAAAAAAUUGUGUUCUGAUAAUAAAGUUUUUGUUGAAUUUUAUGCCACUCAUUUUCUUGUCAAGGAUCAGGUUUCGAAGAGAGUUCUCCUUUAGGGUCAACUUGAUAAUGGCUUAUACAAAGUUCAGUCGUCAUGCUCUCCUUCUGCUGUUUCCUUUCCUCCUCAAGUUUUCAUAGCCAACAUCAAGUAUCCAAAUCUGUGGCACAAGAGACUAGGCCACCCAGCUUUAUCUGUUGUUAAUCAAAUCUUGGAUUCUUGUAACAUUGCUCGAACACAGAAAAUUUGUUUUAAUUUUUUAAAUUCUUGUCAAUUAGCAAAGAGCCACAGGCUUCCUUUUUCUCUGUCUCCAUCCAUUGCAGAAAAACCUUUUGAGUUAAUUCAUACAGACCUAUGGGGUCUUUCGCUCGUUCGCUCUAUUUCUGGUGCUCUUUAUUUUUUACUUUUCAUUGAUGAUCAUACUCGUUUUACUUGGUUUUAUUUGCUCAAAACAAAAGAUGAAGCAUAUCCUACUUUUCUCAAGUUUCAAGCUCUCAUUGAAAAUCAAUUUAAUACCAAGAUUAAGGCUGUCCAAUCUGAUUGGGGAGGUGAGUUUCGAUCUCUCUCCAUACCGUUUUCAAAUAUGGGCAUUGUCUAUUGUUUAUCGUGUCCAUACACCUCACAACAGAAUGGGCGAGUUGAGCGAAAAAAUCGCCAUGCGAUUGUCCUUUCUUGCUUGCUCUAUGCCCUUAUCUUAUUGGCCUUAUGCCUUUCAAACUGCCACUUACCUUAUUAAUCGUCUCUCUACCCCUGUGCUGCAUCAUCAAUCCUCUUACUUCGCACUCUAUCACAAACUCCCAACUUAUACUCAUCUUAAGGUCUUUGGUUCCUCUUGUUUUCCGUAUUUGCACCCUUAUAAUACCCAUAAACUCCAAUACAGGUCACUAGAGUGUGCUUUUCUUGGUUACAGUUCACACCACAAAGGUUAUCUAUGUCUUGACAUUCAUUCUAGCAGGGUGUAUAUUUCUCGCCAUGUGAUUUUUAAUGAAGAUUCUUUUCCAUUCAAGAAUUUGAAAUCUUCUCUCUCUCAGUCUAUUUCUUCUUCCUCUUCUUUAUAAGUUCCUCUGUUCAUUCUCUUGCCUCCCCUUUCCCCAUCUCCUCUUAUUUCUUCAUCUAUACCUCAUUCUUUUCCCUCUUCUUCUUCUACCUCUAGUACUUGUUCCCCUCUCGUUGCUCCUACCUCUCUUCCUUCCUCUUCACACUCUGUGUCUCCAUCUAUUCCACCUCCUUCUCCACCUUCUCCGAGUGUGGACCUGCUUGCACCUUGUGUGAAUACAAAUUUACAUACUUCUUCUCGCACUCACAAUAUUCAUCCUAUGGUGACUAGAUCUAAGGUUUGUAUCUAUAAACCUAAGUUGUUGUUGAGUGUCUCCAUAGGUUCUCUCACUAAGCCUACUUCCUUUCUUCAAGCUAUUAAAGAUCCUUCAUGGAAGCAAUCCAUGGAAUUCGAGUUUGCUACCCUUCAACACAACAAGACCUGGCAUUUGGUUCCUUCACCUUCCUCAGGCGAAGUAAUCGGUUGUAAAUGGGUCUAUAAGCUAAAGCUUCAGCCUGAUGGCUAAAUUGAGAGAUACAGCCUGCUUAGUAGCUAAGGGUAUCAUCAAAUUGAAGUAUGGACUACUUCGAAACAUUCAGCCUGAUNNNNNNNNNNNNNNNNNNNNNNNNNNNNNNNNNNNNNNNNNNNNNNNNNNNNNNNNNNNNNNNNNNNNNNNNNNNNNNNNNNNNNNNNNNNNNNNNNNNNAGCUUCAGCCUGAUGGCUAAAUUGAGAGAUACAAGGCCUGCUUAGUAGCUAAGGGUUAUCAUCAAAUUGAAGGUAUUGACUACUUCGAAACAUUCAGCCUGAUUGUCAAGCUUUCUACUAUCUGUAUUGUGCUCAGUCUUACUUUUUCCCAGAAUUGGUGUAUUAGACAGCUGGAUGUUCAUAAUGCCUUCUUACAUGGUGACUUAGCUAAAGACGUUUUCAUGGAACAACUGCCUGGAUUUGUUGAUCCUCUCUAUCCUACUCAUGUCUGCAAGUUGGAUAAGUCUCUCUACUGUCUUAAAUAGUCACCUCGGGCUUGGUAUACUAAGCUGAGUACUUCUCGCUACACUUGGGAUUUGUUACUUCUAAGAAUGACUCUUCCUUAUUUAUUUGUCAUUCGUCUCAUGGGUUACUUCUUGUUCUUGUCUAUGUGGAUGAUAUAAUCGUCAUUGGGAGCCACUCUCCUCAGGUUACUCACCUUAUCCAACAGUUGCAUCAUUAGCUUUCUUUAAAGGAUCUUGGUCCUUUACAUUAUUUUCUGGGCUUGGAGGUUCAUCACACCCCUACUGGUAUUCACCUCAGCCAAGCAAAGUAUAUCACUGAUCUCCUUACCCGGGCGGCUAUGUUGGAUGCCAAGCCAUGUCCCACUCCUAUGUCCUCCAACACAUAUCUCUCUUUUCAUGAUGGAGUGGCUCUUGAAAAUGGUUCAGAUUAUCGAAGUUUUGUUGGUGCCCUUUAGUAUUGUACCAUGACACGCCCAGAUAUAGCUUUUGCAAUAAAUAAAGUGUGUCAAUUCAUGCACCAUCCCUCUAAUGUUCACUGGCAGGCUAUAAAACGUAUUCUCCGGUACUUAAAGGGCACAUCUCAUUUUGGUCUCUUCCUACAGCCUUCCUAUGACUUCAACAUCACUUGCUAUACAAAUGCCGACUGGGCUUCCUGUCCUGAUGACAAGUGUAGCACCAGUGGCUACUGCCUCUUUCUUGCCUCUAAUCUGGUUUCUUGGUCAUCUUCCAAACAAAAAGUGGUCUCCCGCUCCAGCGCCGAAUCAGAGUACCGAGGGGUAGCAAAUGGGGCUGCUGAAAUUGCUUGGACUGAAUCUCUUCUUUGUGAACUUUCCAUUACUCCCCCUCCCCUCAUUCUCUGUGACAAUAUCAGUGCCACGUACUUAGCUGCCAAUCCUAUUUUGCAUGCCCGCACCAAACAUGUGGAAAUCGACUAUCACUUUGUCACGGAACGUGUUCUUCAAUGCUCUCUUUUUGUCCAGUUUACACCUUCUGAUGAUCAACUUGCUGAUUGCAUGACCAAGCCUCUCUCCACCCAACGUUUCAUCACUCUACGCUCCAAGCUCACUGUUCUCACUAGACCAAUGAGCUUGAGGGGGGAUGUUAAGCCUAAAGAUGUAAUUAGUUAGGAUAUUCUUUUCCCUCUAGUCUUGUAGCUCCACGUGUACAGUUGGUUAGGACCUCAUUGUAUAUAAUGCCUGCCCUGUUAUUGUAGAAGACAACAGAGAUAAAUAAUAUUAACAUUUUUCCUCUCAUCUCUCUCUCUGUUUCCCUCUGUUUUCAUCUCCUCUCUCAUCUGAACCAAAUGAUCCAUGUUAACCUUGGCUUGGUUUGAUUUGGCUCUAUCUUAGAGAGCUCAAGGAUCACGUCAACUCUGGUUUCUACUAUUCAGGUCCAUUCCCAUAUGAACUGGUUCAAAUUUGAGAAAAUGGUAACAGACCUUUAGUGAUGUUGGUUUGGAGCCAGUUGCCAAACCCGCCCUGAGCUUUACCACUAAUGUCAAGGGAGAAAGCCAUUUGAACAAAAACAAUAGCUUCAAGGGACUGAAUCGUGGAUGAAAUCUGAUCCACAUUUCUUCUCAUUUUGGAAACAAAUGAGAACUUAACUAAGAAGAUUCUACGGCCUCAUAGUGCUUUUCCUGAUCUAAGGUUGGUUCGUUUCCCAAACUGUGAGAUGCACGUGCCAGACUUCAGAACUCUCACGCUCAGGAGUGUAUCCACGUGGUGGACAUAAGAUGGUGGCUUAAGAUCUGGUGUCGGUGGCUUUACUUUACUAGGAGAGUAGUGUGUCUUCAUCUCAUUCACUGCCGGAGGGUGGCGUAAGCAGUGACGCUAAGGUGGGGCACAGUCAAUAUCAUUUGCAUUUGACCAUUAUAGUUUUCUCCCGGCUUUAAAGUAACCUUAUCGUGAUAAAGGAUUACUAGCACUAGUUCAGAUGAUAGUCAUGUUAAAUUCGGACCAUGUUUGUGUCACAUUAUCAGCAACCAUGUGUUUAUGGUUCAUGCUUUCUGCAACUAAAAUUGAUAUAUAACCAGGUGAACUUCAAUCUAAAUUCUGAAAGUACUCAUGUGAUAGAUGGUGCCCGUCUGCAGAGUCCAUCAAUUGAAAAAUGGAGUGAGUGUAUCUAUAAGAGGGAAGGCUUGGAAAAUGUUCAGUUUUCUGGGAAUUCAACAAGGAUCUAAAAUAGAUUGUUUUCUUUGCUGAUUUCAAUGGUUGAAAUUUGAGAAGAUUGUGUCCACAUAACACAACUAUUACUGGUCCUUCUGUUGCAAUUUAUCCUCUAAAGCUCUAGCAUGUCUUCCAAUUCCCACUUCCCUGUUACUCCAGGAAAGCUAUUUCUGUCAUUGUGAAGAAGAAAAGAGAAUGUACAUAUCGAUGCUUUUAAGUGACUGGAGCAUUUAUAUCAGGUGGUCUGCAGCCAUAUAUGCCACUUUGUGAAGAUUGGAACAGUCAAUCACUAGGCUAUAUAUUAGUGUGGCCCAGCCACUUUAAUCAAGGACAAGUCUUCAUACUUAAAGUCAAAUUCUGCCUUUAGUCUCAUUAUAAAUUUCUGUUUAAAUAUUAAGCAAACAUUUGUUUAAUGCGAUUAAGACAGUACUAACUCAAUACCUGUUCUAUUUUUGGAUGCAAAUGCUUGAUGGUUUCAUCAUUGGAUGGGAUAAAGGUGCAUUCAUGAUUAGGAAUACUAGUAGUUAUAUUUUAAUUCUCUUUUUUCUCAAUGAGACUUGUUGGCACAAUUUUGCUGUUGAGAAACCUACCUCUCCAUGGAAAAUAAGUUGUGAUUGAUAGUACUGGAUAUAUUCAAGAAAUCUAAAUAUAGAUAGCACAAAAUAUUAUCGACAUAAAUAGCAUUAACAGCGUACGUAUGUCUCAGUGCUCAUCAGCUAUAAGCAUGGGGCAAACACUUACUAUGAGCAACUUACGUCAAAAUUCCAGAAUAGGACAUAGAAGUGACAGAUAUAGAACAUUGCAUAUGAGUCACAAGAAAGGAAAUUACGGGUGCAUAGCAGCUCUUAUUUUACAUACUACUACUCAUACUGAUCAAAGUCACUCAGUUGGGAUGGGUGGGAGUAGGAGGUUUGUGGGGUGGCUUGUGCGGAGGAGUUGGCAGCUUCUUUCCAGGACCUGGUUGCUUCUCUGCUGGAGUUGAAGGAGGCUUAAUCUUCCGAGGUGGCUUGUAUGAGUCUUCAGCAUUCUCAGCUGGAGGGUGACCAGGGUUGUGACCAUAAUGUGGUGGCUUCUCUCCCUUAGGUGGUUUGCCAACUGGGGUUGGUGGCUUGUAUGAGUCUUCAGCAUUCUCAGCAGGAGGGUGACCAGGGUUGUGACCAUAAUGUGGUGGCUUCUCUCCCUUAGGUGGUUUGCCAACUGGGGUUGGUGGCUUGUGUUCUGGGAGUGGCUUCUCCCCCUUGGGAGGUUUUUCCAAUGGGGUUGGUUUGUGUUCAGGAGGUGGCUUCUCCACUGGAGGCUUGUGUUCAGGAGGUGGCUUCUCCACCGGAGGCUUGUGUUCAGGUGGUGGCUUCUCCACCGGAGGCUUAUGCUCUGGUGGUGGCUUCUCGAAUGGGGGAUGCUUAGGAUAAUCAGCAAGUGAGGGGGCGGUGAGAACCACCAGGCCAAGCAACACCACUAGCAAAUAUGUAGGAGACAUCUUUGGGUUUGGGCUCAGAUGGUGCAAAACUAGGAGAAUUGGCUAGCCUUUUAUAGCGGAUCGUACCCAAUAAUGAAAUGACACGUGUCAUUAUGACCCAUGUGUAAUGGGGUCGAUUUGGGUCCUACAGUGUUGAAAACUUCGACAUCCACUUUUGGCCUUUUGCUUUCUCUACAGCCGCCUUGCUUUUUCCCUCUUUCCUUUUGUUUUCCUCCUGCCCCAUUCUAUCAACUAAACACAAUUAUGUAGUUGUUUAAUUCUUAAAUGAGAUAUUAUCCGUCAAUCGUAUUAUAUUUUAUCAAGAGAGAACGGAGUGCAAUGUGGCUGUAAUUUUAUCGUUUAGUUUUAUCUCUUGGACCACUGCAUUUUUGUUAAGAGGUGCAAUAAUACACGUCUUUAUCUGCCAUUCAAUAUUUACAGUAAAGAGAGGGCACAAAACUCUUCACUUCGCACCAUAAUUAUUUUGUUUUCUGGACACCCCGGGGCCCUUUGGUUGGUUUGGGGGUCAGAAAGUGAACAUCAUAGGGGGUUUUUCCCUUAUGUGCAUUUGUAUCUGAUGGCUUUAACUCGCCUUGUUACUACAAAGAAACUGUCACAGAUAGGAACUUAUUCCAGGCUGAGUAUCUCCUCAUAGACCCUAUAAAAGAAGACAAGUCAUAAUGAACAUCUAACCUUUGUUCAAUUUGAUUCAAUGCCCCCAUUGUGUCCAUCUCACAAAUCUGAAUUAUUAUAUCCAUUGAAUACAUAAAUUAAUGAAGAAAAUAUGAAACCCAAGAUACAUCUCUGCACAACCUCAACCCUGGUUGCUAUGUUUCCCUUCUAUUCACAUGAUUUGAUGCUAAUUGCCAAACUUGCAACAAGCCCUGAGUUUGACACCUAGUAUCGAUGGGCGAAUUUAAAGUCUCCUCCAAACAUAUAUUCCACAGCUUGAAGCUCACAGAAGAUGUUACAGGCAGGGAAAAACCUUCAGAGUUCGCUACCAAAGAUAAUUAUUAAGGAGAUAUCACAAAGAGAAUUCCAAGGGGUCUGAAUCAAAGACAAAUUGGUCGUUCGUGGGGGUUCUUACUUUCUUUUGGGUAUAACUCACUGAGGGCACUGUCUUUGUUAUUUGCAUUUCACAUUUAGAGUUCUGUUCUGGAAACAUAUAAAAGGAGCAUCAUUUUGUUCUUGGGUAACCCAUAGUCGUGAGUGGGUCCAUUUGCAUGCUACUUAGUUGAAAAGUUGGACCAUUUGCUCCGACGCCUACCUCCCGGAUUCCAUGCUCGGAUAAAACAAGAAUAAAAAAAAUAUUUAUAAUUUACAAAUGGGGGAAAGAAAAAAAUGUCAACAACAAACCAGGAAAAAAGAGUAGUAAAAUUCAUGUCACAUGCUAGUGAGAGAAGGGGUUGUUACACUCACUCGAAGUUCUUUCCAAAAUAUCGCAUGGUAUUUUAUUUUAUGUGUCAGCGCAGUUGUGAAUGGAACGUGCAAAAGUCCAAAUUGGCGUUUUUCCUUUUCCCGUGUAGGAUGGCGACCUUUAAUAAAUAUUUAAAACAAAAAACGAAAAAAAGGAGGGAAAAGGGAUCAGAAAAGAUAAAACAAUGUGUACAAGAGCUCAAUUAGUUUGCAAAUUACUGUUUGGAUUUUGAUAGUAUUUUAUUUGUCCAUCUAUAUUUGAUGGAAAAGAGAAUUUAAGAUAUUUCUGAAACAAAAGCAUUAGUGUAAAACUAAAUUAAGGUAUAAUUAAGUUAGUUCAAUGCAUUAAUUUAAGAAACUUGAUCUAUCCAAAGUACAAAAUUAGAUGAAAUCCAUUUCAAUGGUUAAAAUGAUCAAAAUCAAACUUUUUCUAAGUAUUUUUUAAAAGCAUCAAUAUUAAAAGACAAUUUUAUAUUUAGUCGGAGUUUGGACAAAACCAAAAAGCACACAAAAUCCAAGCGACCAUCUCUAGCUUGGAUAGUCACUUGAUCCCACCUAGAGAUGUGCAUGAGUAAAAGGAUUUGAAAAUGGAAAUUGACUAAAUAUUUAGUUGAUCAAUUAAAUUUGCAAUGUCAUAUGCAAUCCUAAUAGCUAGUCAUCUAAUCAAUUAGGUAGUCAAUCAAGUGUUUGUAAUGACUAUUUUGUACAAAAAACCACAUGUAUAGUUAAAUAUAAUGCAUUUCAUUUAUAAAUCUUCUAAUUCUUGAAUAACGAUCCUAUCAUCCUUUGAAAAUUUUUAUUACACCUUUUUUACUUUUGUUCUAAAACUUACAUAUCACCCUUAAUUGUACCAUGAGAACCUAGCUAUUUUUUUUUUUUUUGUAAUUCAUCAAAGUUAGCUUUUGUAUUCAUUGUUGUAUUAUUUUUAGUAUAACUUAGAAAGCUAGUGUUUUCAAGUGAGUAAAAUUAACUUGUAAAUAUUGUAAAGAUUCAUUGAUAUGUAUCUUAAACUAAGUGUACAAAUUAAAACAUUUGCUAGUAGAUUUUCUCAAAAUUUAGAAUAGAGCUUGAGGCUAUUGAAAUAGGUGGGGUUACACCAAACCACAUCACAUCGUUGUUUGCACCUUUUUUCACUCUCUUUUACUUAGUUUCUCUAUAUUUGUUGUCUAGUAAUAUCCUAUAGGCUUGAUGGGUUAGGGAGCAUCCCUUUGUGAAAAAAUUUCAUUCAAUUCUUAGUUGUAUUACGCAUAUAUAAAAUGCCUCAUUGUUUUAAUGGUAUUCAGUCGUGGCAUCACAGAUAUGGGCAUCUAAAUUUUAAAAGUUUGAAACUUUUGUAAAGCAUGUUGAUAAAAUCCAUGAGAGUUGUGUACUUGGGAAGCAACAUCGAGGUGACUUUAUUUUUUUUUCCUUUUAUAAUGCCACACCUAAGUCCGGUUUCUAAAUGCUAAAGUGAAAGGGUAGGUAUGGACCAUUGAAAUGUGAUCACAACUUUUGGCCUUUUCCUUUCUCUGCAGCCAUGUUGUCUCUUUUUUCUUUUGCAUGAUUUUCUUACCAAAACAGAAUCAUAGACUUGUUUAGUCUCUAAGCUACUAUAUUAUAUCUCGGUGGACUUUUAAGAGUGCAACCGACAUAGAGCACAUGCAAGUGGGCAUAUGGGACAUGAAAUUUCUUCUUACAAAGAUUGCAUGAUUUUUAUAUUAGAGUUGUUCACGUGCAAUGUAUUUAGCUUGUUUUGCAGUUAAAUUAAUUGGAUAAGUAAACAUUGGCAUUUCUAAAUCGACUGUGAAGUGCUUCAUGUACGUGUAAAGUAUUAGAAAUUUCUUUCUUGGCAACUUGUUUUUUCCUUGCCAUCUACUGGUAGGUUUGACUAAAAUUAUAUUCCCUGUCAUGCUAAUUAAUUUUCAUGUGCAUGCUCAAAAGAAGAGUAUGACCUUAGUGCACCAAAAUCACUUUGAUUAAUUUGUGAUAGGUUUUUUUGCAUCAUUUAGAUAAUGUUUAGUUCUAAGAAAAAUUUAUAUAAAAAUGGUUUAUUUAUCUUACAUAUAUAUAUAUAUAUAUAUAUUUUUUUUUUUUUCAUUUUUUUUUCUUCUAUUUUAUUUAUUUAUUUUAUUUUCCUUAUGUUUUCCUCACAUUUUCCGGAACUAAACAUAGUCUUACGAAAUCAACAAUUGCCUUCAACUGAGUAGAUUCUGUUGUUUUAGCAAUGUUAGGCUGCUAACUUGUGGUGGUACGAACCAAAUGACCCAUGUUAAUCUUGGCUUGGUUUGAUUUGGCUCUAUCUCAGAGAGCUAAAGGAUCACGUCAACUCUGGUUUCUACUAUUCAGGUCCAUUCCCAGAUGAACUGGUUCAAAUUUGAGAAAAUGGUAACAGACCUUUAGUGAUGUUGGUUUGGAGCCAGUUGCCAAACCCGCCCUGAGCUUUACCACUAAUGUCAAGGGAGAAAGCCAUUUGAACAAAAACAAUAGCUUCAAGAGACUGAAUCGUGGAUGAAAUCUGAUCCACAUUUCUUCUCAUUUUGGGAAAAAAUGAGAACUUAACUACAAAGAUUCUACUGCCUCAUUCAUAGUGCUUUUCCUGAUCCAAGGUUGGUUCGUUUCCCAAAUUGUGAGGUGCACGUGCCACUCUCACGCUCAGGAGUGUAUCCACGUGGUGGACAUCAGAUGGUGGCUUAAUAUCUGGUGUCGGUGGCUUUACUUUACUAGGAGAGUAGUGUGUCUUCAUCUCAUUCACUGCCGGAGGGUGGCGUAAGCAGUGACGCUAAGGUGGGGCACAGUCAAUAUCAUUUGCAUUUGACCAUUAUAGUUUUCUCCCGGCUUGAAAGUAACCUUAUCGUGAUAAAGGAUUACUAGCACUAGUUCAGAUGACCGUCAUGUUAAUUCGGACCAUGUUUGUGUCACAUUAUCAGCAACCAUGUGUUUAUGGUUCAUGCUAUCUGCAACUAAACUUGAUAUAUAACCAGGUGAACUUCAAUCAAAAUUCUGGAAGUACUCUUGUGAUAGAUGGUGCCUGUCUGCAGAGUCCAUCAAUUGAAAAAUGGAGUGAGUGUAUCUAUAAGAGGGAAGGCUUGGCAAAUGUUCAGUUUUCUGGGAAUUCAACAAGGAUCUAAAAUAGAUUGUUUUCUUUGCCGACUUCAAUGGUUGAAAUUUGAGAAGAUUGUGUCCACAUAUCACAACUAUUACUGGUCCUUCUGUUGCAAUUUAUCCUGUAAGGCUCUAACAUGUCUUCCAAUUCCCACUUCCCUGUUACUCCAGGAAAGCUAUUUCUGUCAUUGUGAAGAAGAAAAGAGAAUGUACAUAUCGAUGCUUUUAAGUGACUGGAGCAUUCAUAUCAGGUGGUCUGCAGCCAUAUAUGCCACUUUGUGAAGGUUGGAACAGUCAAUCACUAGGCUAUAUAUUGGUGUGGCCCAGCCACUUCAAUCAAGGACAAGUCUUCAUACUUAAAGUCAAAUUCUGCCUUUAGUCUCAUUAUAAAUUGCUGUUUAAAUAUUAAGCAAACUUUUGUUUAAUGCGAUUAAGACAGUACUAACUCAAUACUUGUUCUAUUUUUGGAUGCAAAUGCUUGAUGGUUUCAUCAUUGGAUGGGAUAAAGGUGCAUUCAUGAUUAUGAAUACUUGUAGUUAUAUUUUCAUUCUCUUUUUUCUCAAUGAGACUUGUUGGCACAAUGUUGCUGUUCAGAAACCUACCUCUCCAUGGAAAAUAAGUUGCGAUUGAUAGUACUGGAUAUGUUCAAGAAAGCUAAAUAUAGAUAGCACAAAAUAUUAUCGAUAUAAAUAGCAUUAACAGCGUACGUAUGUCUCAAUGCUCAUCAGCUAUAAGCAUGGGACAAACACUUACUAUGAGCAACUUACGUCAAAAUUCCAGAAUAGGACAUAGAAGUGACAGAUCUAUAUAUAUAGAACACUGCAUAUGAGUCACAAGAAAGGAAAUUACGGGUGCAUAGCAGCUCUUAUUUUACAUACUACUACUCAUACUGAUCAAAGUCACUCAGUUGGGAUGGGUGGGAGUAGGAGGUUUGUGGGGUGGCUUGUGCGGAGGAGUUGGCAGCUUCUUUCCAGGACCUGGUUGCUUCUCUGCUGGAGUUGAAGGAGGCUUAAUCUUCCGAGGUGGCUUGUAUGAGUCUUCAGCAUUCUCAGCUGGAGGGUGACCAGGGUUGUGACCAUAAUGUGGUGGCUUCUCUCCCUUAGGUGGUUUGCCAACUGGGGUUGGUGGCUUGUAUGAGUCUUCAGCAUUCUCAGCAGGAGGGUGACCAGGGUUGUGACCAUAAUGUGGUGGCUUCUCUCCCUUAGGUGGUUUGCCAACUGGGGUUGGUGGCUUGUGUUCUGGGAGUGGCUUCUCCCCCUUGGGAGGUUUUUCCAAUGGGGUUGGUUUGUGUUCAGGAGGUGGCUUCUCCACUGGAGGCUUGUGUUCAGGAGGUGGCUUCUCCACCGGUGGCUUGUGUUCAGGAGGUGGCUUCUCCACCGGAGGCUUAUGCUCUGGUGGUGGCUUCUCCACCGGAGGCUUAUGCUCUGGUGGUGGCUUCUUGAAUGGGGGAUGCUGAGGGUAAUCAGCAAGUGAGGGGGCGGUGAGAACCACCAGGCCAAGCAACACCACUAGCAAAUAUGUAGGAGACAUCUUUGGGUUUGGGCUCAGAUGGUGCAAAACUAGGAGAAUUGGCUAGCCUUUUAUAGCGGAUCGUACUCAAUAAUGAAAUGACACGUGUCAUUAUGACCCAUGUGUAAUGGGGUCGAUUUGGGUCCUACAGUGUUGAAAACUUCGACAUCCAGUUUUGGCCUUUUGCUUUCUCUACAGCCGCCUUGCUUUUUCCCUCUUUCCUUUUGUUUUCCUCCUGCCCCAUUCUAUCAACUAAACACAAUUAUGUAGUUGUUUAAUUCUUAAAUGAGAUAUUAUCGGUCAAUCGUAUUAUAUUUUAUCAAGAGAGAACGGAGUGCAAUGCAGCUGUAAUUUUAUCGUUUACUUUUAUCUCUUGGACCACUGCAUUUUUGUUAAGAGGUGCAAUAAUACACGUCUUUAUCUGCCAUUCAAUGUUUACAGUAAAGAGAGGGCACAAAACUCUUCACUGCUCUGCAUGUGUCCCAAAAAUGCGAUUGGACAAAUUAUGAUUUGCAUGCUAAAAAGAGGCAAAUGAGGUUAAUUCGCACCAUAAUUAUUUGGUUUUCUGGACACCAUAAAAAGAUGUUAUACAGGCAGGGAAAAACCUUCAGAGUUAGCUACCAAAGAUAAUUAUCAAGCAGAUAUCACCAAGAGAAUUCCAUAGAGUCUGAAUCAAAGACAGAUUGCUCGCUCGUGGGGGUUCUUACUUUCUUUUGGGUAUAACUCACUGAGGUCACUGUCUUUUUUAUUUGCAUUUCACAGUUAGAGUUCUGCUCUGGAAGGUUUGUUCUGGAAACAUAUAAAAGGAGCAUCAUUUUGUUCUUGGGUAACCCAUAGUCGUGAGUGGGUCCAUUUGCAUGCUACUUAGUUGAAAAGUUGGACAAUUUGCUCCGACGCCUACCUCCUGGAUUCCAUGCUCGGUAAAACAAGAAUAAAAAAAAAUAUAUAAUUUACAAAUGGGGGAAAGAAAAAAUGUCGGAAAAAAUAGUAAAAUUCAUGUCACAUGCUAGUGAGAGAAGGGGUUGUUACACUCACUCGAAGUUCUUUUCAAAAUAUCGAAUGGUAUUUUACUUUAUGUGUCAGCGCAGUUGUGAAUGGAACGUGCAAAAGUCCAAAUUGGCGUUUUUAUUUUUCCCAUGUAGGAUGGUGACCUUUAAUAAAUAUUUAAAACAAAAGACGAAAAAAAAAAGGAGGGAAAAGGGAUCACAAAAGAUAAAAUAAUGUUUACAAAAGCUCAAUUAGUUUGCAAAUUACUGUUUGGAUUUUGAUAGUAUUUUAUUUGUCGUUCUAUAUUUGAUGUAAAAGAGAAUUUAAGAUAUUUCCGAAGCAAAAGCAUUAGUUUGCUCUGUGAUGUCCCACAUCGAAUAGGGGAGAAAGUUUCUGGCGCUAUAUAUGUAGAGGCUCCUCUUAACCAAGUAGAUGCGUUUUAAAACCAUGAGGGCCCCCUUAGGUCCAAAGCGGACAAUAUCUACAUGAUUGGGUGUAAGUCAUUACAAAUGGUAUCAGAGCCGAUCCCCGACCCCGGUGUGGGGGUUUGUUUGGCCCUGUAAGGGGUGUUUGUCUGUUUGACCCCACAAUCCCAUGGGACACAACGAGGACGUUGUGUCUGCAUGGGGGGGCGUUUGUGAUGUCCCACAUCGGAUAGGGGAGAAAGUUCCUAGUGCUAUAUAUGUAGAUGUUUCUCUUAACCAAGUAGAUGCAUUUUAAAAUUGUGAGGGCCUCUUUGGGCCCAAAGCGGACAAUAUCUACAUGGUUGAGUGUAAGUCAUUACAUGCUCCAUGUCAAUUUCAGCAUUUCUCAUAUGUUUCACACAUACACAGAAGAGCAUCGUUUUUUAAAGCAUGCAUUUAUGUUGGAUUAAUUUGGAUUUUGUGGGAACUGGGGCAAGGAUCACAUGGAAGAGAGGUUGACUUUUUUCAGUACUUCAAUGGUUGAAAUAUGUGAAGGCUUGAUUGAUACUAAAGCUUGAAAUUGCGACUCUGUCAUUUGUAAAAAAAUAUGACAGCUUCCAUGCUCUCGUUUGGUUGCAUUGUCCGGUCGAGAGGUGCAAAAAGCAUUCUCUCUCUUCUAAUAGUCUUUUCGUUUAAAUCAAGGGAUUUGCCUUCCCGGUCGAGGUCCAAUAGAGGGUAACGGUCACCUACUAAACAUUAAAUGCUCCAACAACUAGUGAACUGAUCGACCCCAGCUCGACUAGUUGAGGUUACUUUUUGGUUUUCUUGUCUCCCGAGGUUAGAAACCUAUAAAUAGAGAGCUUCACUUCAUUUAUGAGUAAGAGAACACCUAAAUUUAUUUGUUUACCUACUUGUUUUUGCCAUAAAAGCUCUCAUUUCUUUUCUUGGUGUAUUAAAUCUCCAUUUGCAUAUCCUUUAGUGCACCUUUGUGAUUCAUUCUAGCCUUGAGUUGUAUUUAAGCCUUUGUUGAGCUAGGUUGAGAGUUUCAUACUUGUUUAUUGAGUGUUAAAGCCUUCAAGUGAGUUAAAACUUGAAGAGAUUGUGUAAGAGCCCAUUGGAGUCGGAAUCCAAGUGUAAAGGUGAUUAAAAGCUUGGUUGAAGCUUCAAGUUAGUGGAACUCUCACUCGGUUAUGAGCUUGAGAAGAGUGGACAUAGACAAGGCAGUGUCGAACCACUAUAAAAUCUGAGUUUGAUUUCUCUAACCUUAUCUCUUUAUAUUUGCUUCUCUUGUGCUUAAAUUUUUUGUGUUUAAAAAGAAUUUUUAAAAACUCAAUUCACCCCCUUCUUGGGAGUUUUUCUCUUUUAAGAUCAGCUUUUAUUUUCUCAAUUGGUAUCAGAACUAUGCCUCUUGUUUAAGACUUAAUCGUCUAAGAGGAAAUGGCUAAUCCAUCAAGUUCAUCUCACAUUGAAAGUUUUGCAACCAAUAGACUUCUUUUUUUUUUUUUGCGGGAACUGAUUAUCCCUAUUGGAAAACUAAAAUGACUUGGUUUUUACAAUCAAUUGAUUUAGAUGUAUGAGAUGCCAUUGAAGAUGACCUAACUUUUCCUUCAAAACUAGUUGAUGGAGUCAUGGUUCCAAAACCUAAGCAAGAAUGGGAUGAGCGUGAUUGAAGAAAUUUUCAAUUAAAUGCUAAAGUCGUUUAUACUUUGCAAUGCUCUAUGGACAGAAAUGAAUAUAAUAGAAUAUGUCAAUGCAAAUCGGUUAAAGAAAUUUGGAGAUUGCUUGAAAUAACUCAUAAAGGAACAAAUCAAGUUAAAGAGUCAAAAAUCAAUUUACUUGUUCAUAGAUAUGAAUUGUUUUUUAUGAAAGAUAAUGAAACUAUUGUUAAGAUGAUCACUAGGUUCACCAACAUUGUUAAUGGUCUUAAAGCCUUGGGAAAGACCUACAAGGAAUCCGAAAACGUGAUGAAGAUCUUGAGGUCACUUCCAUCAAAGUGGCAUACCAAGGUCACCGCAAUUUAAGAAGCAAAAGACUUGAUCAAGCUACCUUUGGAGGAGUUCAUAGGGUCAUUGAUGACAUAUGAAAUCAAUUUGGCAAAGAAGUAACAAAAAGGUGAAGACAAAAAGAAGAAGAACAUAACUCUCAAAGCUACAACUAAGGAAGAAGAAGUUGAAGAAGAAAAACAAAUUGAAGAAGAUGAAGAUUUAGCCCUCAUCACAAGAAAGUUCAACAAAUUCAUGAGGGGUGAAAGGUUUAGAAGAAGAAGGUUCACUUCUAGAAGAGACUUUUCUAAAAAGGAAUCUUCAUCUAAUGGUGACAAAAAGAGAUGGGAAGAGAAAAGAGACUUGGUGUGUUUCAAGUGCAAGAAACCGGGACACAUUAAAUAUGAUUGUCCUCUCUACAAAAGUGAAGUCAAGAGGAAAAAGAAUAAGGCAAUGAUGGCCACUUAGAGUGAAAGUGAAGAUGAAUCAUCCGAAGAAGAAAAUGAGAAAGAAGUGGCAAACAUGUGUUUCAUGGCAAUAGAUGAACUUGAUGAGGUAAAAUCUAACCUUAGUGAUUAAGAUAUACAUGAUGCAUUUGAAGAAUUGUAUGAGGAUUUUUAAAAACUUAGUUUGAAAAAUAUUUCUCUUAAAAAGAAAGUUCAACAACUUGACAAAGAACUUAGAGAAGUAAAAGAAAAAUUUUCAAAUGUUAAAGUUUCUAAAACUCAUCUUGAAAAAGAAAAUGAGAUUCUAAGAAAGAAAAAUGAAUAGUUGAACUCCUCUCUUUCAAUCUUUUCUUCUAGACAAAAAUCUUUUGAAAUGAUUCUAACUAGCUAAAAAUGUGUUUUUGACAAACAAGGGUUAAGAUUUAAAUCUUCAAAAAAUCAAAAGUAUUUUAAAAACUAUUUUGUAAAGGAAUCCACAAGUGCAAGUCCUUCCACUACUUGCAACUUUUGUGGAAGAGAAUGGCACAUUAGUAGUACGCCCUUUAAGAAAUGGUUCUCAAAAGAAUUUAAAUGCAAAAACUAAAAAAGAUUUGGAUUGAGAAAUCCAAGGUCACUAACCCUCAAGGACCCAAAAAGAUAUAGGUACCUAAAUCAACUUGAGUUUUAUGUUGUAAGGUUCAAAGAAUGAUAAGUGGUUCUUAGAUAAUGGUUGCUCAAGACACAUGACCGGAGAUGAAUCCAAGUUUGCUUUUCUUAAAAAGAAAAAUGGAGGAUAUGUUACCUUUGGAGACAAUGCAAAAGAAAGGAUGAUUGGUCAAGGCAACAUUGGUAAUGGCACAUCCUCUCUCAUUGAAAGUGUUUUAUUAGUAGAUGGUUUCAAACAUAACCUUUUAAGCAUUAGUCAAUUUUGCGACAAAGGUUUUUAAGUGAUUUUUUAAGCAUCUCAUUGCAUCAUCAAGGAUAUUCAAAAUGAUAAAACCAUUUUCAUGGGCCAUAGAUGUGAUAAUGUUUAUGCUAUAAAUAUUUCAAAAUAUGAUGGCCAUGAUAGAUGUUUUUCAAGCAUGCAUGAUCAAAGUUGGUUGUGCCAUAGGAGAUUGAGACAUGCUAACAUAGACCUCAUUUCCCAACUCAACAAAGAUGAACUUGUUAGAGGCCUUCCCAAAAUAAUUUUUUAAAAAGAUAAAGUUUGUGAAGCUUGUCAAGUGGGAAAGUAAAUCAAAAACUCUUUUAAAAACAAAAACUUCAUUUCCACAUCUAGGCCACUUGAGUUGUUGCAUAUGGAUUUAUUUGGUCCCUCUAGGACACCAAGUCUUAGAGGAAAUUCUUAUGCAUAUGCUAUUGUGGACGACUUCUCUAGAUACACAUGAGUCUUGUUUUUUAGUCAAAAGAAUAAAGUUUUUUAUGAGUUUUCAAAGUUUUGCAAUAAGAUUCAAAAUGAAAAAGGUUUUUCAAUUACUUAUAUAAGAAGUGAUCAUGGGAGAGAAUUCGAAAAUAUUGAUUUUGAAGAGUAUUGCAAUGAGCAUGGAAUUGACCACAAUUUUUUGGCUCUUAGAACUCCUCAACAAAAUGGGGUAGUUGAAAGGAAAAAUAGAACUCUUCAAAAAAUGACAAGAACCAUACUAAAUGAAAACAACUUACCAAAAUAUUUUUAGGCCAAAACGGUUAACACUUCUUGUUAUGUUUUAAAUAGAGUAUUAUUGAGGCUCAUACUUAAGAAAACUCCCUAUGAGCUUUGGAAAAACAAAAAACCCAACAUUAGUUAUUCCAAAGUCUUUGGAUGCAAUAUUUUAUAAUAAACACCAAAGACAAUCUUGGAAAAUUUGAUGCAAAAUUGGAUGUUGGAAUUUUCCUUGGUUACUCAACUUCAAGUAAAGCUUUUCGAGUUUUAACAAAAGAACCAUGGUUGUAGAGGAGUCCAUCCAUGUUAUUUUUUAUGAAUCUCCAAGAAAGAGAGAGGAUUGAUGAUGAUUUAGGUUUGAAGACCUCUAUAGGAAGAUUGCAAAUCGAAGAUAGAAGACAACAAGAAGAAAAUGGAGAGAAUCCAAAGAAAGAAGGAUCACCAUUGGCACUACCCCCUCAUCAACAAGCGCAAGGUGAAUCAAGUCAAGAGCUUCCUAAAGAAUGGAAGUUUGUCAUCAAUCACCCACAAGAUCAAAUUAUAGGCAAUCCAUCUAGUGGGGUAAGAACUAGAUCCUCUCUUAGAAAUAUUUGCAAUAAUCUAGCUUUUAUCUCUCAAAUUGAGCCUAAAAAUAUAAAUGAUGUUUUAGAUGAUGAAAAUUGGAUAAUUGCAAUGCAAGAAGAGUUAAAUCCAUUUGAAAGAAGUGGAGUAUGGGAAUUAGUACCAAGACCUUCAAAUCAAAGUGUUAUUGGAACUAGAUGGAUCUUUAGAAAUAAAAUGGAUGAAAAUAGCAUAAUUGUUAGAAAUAAAGCAAGAUUGGUAGCCCAAGGUUUUAAUCAAGAAGAAAUGAUAGAUUAUGAAGAAACCUUUGCCCCCGUAGCUAGGUUGGAAGCCAUUAGGAUGCUACUUGCCUUUGCAUGUUUUAAAGACUUUGUUUUAUAUCAAAUGGAUGUGAAAAGUGCUUUUUUAAAUGGUUUUAUAAAUGAAGAAGUAUAUGUUGAACAACCACCCGGUUUUCAAAGUUUCAACUUUCCUAACCAUGUUUUUAAACUUAAAAAGACACUUUAUGGUUUGAAACAAGCACCUAGAUCAUGGUAUGAAAAAUUGAGUAAAUUUCUUUUGAAAAAAAUGUUUUAAAAUGGGAAAAAUUGACACAACUCUUUUUAUAAAAACCAAAGAAAAUGAUAUGCUCUUAGUUCAAAUAUAUAUUGAUGAUAUCAUUUUUGGUGCUACUAAUGUCUCUCUUUAUGAAGAAUUUUCUAAGUGCAUGCAUAGUGAGUUUGAAAUGAGCAUGAUAGGAGAACUCAACUUCUUCCUUGGACUUCAAAUCAAGCAACUAAAGGAAUGAACCUUCAUCAAUCAAGCAAAGUAUAUAAGAGAUCUUCUCAAAAGGUUCAACAUGGAAGAAGCCAAAACAAUGAAGACUCUAAUGAGCUCAUCCAUUAAGCUUGAUAAGGAUGAGAAAGGUAAAUCCAUUGACUCUAUUAUGUAUAGAGGCAUGAUAGGUUCUUUGCUCUAUUUGACCACUAGUAGACCUUACAUUAUGUAUAGUGUGUGUUUGUGUACUAGAUUUCAAUCUUGUCUUAAAAAAUCUCACUUAAGUGUCGUGAAAAGAAUCCUCAAAUAUUUGAAAGGGACAAUGGACAUAGGCUUAUGGUAUCCUAAGAGUGAUAACUUUGAAUUAAUUGGUUUUUUGGAUGCUGAUUUUGUCAGUUGUAGGGUUGAAAAAUAAAACACUAGUGGCACUUUUCAUUUCUUAAGACACUUACUUGUCUCAUGGCAUAAUAAGAAGCAAAAUUUGGUAGCUUUGUCAACAGCAGAAGCUAAAUACAUAGCAACUGGUUUAUGUUGUGCACAAAUCCUUUGGAUGAAAUAAACACUUAGUGAUUUUGAUUUAUCUUUUGAGCAUAUUCCUAUUAAAUGUGAUAAUAGUAGUGCCAUAAGUAUAUCAAAAAAUCUCGUGCAACACUCUAGGACUAAGCAUAUAGAGAUUAGACAUAAUUUUCUUAGAUAUCAUACACAAAAGGAUGAUAUAACACUUGAAUUUGUAAGCAUAAAAGACCAACUUGCCGAUAUCUUUACAAAACCUCUAAGAACAUUUUGUUGAUAUUAGAGGACAAUUAGGAGUGAUUUCUUUAUGAUCUAAUGUGAUGAAUUCUUGAUGAAUAUACUUUUUGAUUGCAUGAAUUUCAUGUCAUAUAUGCAUCAUAUAGAAAUAUACUUAGAUAAUGGUCAAAUUUCGACCAAAAAUCAAAAUUCCCAUGGCAUUAGGCAUAAAAAUUUUGGAAUUUCAACUGAAAAUGGUAGGAGGAGGAUCACAAAAUGAGAAAGUAUGCAAAAAUUGAAAAAUCAAAACGUUGACCAAGCGGUCAAUCGGACUAGACCGAUCGACUAGUUUGUCGAGAUUUAGGAUUUUUAAGAGACUCCAACGCUUCAAUUUUUGCACCGUUCUCCUCUAUUUCUUCACGGUUUCUCUGAUUUUGUCUUUUAGAGACUAAUUUGAGUGCGUUUUGGAUCAAUUGAAGCAUUUUGGAUUGGAUUUUAGGAAGAUUGAAAGUUAAGGUUUCGGAUUUGGGUCGCCUUCUCUUCCUCUCGCGUGUCACAAUCAGCUUUAGCAUUGUUCUCUUUCCAUUUUCACACACCUAGGGUUUCAGUUGUGAGCAUCUCUCUCUCUUUACCAACCACUACUCCCUUGCUUCUUCCAUAUGGCUCCUAGGCGAGAGUCCGCUACUUCUAGGGCACAAGGCAAGCACCCAACUGAGUCGUCUCAGUCAAAGGCACGUCGAAAAGUGAGAUUUGACAUUGCCUUGUUCAGUUCCAUGGAGGACUACCAACUAUACAAGCAACACUUUGCUUAGAGACGAGUAGUUCCCAAGAGAAAUAUUAAUUUUCCUCAACUUCAGCAUUUCGAAUUUAAGGGUCUAUUUACUAGGAUGGUUGGUUGUCUAUUGUCACAAUUUCGGAGCCGGUUUUCCUGACCUUAGUGCGAGUUUUUUACUCGAGGGCGACUUAUGGCAUGGGUGGCAUGAUCAUUUCUACUGUUGGAGGAGUUGAGAUCUGUCUGGACCCAGAGAGCAUCUGCCAUAUUUUCGAUAUUGCUCUGGUUGGACUCAAAGUAUACAAGUCCAAAAUGUGGCCCAUUGUGCCAGGAUUUGAGCUUAGAGAGGUCAUUCAGAGGAUUUGUGAACUUCCAGACGCCCAGGAGAUGGGCAAACCAUUGCCACACAGUUUGACGGUCAUCAACAGGGUGCUACACCAUAUAUUGUGCUCUAUCUUUCUACCACGAAGUGGACAUUGAGAUGAGGUCUCUUAUUAUGAGGCAUUCCUUAUUGACUCCAUUCUAACGGAGAGACGAAUUCAUCUACUAUGUCAUCAUUCACUAAGCCUCCUCACAGUGACAUACCACCUCAUCAGGCACCUCUUGCUCCUGACCAUGCUCCAUUGAUGGAUUUAUUUACUCAUAUUAGCUCUCUAGGCACUCGCAUGAAGGAGUUUGUUGUAGUUAGUGAUACAUGGUUCUACUCCAUAGAGGAUCGCAUGGAUCAGUAUCAGACUGGCUUCACGUCACAGUUUGAGUAUCUCCAAUAGAGGAUUGAGCAUAUUGAGGAUCACUUGAGCAUGAGAAGAUGAUGGCUUUUCUAUGCUCUGUGUUUCCACCUCCACCUCGUCAACCUUGAUUUCUUAGAGACCCAUUGUUUUCAUUUUGUAAUGUUGCCAAAAGGGGGAGAUAUUUAGGAUCUAGGACUCUAUAGGAGACUUACAUGCAUAUCAUUUUCAUAUCAUUGUUUGGAUCGUACAUAUUGGAUAGUGAUACUUUUUACUUAUAUAUGAUAUGCCUAUAUGUUUCAUGUCUUACAUUGUUUCUUAUUGCAAAUUAUCUCUAACAUGUCUUGAUUAUCUUUUUUUUAACUUCAUAAAUUUUGAUUGUUAACCCAUGAUUGGUUUGAGGGGAAGAUUCUUCUUCUCCUAGAUAACCAAGGUUUGUCAUCAUAAAAAAAUUGGAGAUUGUUAGCCCAAGGGUUCUCCUAAUCAUGUUUUGAUGAUAACAAACCAUGCUUAAGUUACUAAUUGGUUUGAAUUAUAAAGAAUUUCAAGUGUUAAUUUGAAAAUUCAUCAAAGAACCUAAUGGAUGCAAGAUCAAGAUUUUUGGAAGACCUUUAAUCAUAAGAAACAUAUGUAAGAUGAAUGCAUGGGUGCACUUAAGAUUUGCAUAUCAUUUCAUGCAUAUUUGGAAAACACGGUUUAUGCUUUAAAGUUACAUUUCCAUCAAAAUUUGAGAUCCAUCAAAUGAACCUUAGGAAAAAUGUUUUAAAAUUGGCAUAUAAUUUUACCUAAAGACCUUGCCUAAGUGUUAGAAGCAAAAGGACAAAAAAAAUAUAGGUUUUCUGGUCAAAAAUGGUGAACCAGUCAAGGCAUUGUCUAAAUCAGCUCAAUCGGCCAAGGUACCGGUCGAUCGGUUUCCCUUUCCCUGUCGAGAUCUAGUCAAGAGGUACAAAAAUCACAAUCUCUGUCUCUUUCUCUCUUUGUCUAUCUUCCAGUAGUCUUUCCUUCCCGGUCGAGGGAUUUGCCUUCCCGAUUGAGGUCCGAUUGAGAGUAAUAGUCACUUGCCAAAUAUUAAAUGCUCCAACAGUUAGUGAACUGGUCGACCCCCACCUUGCCCAGUUGAGGUUACUUUUUGGUUUUCUUGGCUCCCGAUGUUAGAAACCUAUAAAUAGAGAGUUCCACUUCAUUUAUGAGCAAGAGAACACUUGCAUUUAUUUGUUUACCUACUUGUUCUUGCCUUAAAAGCUCUCAUUUCUUUUCUUGGUGCAUUAAAUCUCCAUUUUGAUAUCCUUUAGUGCACCUUUGUGAUUCAUCUUAGCCUUGAGUUGUAUUUGAGCCCUUUUUUUAGCUAGGUUGAGAGUUUCAUACUUGUUAAUUGAGUGUUAAAGCCUUCAAGUGAGUUGAAACUUGUAGAGAUUAUGUGAGAGUCGAUUGGAGCCGAAAUCCAAGUGUAAAGGUGAUUAGAAGCUUGGUUGAAGCUUCAAGUUAGUGGAAUCCUCACUCAAUUAGGAGCUUGAGGAGAGUGGACGUAGCCAAGGAAGUGUCGAACCACUAUAAAAUUUGAGUUUGAUUUCUCUAACAUUGUCUCUUUAUAUUUGUUUAUCUUGUGCUUAAAUUUAUUGUGUUUAAAAAGAAUUUUUAAAUACCCAAUUCACCCCCCUCUUGGGUGUUUUUCUCUUUUAAAAUUAGCCUUUAUUUUCUCACAAACUAUUGUAGUAUAGUGGUUUUUAGGUGUCAUCCAUUAGGAUGAAUUGUUCUCGGUAAUUAAGGCGUGAAUGAGAGGAGAAUUAAUGAUUGUGAUUAAGUAAAAUUGAUUUGAAAAUUCAUGGUGAAAAAUCAAUUUAACAAUGGUUUCUAAUUGAGAAAAACAAUGAAAUGUGAAAUAAAAUAAAAUUAAUAGGAAAUGAAAUUCUCGAAGUUAGAAUUUUCUAAAAAACAAAUUCCAUGGUGAAUGGAUGUUGAGAUCUAAUUUUCAUCAAGUUAGAUUGAAAACCGAAAUUUUCAUAUAAACUGAUUUUUUAUUUAGUUUUAGGUCUAGAUUUAAUUUCCCUUAAAAUUAGGUUAUUUAAUCCAAGAAAUCAAUUCAAAUCAUAUAUUCAAUUCAUCUUAAAUUAUCUUCCAAUUAUUCACACAAUGCAACUAUUCAAUCUCAUCAAAUCUAGCUUUUAAGAAUUUAAUGAAUCUACCUAGUUUGCAUUGUAAUAGUCAUCCAUGACAAUUUGAAGAGAAAAAUAAUUCAAUUAAUCAAUCACUUGGAUCAAAUUACCUUUGCAAUUAAAGUUCAUUUCUCUAAUUCACCACAGAUUUUGUCUCUAGAUCCUCCUUUCUCAAAGAAAAAUGAGAUUUAGCCACACAUGAUUGGAGAUUUGGUCUCAUAAGGCAUGUUUAGCUAGUGAUAAAAUGAGAGAAAAUAAAGAAAAAUAGAGAAUUCGAUUAAGAAAGAAAAUCUAAAAAAUUCUACAAUUAGAAAUGUCCAAAAAGCUUUUUCAUGAGAAAAUCAAGUUUCUAUUUAUAGGCCAAGGUCAAGUGGACACUUGACAUCAUCUAAGAGGUCUUCCGGAAGCUUCUUCAUCAAGAAAUCUGGAGUUUAAUAAUAAAAUGGUCAUUUCACAAGAGCUCAAACAAUUUCGCAUGAUUAUGUGAAAUAAAAAAUGCAACAACAGCAAUUUACAUCUUCUUGGAGCAUUUCGCAUGACUGUGUGAAAUUUUCACAUGAUCAUGUGGAAUCGACUUGACAACUCUCAUUUAGCCUACAACAUAAUUCCACCUUUUGGUCCAUUUUUCAUAGUCAUGCGAAAUGGAAAUAUUUGAUUUUUAAGUUUUCUUUUGUCAUUUCUUUCAUUUCCUUCUCUUGAUUCCACUUCAACUACCUCCGAAUCCUGGUCCAAACCAAUUGCAUUACUUCUUUCAUUAUGCAUUUGGAUCAUCAUCAACAUUAUUUGUUCUCUUCAAUUUGAUUCAUCUCUUUUGUCACCAAUUUAUCAAAAUCAUACCUUGAAAUGACUCCAAAACUUCAUAAAACUUGUUAGUAACUCUUGCAAGGGCAACAACAUAUUAAUUAAGUGUUUUAGGCAUAGUUACUACUCAAAAGAUGCGAAACUCAUGAUAAUUAUUAUAUAAAAUAUGCUCUUUUUGAGUAGUAAUCAACUUUCUUGCAUAAGCAGACCUUUUAGGGUGGAGUACUAAAGACCAAUAUGCUUGUCCUUGUUGUAAUAAAGAAACUUGCUCUUAUUGAUUGCACCAUGGGAGAAAAUUUUGCUACAUGAGUUAUCAUCAAUUUCUUCCCACCAAUCAUAGAUUUAGACGUGACAAGAGGCCUCUUAAUGGCAAGGAGGAACUGACACUCACACUUAUACAAUUAUCGGGCAUUGAUGUGUUGCAACAAUUAGAAUAACUUACACCAAUUAUGUUGGGGAAGUCACAAAAGGCAAACAUGAAAACUAAAAGGAAAAAAGAAAAAUGUUACAUAUCACCACAACUGGAAAGAAAAAAGUAUUUACUUUCAUUUGCCAUAUUGGAAAGCACUUAUUUUACAUCAUAAUAAUUUAGACAUAAUGCAUAUUGAGAAAAAUGUGUGACAAUAUAAUUGAGACAUUGUUCAGUAUUGACGAAGAAACAAGGACAACCUAAAUAGUCAUCUCGAUUUACAAGCUCUAACUAUUAGAAAUGAGAUUCACCCAAUAGAAAGCAGGACCAAAUUUAUUUUGCUUGCAACAUGCUACUCACUCACCCCAAAUGAGAUUAAGGAAUUUUGCAAGUUUUUGAAAUCAAUAAAGGUCCCCAAUGGCUAUUCUUUCAAUAUCUCUCGUUAUGUGCAACUCAAUGAAAGGAAGAUAUAUGAGCUCAAAUUGUAUGAUUGUCAUGUCCUAAUGCAACAACUUCUCUCACUUGUAGUUCGUGGAGUUCUACAUAAGAAUGUUUGUGGAGUUAUCAUAGAAUUGCGUAAUUUUUUCAAGCAAUUGUGCUCAAAGGUGUUAGAAACAAAUCACUUACACCAACUUGAGAACAAUAUUAUUGUCAUACUAUGUAAAAUGGAGCAAAUAUUUCUUCCAUCAUUCUUUGAUAUUAUGGUGCAUUUACUUGUGCAUCUAGUAAGGCAAAGGUUGCAAGACUUGUGCAAUAUUGUUGGAUGUACCUAAUUGAACGAUAUUGUUAUAAUUUCAUAUGAAUCAUUUAAUUUUAUUUUAUAUUAUGUUCAGUUCAUUAACAUGUACAUUGGUCUACAUAUGGAUGAUGAUAGGUACCUAAGCACUUUAAAGUCAUAUGUGCGUAAUAGAACUUUUCUAGAAGGUUCUAUUGUAGAAAGGUACCUUGCAAAAGAAUGUACAACAUUUUAUUCUAGGUACUUGAAUGAUGUGGAAAUAAAGUAUAAUCACAAUGAUAGAAACUUUGUUGGUUUCAACACUAGAGGAGAUGAAAGGGGUUAUCUUUAAACAUAUUGGACAUGCAUUGGGAAAGCCCAUAUUUCAUUAACUUAGUUCAAAAGAGUGGUCACAAGCACAUUUAUAUGUGUUGACAAAUUGCGAAGAUGUCAUACCAUUCAUUGAGUAAAAAAUUUAUUUGAAUUUUAAUUAAAGCUCUAGUUUAUAUCCUUAAUCAAUGUUUUUUAAAUUCACAAGGAGCACAAGCAAACCAUCAAGGCUAGACCACAUAUACGUGUUUGAGACGUAGAUUUAAUUCAUAACAAGGAAUUUAUCAAGUGGUUUGAAAGACAUGUAAGUAUAUUCCUUAUUAUAAGGGAUUUAUUUCACAUUAUGUUUAUAUUGAAUCCAAACCUAUUAUUGAAUUGUAGGUUGAACAAUUACAUAAUGAAGGUCAUAUAUCUGAACACCUUCUCACAUUAUCAUGUGUUCCAAAUUCAUUAGUUACAUGCUUCAAAUGAUAUAUUGUCAAUGGAUUUAGAUCCCACAUUAAAGAACGUGAUAAAAAAGUUUUUAAAAAAAGACUCAGAAUAAUGGAAUUGUUGUAGUUGCAAAAACGUCAAGCUUUACAAGUGCAUGUGAUAUGAGUCCAAUUAUUAGUGAUGCUCUCUACUAUGGUGUUCUAACUAAAGUUGUUGAGUUACAUUAUCUUGGUGAAAAUAAGGUUGUUUUAUUCGAGUUUGAUUGGUGGGAUGUUACAAAUAUUGGAAAAUUGAUAAAAGAUGAUGAGUACAAUUACACAUUUGUUAACUUUGCAUGAAUUCUAACCACGAACGAACGAUUUGUACUUGCAUCUCCAGCAAAGUAAGUGUUCUAUGUGAAGAAUGCGAAUGAAUCAGAUUGGCAUACUAUCAUGGAGAUGCAACCUCAAGACCUCUAUAAGAUGAACGGGAUAGGAUCCAAUGGUGAUUUUGAACCAUUUCAACAAAGUGAACUACAUGAUCACUAAUAUAUCUCAGAUUUAGUUGAUGAAGAUAUAAUCAAGUGGAACAAAAGUGAUGUUUUAGGACUAAUCAUCCUAAAAAAUAUUGUAGUUUCUUAAAAAAAAAAUGAAAAUGAAGAAGAUAAUUGAACCUUUGUCAUACUUUAAAAAGCAACUAUGCAUUGUUCAUUUUGUAUGUUUUGGUUUUCUUCAUUUAAUUUCCUGAUUUUUGUGAUUCAAUGUCAUAUUAUUGAUCUUGAAAUAUUUUUCUAAUUUUUCAUUCUACGAUGGUUUCAACAAGGAUGACAUCAAGUCAAAAAAGGAAAUGUGGUCCCACACACAAUAUUGCAUUACAGGGAUUAAGGUCAGGGAAGAAGGUAAAAGUUGCAUUUAAUGAGUACAAUCAAUUGGUUAAACAGAAAAAUGGAAAACACUUAUCGAGCUACAUAGGGACACUUGUAUCUAACCAACACAAUGUACCUCUCCAAGCUAGUGAUUGGAAAAAUGUUCCAAAUGAUGCAAAAGAGAAAGUAUGGCCUUUGUUUUGGUAUGUUGUAUUUCUCACUAUAUGAUGUCAUUUCACUGUUAUUCUAUUUUGUGACUAACGUUUGAAUCAUAUGUAAGAAAAAUUUGAAGUAGAUAAAGACUGAAAAGAUUACAUGUUGGGUAUAGCCUCAAAUAAAUAUAGAAGCUAUAAAAAUAUGAUGAAUGCAAAAUACUAUGACCCUUGGCAUAAGGAUGCAUGAGGAGAGGUUAAUACAUAAAUCACCAUUUGUCUCUGAUGUUGAUUGGAAGUGGCUUGUCUCUGAUGCAUAAACCAAAUCCCCCACUGAAUGUUUGAUAUUUGAUAGCAGGAAAAACACACCCGCAGCUAUACACCUCCAUCAUUCAGAUAAUUAUAGUGGGGGAGAUGAUUCAUGGUUGCCCUUAUACCCUUUAUUUGCACCAUCUAUUGAGAUUCUUUAUCAUGGCCAGGUUUUACUGCAGCAAUAAGAUAUGGUGGCAACAAUUUUAUCUAUAGGUGCGGUUCCAGACCGCCUCCAUAGGUGCGGUUCCUGACUGCCUCCAUAGGUGCCUCUUCUUGUAAUGUUUGUUCUGGGAAUUACACUUGAAAGCCUUAUCGUGAUAAGGGAUUACAAACACUAGUUCAGAGGACAGCCAUGUUAAACUUCCACUAUGUUUGUGUCACAUUAUCAGCAGCCUAGUGUUUAUUGGUCAUGCUAUCUGCAACUAAUAUAACCCGGUGAACUUCAAUCUAAAUUCUGAAAGUACUCAUGUGACAGAUGGUGCCUUUCAGCAGAUAUCAUCAAUUUAAAAGUAGUGUGUGUGCCUAUAGGUGGGAAGGCCUUGGCAAAUGUUCAGUAUUCCGGUAAUUCAAGAAGGAUAUAUCUAAAAUAGAUUUUCUUCUUGCCCAUUUCAAUAGUUAAAAUUUGAGAAGAUUGUGUCCACAUCACACAAAUAUUAUUGGUCCUUCUGUUGCAAUUUACCUCUGAACAUGUCUUCCAAUUCCCACGGUCCUGUUACUCCAGGAAAACUAUUUCGGUCAUAUUGAAAAAAAAAAUAUUAAAGAAGGUACACAUGCUUUUAAGUGGACUGGGGCAUUCAUAUCAGGUGGUCUGUAUCCACAUAUGCCACUUCGUGAAAGGUGGAACAGCCUAAUCACUAGGCUAUUUAGUGUGGCCCAGCCACGUUAAUCAAGCACAAGUCUUCAUACUUAAAGUCAAAUGGUGUCUUUAGUCUCAUUACACAUCGCUAUUUGAAGAUUAACUCAUCACUAGUGUAAUGCGAUUAAGACAGUCCUAACUCAAUAUUUGUUCUAGUUUUGGAUGCAAAUGCUUGCUGGUUUCAUCAUUGGAUGGGAUAAAGGUGCAAUCAGGACUAUGAAUACGUGCAGUAAUACUUCAUUCUCUUUUUUCUCAAUGAGACUUCUUGGCACAAUUUUGCUGCUCAGCAACCUACCUUUCCAUGGAAAAUCAGUUGUGACUGAUAGUAAUGGAUAUAUUCUAGAAAGCUAAACAUAGAUAGCAUUCAAUAUUAUCGAUAUAACAUUAACAGCGUAUGUCUCAAUGCUCAUCAGCUACAAGCAAUGGACAAACACUUUGAGUAACUCACAGCAGUCAAAAUUCCUAAACAGGACAGACGUGACAGAUCUAUAUAUAGAACACUGCAUAUGAGUCACAGGAAAAGAUAAUACGGGUACAUAGAAGCUCUUAUUUUACAUAUUACUCAUACUGAUCAAAGUCGCUCAGUUGGGAUGGAUGGGAGAAGGAGGUUUGAGGGGUGGCUUGUGCGGGGAAGUUGGCAGCUUCUUUCCGGGAGCUGGUUGCUUCUUUGCUGGAGUUGAAGGAGGCUUAAUCUUCCGAGGUGGCUUGUAUGAGUCUUCAGCAUUCUCAGCAGGAGGGUGACCAGGGUUGUGACCAUAAUGUGGUGGCUUCUCUCCCUUAGGUGGUUUGCCAACUGGGGUUGGUGGCUUGUUUUCUGGGAGUGGCUUCUCUCCCUUGGGUGGUUUGCCAACUGGGGUUGGUGGCUUGUGUUCUGGGAGUGGCUUCUCCCCCUUGGGAGGUUUUUCGAAUGGGGUGGGUUUGUGUCCUGGUGGUGGCUUCUCUCCCUUGGGAGGUUUACCAAUUGGGGUCGGUGGCUUGUGUUCUGGGAGGGGCUUCUCUCCCUGGGGAGGUUUAGUGGGUGGCUUGUGUUCUGGAGGUGGCUUCUCCACCGGAGGCUUAUGCUCUGGUGGUGGCUUCUCGAAGGGGGGAUGCUCAGGGUAAUCACCAAGUGAGGGGGUGGUGAGAACCACCAUGCCAAGCAACAACACUAGCAAGUAUGUAGUAGACAUCUUUGGGUUUGGACUCAGACAGUGCAAAACUACGAGAAAUCGCUAGCCCUUUAUAGCGGCUCGGACCUAAUACUGACAUAAUAUAAAAUAAAUAUUAUAUUUUAUCAAGAGAGAACAGAGUGUAAUUUUAUCAUUAAUACCGAUCGAGGCCAAAGAAAGAAGACCCAUAAUCCAUUUCCCACAAGCAUACACAAUGCAGCUGUAAUUUUAUCAUUUACUUUUAUCCCUUGGACCACUGCAUUUUUGUUGAGAGACACAAUAACACAUUUUUAUCUGUCAUUCAACAUUUACAGUAAAGAGAGGGCACAAAACGCAAUUAGAUAAAUUAUGUUUUGCCUGCUAAAAAGAGGCAAAUAACUUUAUUUGCAACAUAAUUAUUUUGGUUUCUAGUGACCCCGGGGCCUUUCGGUUGGUUUGGGAUCGGAAAAUGAACAUCAUAGGGGGGGUUGUGCCCUUAUGGGCAUAUAUAUCUGAUAGCUUCAACUGGCCUUGUUCCUAGAAAGAAAUUGCCAAAGAUAUAAACUUAUUCCAGGCUGAAAGUAGAUGAGAGUCAUAAUGAACAUCAACCUUUGUUCAGUUUGAUUCAAUGCCCCCAUAGUGUUCAUUUCACAGAUCUGAAUGAUUAUAUCCGUUGAAUACAUAAAUUAAUGAAGACAAAUAUGAAACCCAAGAUACAUCUCUGCAUAACAACCCCAACCCUGGUUGCUAUGUUUCCCUUCUUCUAUUCACAUGAGGAUACUGGUUAUAAUUGUCAAACUUGCAACAAGCCCUUUGACACCUAACGUCAAUGGACGAAUUAAAAGUCUCCUUCAAACGUCUAUUUCACAGCAUGAAGCUUAUAAAGGAUGCUGACAACCUUCAGAGUUAGCGACAAAAGAUAAUUAUCAAGGAGAGAUAGUUCCAUGAGAAUUCCAAGGAGUCUGAAUCAAAGACAAAUUGCUCACUCAAGGGUUCUUAUUUUCUUUUAGGUACAAAUCUCUUGAGUGUUGUUAAAGAAACACGUCACUGUCAUUUUGAUUUGCAUUUAACAUUUCACUUUUGUUCUGGAAGGUUUGUUCCGGAAACAUAUCAAAUGAGCAUCAUUUUCUUCUUCGGUGACACAUGGUCGCGAGUACGUGGGUCCAUUUUCAUGCCACUUAGUUGAAAAGUUGGAAAGAAAAAACAUGCCAACAAGAAGAUAGUGAGAGAAGGGGCACUUCAAGCCUUUAACAUGAACAAACAGUAAAUAAAAGAUGUUUCUCCACUCAUAAAAGUGUGUUAGAUAGCAAUAUAACGAAUCACAUCCAAAAUCUUUACUAGGCUCAAACAUAAAGAAGACUCAUUUUUAAGAAAAGAUAAAAAUGGCAUUGUCUGAUAGUAUCCAAUACACGAGAUGGCACUUAAUUUGUACAAGAUCUGUCAAUGCUGACGCACAUUUUCUGAUUAAAAAAAAACUGAUCAGUCAAAAGCAAUGAAGAGAAGUGAUGACAAUGAAUGAUGCUUCCAAUAUUUUCACCCCUUAUAGUGUUCUUCAUGAUUCAGAUAUAUAAUUGGAAAUAGAACAACCCUAUGCCAUACAUUCGUCUAAGUAUGGUGUCUAAUUUUUUGUGUCAGCGGUUGCGAAUGGAGCGUGCAAAAGUCCAAAUUGGCGUCUCUCCAUUUCCACAUAGGAAGGUGACCUUUAUUGACAAAUACCCAAUAUUUGUAGACAUUCCUUAAAUAUCAUAACUUCUUGUUGAUUUGAAAAUCAUUUUUCAACUACCAUGUUUUAAUAAAUAUUUUUUAAAAUGUAUUUUUAUCAAAGUCCACCAUGAUGGAUAAUAUUCACCAUGCAAUAAUUAAUAAAGUACAAACUAAGCGAAAUGAAAAGCAUUUUCUUUGCUUUGAGUUGAUUUUGGUUGCAUUGAGUUGAUUUUGGUUUCAUGGUUUUUUCAACUCUUAUUUUGAUUGGAAGAUGUCAAGAAAAGAAAACAUAAAGAAAAAUUAAAAGGGAAAAAAGAAGAAAAAUAAAAAAAAAUAGAUUUAAAAGUUAAUAAAUUAUUUUUUAUAUUUAUUUUAAUUCAUUUCACUUAUUUUUCUUUUACUAUAUAAAAUUUAAAUAAUUUAAAUUUUAUAAUUAAUUUAAUUACAUUUCAUUUUCUUCUAUAUUUAAAUAUUGGAAAAAUAUUUUACUUAAUAUUUUUUUCUUUAAUUUCUUUGGCAUUUUGGGAACCAAACUUAGCCUUUAAAAUAAAAAACAAAAAAAAAAUGAAAAUAAGGAGGGAAAAGUGAGAAAAGAUAAAAACAAUAUGUAAAGGAUUUGAAAAGUAUUAGUUUGUAAUUACUAUUUGGAUUUCAAUAGUAUUUUAUUUGUCUUUCUAUAUUUCAUGUAAGAGAGAAUUUAAGAUAUUCCCCAAGGCAAAGCAUUAGUUACCUGCAAUCAGUGGUGAUAAGGCUCCAAGCCAAUUUUGGGCCCCAUAUCUUAAGACAGUACAAUUUCCAUUUCAACAUUUCUGAUUUCUCAGAUGUUUCACAUACCACAGAAGAACAUUGUUUGUGAAAAUAUGCAUUUAUGUUGGAUUUUGUAUGCUGUGGGGACUGGGGCAAGGAUCAUAUGGAAGAGUGGUUGACUUUUUCUGUACUUUAACGGUUGAAAUAGGAUAAGCACGGGCAUUUGUGAGGCUUAAUUGAUUUUGAAGCCUGAAAUUGCGUUUCUGUCAUUUUGUCAAAAAAAUGGCAGAUUCCAUACUCAUAUGUUUGGCCUGUGGCCAUGUACAGAUGCCAUUUAGUGACCAGUUUGUAACUGUCAAUCGUUGCGUUUUGACUCUGCCUCAACAACAUCUGCCAUUGACGGGUUUUCAUACUUGCAAAUCAAAUAGUCUUUCGUCCCAUCAGGAAUUUCGGUUUAAAUAUUAUUAAGCAUACGUUUGGCUGACAAUCAUUAUCCAGUUCAUGAUUUGGUUUCUUACCCUUAAUCAAUGGUUUCUAAGUGAAUAUAUGUAGAAGGAAAUCCGAAGUGUAGACAGUAGUAUCGAUAACUCUCAAUAUUCUCUAUAUAAUAGAAUAAACAGCGUCAUAGUGAUCGUCGCCUACAAGCAAGGUACAAAUACCAAAACGAGUGACUCACAUAGACAUCUCCCAACAAGAUGUAGUAGUGACUGACACAUGGACACAAUUAACUCGUAGAAAAGGAUAAGACCAUUGCACAGCAGCUCUUAUUUUACAUACUACUUAUGCUAACCAAAGUCAAUUAGUUGGGAUGGGUGGGAGAUGGAGGUUUGUGCGGUGGCUUGUGGGGCGGAGUUGAUGGCUUCUUUCCAGGAGCUUCUGGCUUUUUCAUCGGAGCUGAAGGAGGCUCAAUCUUAUGAGGCGGCUUGUAUGAGUCUUCUUUACUCUCGACAGGAGGGUGGCCAGGGUUGUGAUCAUAAUGUGGUGGCUUCUCUCCCUUAGGUGGCUUGCCAACUGGGGUUGGUGGCUUGUGUUCAGGAAGUGGUUUCUCUCCCAUGGGAGGUUUAGCAAUUGGGGUUGGUGGCUUGUGUUCUGGGAGUGGCUUCUCUCCCUUGGGAGGUUUAGUAGGUGACUUGUGUUCUGGAGGUGGCUUCUCCACCGGAGGCUUGUGCUCCGGUGGUGGCUUCUUGGUUGGAGGGGGCUUGGGGUAAUCAGCAAGAGAUGGGGUGGUGAGAACCACCAGUCCAAGGAACAACACUAGCAAGUAUGUGGGAGACAUUUUUGAGUUUGGGCUGAUCAGAUGAUGCAAAACUAAAGCAUUACGUGACCUUUUAUAGCAUGUAGCUCCCAAUACCCACUAAGUAUUGUGGGGUCCAUUUGUGCCCUACGGGGUUGAAAACUUAGACAAUUGGGCAAGGACCCACCUGACUAUGGAGGACUAGUGAGGUGUGAUCAUAGCUUUAGGAUUUUUCUUCCUCUGCAGCCGUCGUGCCGUUGGCAUGAUUUUCUUAAUCUUAAAUAAAGGCAUAGUUAUAGAGUUGUUUAAUCUCUAAAUGGGAUUUUAUAUAUAUCUUCAGAUAGCCAUUAAUAUAUUUGAUGAAGAAAGAAAGACAAGUGCAUACAACAUGUAUACGACUAGCUUUCAUGGAGUUCAUUUAUGAUCAGUUUUCCUGUACAUGUAAACCAGGAUCAUAUAUAUGUUUCUGUUCCACAACUAUUUUGGAAUCUUGUUUAUCAGUUUUUAUCAUUAUAAUGUCACAUAGGCUGCCAACUUGGGCGCUAAAAGAACCAGUUGGGCUAGUUCGUUUCAGAAUUUCAAUGUGGAUUCAGGAAUUGUUUUGUAAGAUAUGCGAAAUAGUAGAGGGAUGAAUAGUGUUUCAUUAAUAAAAGUGUCCUGUAAAUUAGAAGGUGUCAUAGAAACUAUAAUCAAUAAAUAACUUUUUUUCCCCACGGGUGGUGUUUCUUGUGGGGAUCAGUGACUGGUUUAGGUUCACCCAAAAUGAGUUCAGACUAAAAUUGGUUUGAGUCAAUGCCGUGUCUCUUUUUUCCAGAAAUCAACUAUUUUAUGCAUUGAAUAAAUCAUACAAAGAAAAUAUGAACGCCCGCAAAACCUAAACCCUGGUUGCUAACUUUCUAUGUUUCAGUUCUAUUCACGCAAGAAUAUUAGUUUAAGUUUGGGAAAAAUGGCAACUUACCUAGUGAUUACUUGGUUUUGGUUUGCGACUAUUUACGCAACCAACCAUGAGUUUGACUUUAACGUCAUGGGUUGAAGCCUCCUACAGGAAGGGAGAAAGCUCCACAGCUAGCUCCAAAAGAGAAUUAUCACAUUGAUAGCUCCAGAGAUUCCCAAGGGGACUGAAUCAAAGACAAGUUCCUCACUUUUUCUUCUUUUGAGGCCAAAUAUGAACCAAGGAUCACACAACCUCAUUCAACUUCAUAAGUUUGAUUUCAUGCAGUUGAACACUGGGUGAAGGCCAUGACAAGAAUUGAUUCAAAAAUUCUAUCACUCUUUUAAGUAAUGGAAGAUUAUUAUCUCUGAUUGGCAUCACAACAGCACAUGCUCCUAGAUCUUUCUAGACACUCCAUGCAAUGAAAGCACAAUGGAUCUUGUAACGAUAGAAACUAAGCCAUGCUACAGUACUAGAUGAUGAGGUAAAACUAGUAGACACGGGUGGCAGCCUAUAUGGGAGGGACACAAGUCUAAUUGAUUUGCAUUUCAGCAUUAUAGAUAGGUAUGUUUUGGAAGAUUUGUUCUGGAAAUACCGCACCAAGUAGGAUUCUUUUUCUCUUUAGUGGGUCCACUUGCAUGCCAAUUAACGAGUUGAAAAGUAUGAGCACCUACCUCGUGCUCGUGGAACCGAAGGUCAGUGAAGUGGGGCUCCUUUUGGCCUCGUGUAAACUUGAUUCAGAAGUGAAGUUAAUAGUCUUCCAUUCAGAUGGAUACAUGGGAAUUUUUCUCUUUUAUUUAUUUAUUUAUUUUUUUUUUGUGUGUGUAUGUCAAAGGAUAAUGAAUGAAGCGCGUUAGCUUGUUUUCUGACUGGAACCGCAGAUGUCCAAAUUGGAGUUCCUUCAUUUCUUACUUAGGAUUGUUACAUGUAUAAACAAGGUAUAAGAAAUAUGCCAACGUGUCUUGAGGAGUUAUUGAUUAGAAAUAACAAGUCACCCGACUGUAGAGUUCCAAGAUUUGAAUCUUCAGACCCUAUAGCAGCCUCUGGGGUACGUGGCAUCCUAUAGCAUAUUAAUGAAGGCUUUUUCGAUUUAGACUUCACAAUACCAAUUAAUAUGUAUGCACAAAAUGGAGAUGACCCCAAAAAAAACAGAAUCGCCAUAGUUUAUGAGGUUAAGGUGAUUCUCCACUUAAUAUCUACAUUAGCUAAUUAUGUAAAUCAAAUGAACUUCUAUUUUUCCUUUUUUUUUUUGGUUUAUGUCAAAUAGUAGCCCAUAAUUAACCCAACCAUUAGCCUGUUUGAAUUGAUUUCACAUGCACAAUGUUGUAGUAGUUCAUAUUUUGAAUUUUAUUUUUACAAAGGUAGUUAAGGAAAAUGAAGUAUAAUAAUUAUAAAAGCAGACUAUAUACACUACAAUAAUUGUUAGAAUGGUAUCUCAAAUUCUAAUUUAAAAUAUUAUUUUUUGUAAAAGAAAUAUUAUAUAGAAUAUUUCCUAAUUUUAUAAAUGAUUAUAAUUAGAUCUUUAUAAAAUAAGGAAAGUUGGUAAGAAUAUCUUUAUAAAUAUUUUAGGUCAUGAGAGAAAGAAAUGGGAUAAAAAUGUGAUGAAGAGGUGAAAUAAGAGAGUUGAUUAGGAUAUAGAUGUGAAGAAGAAAGGGAUUCAAUAUAUAUAUAUCUUUCAAUUACCACAUUAAAACCCUGUGAACCUUUUAUAUGGUUUACUUUAUUUUUAUAUUCCUCCUUUAAUAUAUUUACAUUAAUGCUUCCAUUGGCACAACAAUAACGAAUUACAAAUACAAGCAACAAGUCCCAUGUUUUAUUACCAAAAGCAGGUAAAAUCCACCUAAUAUAUUACAAUAUAUUCAUCCAAUAUUUUAGACCAAUUCUUCACCAUAAAUAUCAUAAUGUGGCUUUUGUUCUUUCUUAAAUUUAAAUUGAAUUGUCUUAUAUCAAUUUGUUUGUGAUUUUUUCAUUAACUUCACUUUCAUUUGGUUAUCUUUGGUUUUUGAAAAGUAUUAAGGAAUUAAUUAACAAAAUAAUGUUAAGAAAAAUAAUUUUCUCUCUUUUGAUUUUGAUUUUGUAGUAGAAAAAUAUAAUUAAAAUUAUUUAAAAAGUAUGUAAUUUUAAAUUAUUUAAUAUUUAGAUAAAAAAAAUAAGUCUAAUGAGUUUAAAAUAACAUAUAAAAAUAAUUUAUUUAUUUUAAAUUUAUUUUUUAUUUUCCAUUAUGUUCUCUUUCUCUUUUACUUUUUCAUAUUUUUUCUUACGAAGAAUCAAACACAACCUCAUAUUAUAUGUCAAGUGUUUGUCUAUAUUUGAGCAAUGUUAGAUACGGCCAUGGAUUCAUCAAACUAAACUGAUUUUAAUAGAUACUUCACAAAUUGAUUUAUACACUAAAUCAUUGGAUAGCAAUGAUGCAUUGGAAUUAAACGUAGGAUGAAGCUCGAAGAACACUGUUUGUGUAACAACAUAUUUAUGAAAUUAUGCAAAGGAUGAGCUUCGGGGUAGUAGUACAAGGUCAUUAAUGGAGAGCCGUGUUAAACCUUGAUUGUGAUUGGAUUCCGUUAUCAGCAACAGCAACCUUGUUUGUAACCUUGAAAGUCAUUCUGUCCACAUCGAAACUCCAAUUUGACGUUUGUAAUUACCAUUCCUGGAGUGUUCCUUGAUUGAAAUUUAAAUAAUAAUUGCGGCCCACAAGGAAUAUUUUCGAUUCUGUGGGAAUUUGACAAGGUUUGUUAGAGAAGACUGGUGACAUGUUGACUUCAAUGGUUCAAAUAGGAGACGUAUGUGGAUUUGGGGGGUUUAAUUGAAACUGAGUCCCUAUGGCUUUUUAAUAUUUGCAUUGAGCAGUCUCCAUGUGACUUCCUAAUUCCCACCAACCCUCCUGUCCAUGCUGUGAAACUAAAUUGUAAUUUAUCAGCCUUUGUCAAUGGUUUCUAAAUUAAAGAUAUAGACCAUGCAUGUACUUUAAUAAAAGCAAAUCUAAAGUGUAGAUAGCAGCAAUGGUGACACCCAAUAUUCUCCAUAAAAUAGAAUUAGAAUAAGCAGUGUUACAUUGUUCAUGAUCACCUACAAGCAUACAAGAACUUCCAUGAAUAACUCAUAGCAAUUGCCAACAGGGCGUCGUAGAGACUCAUACAUAGAACACUAUCCACCCAGAGGAAAGGACAAGACCAGUGCGCUGCAGCUCUUAUUUUUCACAUGUAUACCACCACUCGUAAUAACCAAAUUCACUCAGUUGGGAUAGGUGGGAGAUGGUGGUUUGUGGGGUGGCUUGUGGGGAGGAGUUGGAGGAGGCUUUAUUUUCUGAGGCGGCUUGUAUGAGUGUGCAGGAGGAUGCCCGGGAGUGUGACCAUAAUGUGGUGGCUUCUCUCCCGUAGGUGGUUUGCCAAAUGGGCUUGGUGGCUUCUCUCCCUUAGGAGGUUUACCAAUUGGGGUUGGUGGCUUGUGUUCUGGGAGUGGUUUCUCUCCCUUGGUAGGUUUGCCAAUUGGGGUUGGCGGCUUAUGUUCUGGGAGUGGCUUCUCUCCCUUGGGAGGUUUGCUAAUUGGGGUUGGCGGCUUAUGUUCUGGGGGCGGCUUCUCUCCCUUGGGAGGUUUGCCAAUUGGAGUUGGCGGCUUAUGUUCUGGGAGUGGCUUUUCUCCCUUGGGAGGCUUGCCAAUUGGGGUUGGCGGCUUAUGUUCUGGGGGUGGCUUCUCUCCUUUAGGAGGUUUGCCAAUUGGAGUCGGCGGCUUAUGUUCUGGAAGUGGCUUUUUUCCCUUGGGAGGUUUGCCAAUUGGGGUUGGCGGCUUAUGUUCUGGGGGUGGCUUCUCUCCCUUGGGAGGUUUGCCAAUUGGAGUCGGCGGCUUAUGUUCUGGGAGUGGCUUCUCUCCCUUGGGAGGUUUUGUUGGUGGCUUGUGUUCUGGAGAUGGCUUCUCCCCUGGAGGCUUGUGCUCCGGAGGUGGCUUCUGAAAUGGCGGGGGCUUGGGGUAAUGAGCAAGAGAUGGAGUACUGGUGAGAACCACCAUUCCAAGCAACAAUACUAGCAAGCAUGUGGGAGACAUCUUUGAGUAGUUGUAGCUAAGAUGGCGCAACACUGUAGGCAUUGGGUGGCCUUUUAUAAAGGGCUGGACCCAACAGCCAUAUGACACGUGUCAUGAUGACAAAUGAAGUUGAGGGGAUCCAGAUGGGUCCUACUGAGUCGAAAACUUGCACUAAUUGAUCUGGUGAGAUGACUAUUUCUGUCCUUUUGCCCUUCUCGGCCACCCUGUGCUGUUUUCCUUUUGCACGAUUUUCGUUGCCAAACAAGCAAAUAAUAUUUCGCCAAGAAAGAGGAGAGUGAAUGUGGAAUGCAUCAAGUCCCAUCAAGGAUGGCAGAGAAGAAAUAGAAGAUUGCCCAACUGUGAUAAACAUAGCAUACACGUAGCACCAGGAACUUCAUUUACUUCCAUCUAAUGGAACAUAACAAUCUUCUAAAGUUUUUGCAUGAUUUUGUUAUAUGUCUCUUAGCCUAAAGUUGGAAAUGCGCAACAAAUUUUGUCACUUCUCUAUUUCCCACUGAUGAUGUUAAUUAGCCUUCAUAGAUAUCAUCCUUUCUACAAAGUGCUUCAUUUGUGUGUUAUUGUAAAGUGUAAGAAAAGUAAUUGAACAUGUUCUUUUUCCUUUCAUAGAUGACUUUUGAUGUGCAUUUUAAAAGCAGCGCUGUGAGUCGGUGACCUUGAUUCACACGGAAACUAAGGCUCCUAUAGGACCCACUUUUAGCUGGUUAGGGGUGAAGAAAAUAUCAACUUUUCAGAGUGAUUUAAGUCAAGGCCAAGCCUCACUGUGUCAUUACUCGUGUGAAUUUUAUAUGCACAUACAUACAUAAAUAAAGUAUGAGACCCAAAUAACACCUUCCCUUUACAAACUUAACCCCAGCCGCUCUCUUUCAAUUCUUUUCACACAAGGGUAUUGACUCUAUAAAGGUCAAGAAAAUCAUAAUUUCCUAGGGUUUACAAGGUAAUUGGCUUAAUGCUAAUGUGAAAACAUAAAAGAUAAUAGUAUAUUGUAAGCUAACGAAUAUUCUAUAGUUAUAAUUAUUUGUGAUGUGCAUAAAUAAAUCUUCAUAUAUAUAAUGGAACAAUGAAUAAAGAACCAAUGAAAAAAUACUAUAUAUCAUUGCUUGGCAUUUAAACCGUAUAUGCUGCUCUUUCUAGCUACUCCAUCCACUGAAAGACAACAAGGUAAUCCAUGUUAUAAUGAUAGAAGAUACUGUCUCUAGGCUUUUUGUGAUGAAAAAUAUAAGAUAUGGGUAGGGUUGACCCUUGUAUGUUUGUCCUAUAAACACUUCAAAGUAACAUAUUUUUCUUCUUUAGCAACUCAUAAUGAUGGGGUUCAUUUGCAUGUCACUGAGUUGAAAAGUUGGACAAUUGCCCAUGUCGCCUUCCUCCUAGAUUCCGUAGUUCACGGGAAGGUAACUCAAGUUUGACAUAUUUUGAAUUCUUUUCACUCGGACGUCUUCAUAACCUGACAAAACAAAAAUGAAAAACAGAGGAUUGGUAUAUUAUUCAUGGUAAGCCUCAAAUUAUAGUAGUAUGAGAAAGGAGAAAAAGAUUUUGGGAACUCCAAUCUGGAUAAUUCUCGUUUCUUCUCUUGAAUAAAAAUUUCACUUACCUAACUUCGUUUGGAGAAAUGGCAUAUUUUAAUUUUGUACGUCAUUGCUAAUAAAUGGAGCAAUUUAGCAUGUUUUGUGACUGAAACUGCAAAUGUCCAAUUGGCAUUUCUUCAUUUCCCACUUAGGAUCUGAUCUUGUAGACCAUAUAACGAUAUGUAUCUGUGCAAGCAUUGAAAACUAAUGUGAACUAUGAGGAGUUACAAGCCACUGGACUGUAGAGCGAGUGCCAAGAUUUAAAUCUUCAGGCUCUAUCUGGGUAAGGGGAGGAUAGCGACCUAACCUUUUACCAAAGGCUUAGAAUUUAGACUUUUGGAAAAAAAUUUCUCAUGUUUUGGCUGGAUUUCUUGUGCUUGGCGCAAAAAGGAGAUGGCCUCAAGAAAUAGCAGACUCACUUUUGUUUUCAGCCCUUAAUAAUUCUCCACUGCUUUCCAUAACUACAUGGGUUAUACAUGCAGUCUGCUGCAAUAUUCCAGUUAUAUUUAUUAUUUCAAAGAGGGUGAAUGACUUCACAUGCAAUAUGUUGCAGUAACAACCCAAAUUUUGGCACACCAUCUUAAGAAUAGAAAAGUAUAAUAAAAGAAAUCAAUCAGAGAAUCACUUUGCAUGCAGUUCAUAGAGUUCGCCCAAAAUGGAGCCACAUGUACGGACAACCCCACAAUAGACAAUCUUCUCUAUACAGUAAUAAAAUACAGAAAUGGUUAAUGAAGCUCUGUAUUUCCUUAUCAUAUAUGACCGGUUGAAAACUCAGCAAGUCUUCCUCAAUCACAGACAGUUGGAGUUGCUUCAUCAAAAUCAUGCCUUCAUUACUGGCUUCAUUUUGGUUUCAAUGUCUGUUCUACCCUUAAAUUGGGUCUCUGCUUACUACCGGGAUAUCCUUUAGCGUCCUGCAAUUCUACUAGAUUAAAGAGAAUGACUUAAUUCUGCAUUCUGCCGUCCCUAGUCCAAGUGGUACUAGAAUUGAUGUUUCCUUUAGUGUCCUUUCUUCAUACUUUCAGGUUCUUCCCUUGUUUCAAUAAUGCUGUUUUCCUUCAUGUUUAACCUCUGUUGAACCACUUAAAACAACACAAUUUGCACACCAAUGUUUCUUUACAGAAAAGACUGUUUGCAAAAAUGCACAUGUUAUAAGGUUAAUGGAAGAAUUAAUUUGGGGAUAAGGGACUAGGAUUGGGCCAAUGAAGUUUGGUGUUAAAUUUUGAUUAUGAUUGCUUUUCAUUAUCAGGUACCUUAUAUUUGCUGAUGCUAUCUGGAACUAAAUUCAAAUCAGACAUUAUCCGAUUACUAACAGGACAUAUCAUGUCCCUCUGCAGAGUUUCUAAACUAACAUGUAUCGAAAUGUGGCCCCAAAAGGAAGGCUAGGAAGAUGGAGGAUUUUGUAGGAAUCGACCAGAAUCAGAUGGAAGAGAGAUAGUCCUGUUGACUUUAAUGGUUGUGAUAGGAACAUGCAUCAUUAUAUGAGAAGUUGCAUGAAUUUAUGUAUCCUGUUAUCGUUCCUUGACGAUUUCCCAAUGCAAUUUCACUGUCCACAAGACUAACCUCUCCAUGCAGUCAAAUGAAUUGUAAUUUCUCUAUUGGUACCAGUAGUACAUUUCAUACCAAACAUAUAGUAAAUAUAAAAUAUAAAUAGAUCAAGGAAAUCUGAAUUGUAGAUAGCACUGCAAGUAACACUCAAUAUUCUCUAUAUAUAAUAAAAUAAACAGUGUCACAAUACUCAUCACCCAGUGGCAAGGGAGAAAAACCUACAAUGAGUACUCAAAUCACCAUUCUCAAACAGAAACAUAGCAGUGACUGAUACAUAGAACCUAUAUGCUCACAGGGAAAGAAUAAGAUGACCAGUGCACAGCGGGCAGCAGCUCUUAUUUUACGUACAACUCAAAUCCCAAACUAACCAAAGUCGCUCAGUUGGGAUGGGUGGGAGAUGGUGGUUUGUGGGAUGGCUUCUGGGUAGGAGCUGGUGGCUUCUGUCCCUUUGGUGGUUUGCCUAAUGAGCUUGGUGGCUUGUGCUCCGGGAGUUGUUUCUCUCCCUCGAGUAGGUUUCGAGUCUUGUCAGAUGGCUUGUGUUCUGGUGGUGGCUUCUCUCCCUGGGGUGGUUUGCCGAAUGGGCUUGGUGGCUUGUGUUCGGGGAGUGGCUUCUCUCCCUGGAGAAGGUUACGAGUUUUGUCAUAUGGCUUUUGUUCUGGUGGUGGCUUCUCUCCCUGGGGUGGUUUGCCGAAUGGGCUUGGUGGCUUGUGUUCGGGGAGUGGCUUCUCUCCCUGGAGAAGGUUACGAGUUUUGUCAGAUGGCUUGUGUUCUGGUGGUGGCUUCUCUCCCUGGGGUGGUUUGCCGAAUGGGCUUGGUGGCUUGUGUUCGGGGAGUGGCUUCUCUCCCUGGAGAAGGUUACGAGUUUUGUCAGAUGGCUUUUGUUCUGGUGGCGGCUUCUCUCCCUGGGGUGGUUUGCCAAAUGGGCUUGGUGGCUUGUGUUCGGGAACUGGCUUCUCUCCCUUGGGAGGUUCAGUUGGUGGCUGCUGUUCCGUAGGUGGUUUCUUCACCGGCGGCUUGUGCUCCGGAAGCGGCUUCUCUACCUGGAGAAGCUUACGAGUUUUGUCCGAUGGCUUGUGUUGUGGUGGUGGCUUCUCUCCCUGGGGUGGUUUGCCAAAUGGAGUUGGUGGCUUGUGUUCGGGGAGUGGCUUCUCUCCAUUGGGAGGUUUAGUUGGUGAUUGGUGUUCCGUAGGUGGUUUCUGAAGUGGGGGAUGCUUGGGGUAGUCAGCAAGAGACGAGGUAGUGAGAACCACCAGUCCCAGCAGCAACACUAGCAAGCAUGUGGAAGACAUCUUUGAGUUCAGGCUGAGAUCUGUGCAAGGAUAACAGAAUUAGGUGGCCUUUUAUAGAGGCCUGGACCCAACACCCAUAUGACACGUGUCAUGCACUCAUGGUGACACAUAAUUCUAUGGGACCAUUUGGGUCCUACAGAAGUUGCAAAGUUGGACUACUGAGGUGUGAUCACAACUUUUGUCCUUAUUGCUUUCUCUGCGGCCAUUGCACGAUUUCCUUUAGCAUCAUUUUCUUGGCUAAAUAAGCGUAUUAUAUUUGUGGCAGACCGUCCACGUGUCAUAAACAGAUAUAUUAUAAUAAUGUAGUAUGCUUUUCUCCAAUGGAACAUGACACUCUUCUAAGUCUUGUUUUAAAUAUUGUGCAGGAUUACUUUAUACGUUGCAGUUCCAAGUCAAAAUUGGUGGGCAAACGUUGGCCUUUUUUCAUUUCACCUAAGAUUAAUGCUCACCUGGGAUAGGCACUACAUGACUUAUCUGCUCUUUUACUGUAAAGUUGCUUUGUGUAUGAGAUACACCUCCCCUGCACACCCUCAACAUUCGUUGCUCUGUUUUCCUUGUGUCCAGACGAGGAUAUUAAUUGGAGGCUGACAAAACGACUGCUAGCCCAGGAUUUACAAGGUCCUGGUUUGAGGCUUCGGUGAAAGUAUUUUUGAAAAGACACACAUAGAGAUAGUGCGUUUGGUGCAAUGCAGCACUGUGAGCCAUUCUGACGCGUUCUUAAUUUCAAAACUAAUGAAUGCUUCAAAAUUUUAAGAAGUGACAUUUCCAAAUAUUUGAGUUCGUUUAAUUGAACAUUGGAUAACUAGUGAUCAUAGAUUAUUAUCUGUGCUUGGCACUAUAAGAGGGUAUAUGCUUCUUUUUCUGGCCCCUCCUUCAAGGGAGGAGGGACAAUGUGAUCUGUAACGUUAGAAGCUAUUCCAUGUCAUCUUUGGGCUCAGUUCAAAACUAAAAGAUAAUGGGGGGGGGGGGGGGGGGCAUAUCAUUUUAUAUUUCUUCUAGAAGGUUUGUUCUGGAAAUAUUUCACAGGAGCAUAUCUUUUUCUUCUAUUACGUCAUCCGCAGCCUCCAAUAGGUCGGUUAACAAGCCACCGAGUUGAAAAGUUGGAAAAAUGGGAACACAGCCCGCCUCUUGUAUUCAGUAGUUAAAUAAAAGGUCACUAGAAGUGAGAUCCCUUUUGGCGUCUUGAUUUUCAAUCCAGCACCUCUGUGACCUGACAAACCAAAAAAACUAAAAAAUAAAAAACAGUACGUGGGUUGGUGUUAAGCAUCAAGACAUGUUAAUGAAAGAAGGUAGAGAAUAGGAUAUUGAAAUCCCAAUCCUGAUAACAUGAUUUUCUUUGCUAACAACCAUAUUAUAUUUUAUCAAGAAAGAGUAAUGCAUGUGGCGUCCAUCAAGACCCAUUAGAGUUCCGCUAAAGCUAUAGUUCUGUCAACGUUAUCAUUUACGUUUCCUCUAGAUAAUGGCAUUUUCCUCUAAAGCUCUUGCACCAUUAGGCUUCAAGUCAAAAUUUCACAUGUGAACUUUGGAAAUUUUCUCCAUUUGCCCCUAAGGAUACAGUUAGAAUUGACUUAAAAUCCUGAUUGAUAUGUACUAUUAACCAAAGAAUAUUGUAUAUAAUAAUUGAAAUAUUGUUGAUUCAUCGUGGAAAUACAUUUUGUAAGGAAAGUUGUUGAGAAUUUAGUAUGCUAUAUGGAGAAAAAAGUCAUGACUUAAGGUUGUGUAUGUAUAUUCUAUAUCAAAUAUUAGGUAGGAAUGUGGGAAAGAGCAGAGUGUAAUGAUAAGAAACAAAGAAAUAUAAGAUAUUCUUGAAAGUGGAAAAUAUAAAAUGGCUAACGAGUCAAAUUUAUGAUGCGUAAGGGGGAUCAUGUCACAUAAGAAAACCAUGGCAUACUAAAGACGUACGUGUGGUAUGGAGUAAUAAUUUUGUUAAAAUAAGUUUCUUGUUGGAGUACAUUAGGUGACUAUUCAUAACGUAUCAAAUUAAAGAGUCAAGUGCAUCAAUGAAGGCAUAUGUAGAAAAUUUGUUUGUGACAUGUACCAUAAAGAUAAGAUUGACUUGAUAGAAUUUAGUCUAAGUAGGAGUUGUUAAAGGUGUCUUAAAUUUCUAAUUGAUGUAUAUUUUUUUCUAAAAAAAUAUUAUAUAGAUAUUUUAAUAAAUGAUUAAUUCUUUGUAAAAAUACUUACAUAAUAAAAAACAUCAUUAAAAAUAUCUUUAUAAAUAUUUUAAGUUACAAGAAGGAAAAAAACCACUGUGAGAUAAUGAUGAACAUGCAACACUGUACCAAGUAAAUAAAAAUGUGAUAAAAAAAAAAGAGAAACACUCGAUAAAGGAAGGCUCGUAUAUAAAGAGUAAUAUUUUUAAUCAUAUGAUAGAAUGAUUUUCUCUCAUUCAUGAAUAUAGGCAAGAUUGGGGAACCAUUAUAAAAUUUUGUACACCUCGUGUAAAUUGAUGUUUGUCUUCAUAUUUUACACCAACAAAUGACAUUGAAGUUGUCAUUGAUAAAAGGGAAAAGGCAUGCCUCCACACCAUGUGCUUGAUUCGAAUGGUUCAAGUUUGAAGAAUUUUCUCCGGAAGAUCUAAAACAUUUUCGCCUUUAAAUUUCAUUUGAUUAUUAAUAUCCGAAAAAAUAGUUAAAUACUCUUUCUAUUUUUGAGUUGUUGAAUUUUUUGAAAGUUUUUAUAUUUGUUAUCAAGAAUUUCUAUUUUAUUAAGGGUGAAUAUUUAUAAAUAAGAUAUUAUAUAAUAUUUGGAUAAGAGAGAAUGGUGGAAUAUAAUAAAGUUUUAAUCCUUCCCAAUUUUGAACCUUUUUUUUUUUUUUUGAUAUAAUCGCCUUUCUCUUGCAAUCCUAUUAUCAGGUACCUUAUAUUUGCUGAUGCUAUCUGGAACUAAAUUCCAAUCAGGCAUUGUCCAAUUACUAAUAGGACAGAUCAUAUCUCUCUGUUUCUAAACUAACAUGUAUCGUAAUGUGACCUCAUAAGGAAGGCUAGGAAGAUGGAGGAUUUUGUGGGAAGCGACCAGAAUCAGAUGGAAGAGAGAUAGCCCUGUUGACCUAAUGGCUGUAAUAGGAGAAGCGUGUGGUUUUAUGGGACUUAACUGAUACUAAACCUGUAUGAUGCUUGGAGUGGUGUUUCUUUCAUUUUGUUAAGAAAAUAUGGCAGCAUACAUGCUUUCAACUGAGUGCAUCAGAGCAUCCAUAACAGAUGGUCUGCAACCCUAGGUGCAUGCCACUUUCUGACUGAUAAUGAAAUUGUCAGGUACCUGGCCUUGACUAAGCUCAACAGCAUCACAUAAAGAGAAGCUUUCAUACUUAGAUUACUGUUUAAAGUUUUUGCUUAUUUGAUUUCUUAAUGCCAUUAUGACAUUAUUGAUUCAAUUCUGCUUCCGAUUUUCGAAGUUCUGGGCAUCUACUGAUUGCAUCAUUAUAUGAGAAGUUGCAUGAGUUUAUGUAUCCUGUUAUUGUUCCUUUGCGAUUUCACUGCUCACGGGACUAACCUCUCCAUUCAGUCGAAAUGAAUUGUAAUUUCUUUACUGGUAGCAGUAGUACUUUUCAUAGCAAAGAUAAUAGAAAAUAUGAAAUAUAAAUAGAAGGAAAUCUGGAUUGUAGAUAGCACCAUAAGUAACACUCAAUAUUCACUACAUAAUAAAUAGACAGUGUUACAUAGGUAGAGAAACCUACAAUGAGUACUCAUCACCAUUCUCAAACAGAAACAUAGCAGCGACUUAUACAUAGAACCUAUAGGCUCGCAGGGAAAGAGUAACAUGAUAAGUUCACAGCGGGUAGCAGCUCUUAUUUUACGUAUUACUCAAAAUCUCAAACUAACCAAAGUCACUCAGUUGGGAUGGGUAGGAGAUGGUGGUUUGUGGGGUGGCUUCUGGGUAGGAGCUGGUGGCUUCUUUGUUGGAGUUGAAGGAGGCAUAUUCUUCUGAGGUGGCUUGUAUGACUCUUCGGCACUCUCUGCAGGAGGGUGCCCAGGGUUGUGACCAGAAGGAGGUGGCUUCUGUCCCUUUGGUGGUUUGCCUAAUGGGCUUGGUGGCUUGUGCUCCGGGAGUUGUUUCUCUCCCUCGAGUAGGUUUCGAGUUUUGUCAGAUGGCUUGUGUUCUGGUGGUGGCUUCUCUCCCUGGGGUGGUUUGCCGAAUGGGCUUGGUGGCUUGUGUUCGGGGAGUGGCUUCUCUCCCUGGAGAAGGUUACGAGUUUUGUCAGAUGGCUUUUGUUCUGGUGGCGGCUUCUCUCCCUGGGGUGGUUUGCCAAAUGGGCUUGGUGGCUUGUGUUCGGGAACUGGCUUCUCUCCCUUGGGAGGUUCAUUUGGUGGCUGGUGUUCCGUAGGUGGUUCCUUCACCGGCGGCUUGUGCUCCGGAAGCGGCUUCUCUACCUGGAGAAGCUUACGAGUUUUGUCAGAUGGCUUGUGUUGUGGUGGUGGCUUCUCUCCCGGGGGUGGUUUGCCAAAUGGACUUGGUGGCUUGUGUUCGGGGAGUGGCUUCUCUCCAUGGGGAGGUUUAGUUGGUGGUUGGUGUUGCGUAGGUGGUUUCUGAAGUGGGGGAUGCUUGGGGUAGUCAGCAAUAGACGAGGUAGUGAGAACCACCAGUCCCAACAGCAACACUAGCAAGGAUGUUGAAGACAUCUUUGAGUUCAGGCUGAGAUCUGUGCAAGGAUAAAAGAUUUAGGUGGCCUUUUAUAGAGGGCUGGACCCAACACCCAUAUGACACGUGUCAUGCACUCAUGGUGACACAUAAUUCUAUGGGACCAUUUGGGUCCUACAGAAGUUGCAAAGUUGGACUAUUGAGGUGUGAUCACAACUUUUGUCCUACUUGCUUUCUCUGCGGCCAUUGCACGAUUUCCUUUAGCAUCAUUUUCUUGUCUAAAUAAGCGUAUUAUAUUUGUGGCAGACCGUCCACGUGUCAUAAACAGAUAUAUUAUAAUAAUGUAGUAUGCUUUUCUUCAACGGAACUUGACACUCUUCUAAGUCUUGUUUUAAAUACUGUGCAGGAUUACGUCAUAAGUUGCUUGUUCCAAGUCAAAAUUGGUGGGCAAACGUUGGCCUUUUUUCAUUUUCCCUAAUAUUAAUGCUCACCUGGGAUAGGCACUACAUGAUUUAUCUGCUCUUUUACUGUGAAGUUGCUUUGUGCAUGAGUUACACCUCCCCUGCACACCCUCAACAUUUGUUGCUCUGUUUUUCUUGUGUCCAGACGAGGAUAUUAAUUGGAGGCUGACAAAACGACUGCUAGCCAAGGAUUUACAAGGUCCUGGUUUGAGGCUUUCACGAAAGUAUUUUUGAAAAGAUACACAUAGAGAUUGCGCGUUCGGUGCAAUGCAACAAUGUGAGCCAUUCUGAAGUCUUAAAUUUCAGAUUAAUGAAUGCUACAAAAUUCUAAGAAGGGCCGUUUCCAAAUAUUUGAGUUCAUUCAUCCGAACAUCGGGUAUAUGCUUCUUUCUCUAGCCCCUCCUUGAAGGGAGGAGGGACAAUGUGAUCUGUAUCGUUAGAAGCUAUUCCAUGUCGUCAUCUUUGGGCUCAGUUCAAUACUAAAAGAUAUGGGCGGGGCCCUUAUCAUUUUAUAUUUCUUCUAGAAGGUUUAUUCUGGAAAUCUUUCACAGAAACAUAUCUUUUUCUUCUCUACGUGAUCCGUGGUUUGAAAGUUGGAAAAAUGGGUCCGUUAACAAGCCACCGAGUUGAAAAGUUGGAAAAAUGGCAACACCGCCAACCUCUUGUAUUCGAUAGUUAAAUAAAAGGUCACUGGAAGUGAGAUCCCUUUUGGCCUCUUGAUUUUCAUUCCAGCAUCUCUAUGGCCUGAUAAAUUAAAAAACUAAAAAAAAAGACAGUACGUGGGUUGGUGUUAAGCAUCAAGAGUCAAGACAUGAUAAUGGAGAGAAAGGAUAUUCAAAUUCCAGUUCUGACAACAUGAUUUUCUUUGCUGAACUACCAUAUUAUAUUUGAUCAAGAAAGAGUAGUGCAUGUGGCCAGGAUCAAGACAUACAUUAAUUUCCACAUGAUGAAGACAGUUUCUGAGAGUUUCUUCUAAAGCUCUUGCGCGAGUAGGCUUCAAGUCAAAAUCUCCCAUGUAAACACUGGUUUUUCUUUCAUUGCCACUAAGGAUGCAGUUAAUAUUGACUUAAGAUCCUACGUGAUAUAUUUUUUUAAAAGAGCUAUAUUGUAGAUAAUAUUUGAAAUAAUGUUGAUUCGUUGUGGAAAUAUAUUUGUAAGGAAAGUUGUUGACAAUUUAAUAUAGUAUAAGAAGAAAAAAGUUAUCAACUAGCUAGAGAUGAGUAUGUAAAGUGAGGCUCACGAUUCAACGCGUAAAUAUAAGAUAUUUUAAGGCUCAAUAGUUAUGAUAUCUAUUUUAUUUUUUGUAUCUCAUAUAUUCAAAGAUAUAGUAAAAUGAUUUUACAUAUAUAUAUAUAUAUAUAUAUGAACAUAACUAUUUGUGCCAAUUGAUUUUUAUCUUUAUUUUGUAUAUUAGUAAUUAUAUUAAAGUUUUUACUAAUAUAAUAACUAAUAUAAAAGCUUUUUCUAAAAGAGUCAACAGAGCAAAACACUUAUUAUAAAAAAUAAUUUUGAUUGAAGGUGGAGUCAAUUAUUCUUUAUUUAACAUGUAAUGCAUACGGCGUGUACUUCAUAACUAAAGUAUAUAAGUGUAACAUCUCUUAUAUAUUCUCAUUCAAUCUCGAAAGUGGAAAUUUUAAAAAGAUUAAACGGUUCAAAUUUGUCGUGCAUAAAGGGGAUCAUGUCACAUAAGCAAACCAUGGCAUACCAAAGACAUAGGUAUGGACUAAGAAUUUUUUUCAAAUAAGUUUCUUAUUAGGGUACAUUAAUAGGUGACUUUUUAUGACAUAUCAAAGGAGUCAAGUGCACCAAUAAAAACAUAUAUAGAAAAUUCAUGCAUGACAUGUAUCACUAAGAGAAGAUUGACUUGAUAGAGUUUAAUCCAAAUAGGAGAUUGUUAAAAGGUGUCUCAAAUUCUUGAUUGAUAUAUAUUUUUUUUAUUAAAAAGGUUAUUAUAUAGAUAUUUCAAUAGACUAUUAAUUCUUUGUAAAAAUAGUUAUAUAAUGAGGAUGGUGAUUAAAAAUAUCUCUAUCAAUAUUUUGGAUUAUAAAAAGAAAAAAAAUGAGAUAAUGAUAAACAUAUAAAACUUGUACAAGUAGAUAAAGAUGUGAUGAAAGACACUUGAUGAAUGAAGGCUUUGUAUUUCAAGAUAUAAAUAUAUGGAGCAAAACUCUUAAUUAUAUGAUCAAAUGAUUCUCUCAUAUUCAUGAAUAUAAGCAGGAUUGGGGAACCAUGAUAGAAUCUUAUAUGCCUCUCCAUGUAGAGUGAUCGAUGUUUAUCUUCAUAUUUUACACCAGUGAAUGACAUUGAAACUCUUAUUGAUAAAAGGGAAAAGGCAUGGCCUCCACCCCAAGAAAAACAAGUAACCUCGGUUUAAAUCACUAGUCUACACCCCGAAGAGAGAACUAGCCAAACCUACUAAAAGAGAAACUUAACAAUUUAGAAAGAAACCGUCCAUGAUAAAGGGCCCCUAAAGGUCCAAUUCAGUGAGGUCGUGAACAAAAACACUUUCAUGUCAAAACAGAGAUAGGUACCACCAAAAUGUAAAGGGAAAGAUGUAAACCACGUCGAACUUUGGUAAUCAAUGGUAAAGAUAGCAUGAUAGCUAAAAGCACUAAAGCUGUGCUUGGUAUGCAAAAAUGAAAAGUGGAAAUCAGCGUCUUAUUCUUUUUCACCUUUAUUCACAUAUUAGGAUAACUAAUAUCUAAUGUUUUUUAUGUCUCAAAUUCUAUUCCAUGUUAUGGUAAACUUUCAUCUUGUUUAGAUCACUUUUGUCUGGUUUGGGCUCAAGACGAUAAGCCUAUAGAGACUUCAUAUUGGGUUGAAUCGAUGCCCUUGAUCUGAUCUGUUCGUUAGAAAAAUCUGAAUUAUUAUAAGCAUUUAGAUAAAAAAUAAAUAAAUGUGAAACACAAACUACUCCCUGCACAACCUUGACCCUAGUUACUCAGUUUCACUGCUCACAGGACUAACCUCUCCAUUCAGUCGAAAUGAAUUGUAACAAGAAGAUUUUUGACAGGAGGACGGUAGUUUAAAAUAAUAAUUUCUAAAGUACUUUUGUGAAAAAAAAUAAUUCCAAACGUGGAUUUUAUCAAGUAAAAAGAAAAAAAAAAGUUAUUUUCUUUUAAAAUCUGUUCUUCUAAAGAUGAUAUAUAUACCAAAAAAAAAAAUUGUUUUCUGAAGGUAAAAUUUUUAAAAUUCAUUUUUAAAAAAAUUUACACACUAAAAUUAUCUUUUCAAGAGAAGAUUUUUUUAAUUUUAAAUAAUUAUUAAUUUAUAAUUAAUUUGUUAUUAAUUAUUUAUUAAUUUUUUUAUUUGAAAAAUGCAUUUAUAAAAAACAAAUUUGUUAUUAAUUUAUUAAAUAAUUUUUACAAAAUAAAUAAUUUUUUUUUAUUUUAAUUUUAAAAUUAAUUUUAUUAUAUAAAUUUUAAAAUUAAAAAUAUUAAUAUUUAAUUUAAAAUUUAACUAUAAAAGGAAUAAAAUAUAGAAAAAUAAAUUAAUUUAUUAUUCAAUAAAUUAAUUUUCAAUAAAAUUUUCAGCAUUAAGAGAUAAAUUUUUAAGUAUUAAUCAAUUUAAAAAGAAAUAAUGAUCAUUUGUAUAUUAAGAUAUUUUAUUUAGUAAUUAUGAAUGAUAAACAACUAAAGUAAUUUGAAAAAAUAAUAAAAUAUUUAAAAAAUAAUAAUUUAAUACACGUAAAAUUAGAAAUGAUUAACUAUUUUUUAUUAAGAAAAAAUUGAGGAAAUAUUUUGUUAUUUAAAAUUUUUUAUUUGUUUUCAAUUUUUAAUGUUAUAGGUUUCAAGAAAAUUGAUCAAAUAAAAAUUAAGAAGUCAUUUUUUCAAAAACUAUAUAUCUAAAUAAAAGCCUUGAAAUUCAAAUACACAAUAUCAUAAAUAUAAACACCAAGUCAAUCCUUAAUUAUCAAAUGUUUUUAAUAUUAAAGAAUCAAAAUCACCUACUAUCAUGAUAAUAAGAAAACCAAUAAUAUUGUUCAUAUAAAUACUAAAAAGCUAACAAAUAUCCCAAACAAUUAAUAAAGUAUCAAACAUGAUAAAAAGUCAAUUAUUAUCAUGAAUGCAAAAAAUCAAUAAUUUUGUUUAUAUGAACCAUCAACAAAGAAAAAAAAAAUCAAUAUCUAAAUAUUAAACAUAAUUUAUAUUUUUAUAAAUAUUAUUGUUGAUAAAUAUCUUAACAAUUAUAAUUUUAGUAAAUAAAAUUAAUUAAUUUUAGUUUAAGAAUUAUUUUUUUAUACUUUCGUAUUCUUAUCAAAAAUCCCCAUUUUGCAUGUCUCCUUUGGCAUGACUUUCUUACCUAAACAAGCAUAUAUAUAUAUAUAUAUAUAUAAAAUAUUUGGUUAAGAAAGAGUACUAAAGUUUAUAUGGCACACAUCAAGAUAGAAACAGAAGUGGAAGAUAAUCCAAAUGUAUGAACAGAUAUAUUAUAUCCAUGUAGUGGUAGUGACUUCAUUAUUUACUUUUAUCUAAUGGAGCAUGACACACUUCUUCUGAAUAUUUUGCACGAUUAUGUUAUGUGUCAGCUUGUUCUAAGUCAAAACUAGUGAUAAAAAUCGGUUUUUUUUGCAUUUCCUUCAUGAAGAUGGCACCUGGAUGGGGCACUACAUGAGUGGCAUAGCACGAAGUGAUUUAUCUGCUCCCUUUACUAUAAAGUGCUUUGUGUAUAAGUUACACCUCCCCUGCACUGCCUCAACAUUUGUUGUUCUGUCUUCCGUCUGUCCAAACGAGGACAAACGUAUGUUGUAGGUUGACAAAACCACAGCUAGCCUAGGAUUUGCAAGGAUCUAGUUUGAUUCGUAUGCAAAAGGAUUGGUGAAAAGAUUCACAAAGAUAAUGCUUUUUGCAAUGCAAUCUUGUUCUAAUUCAACAGUGUGGACCAUUUUCAUGUAAUGCUUCAACUAGAUGUCAGUUUCAUGAAUUUUUGUUCAUCUAAUUGAUCACUGGAUAGGCCAUAACCCGAAGAAAUUCAAAAUUCCCUUCAGUACUGUAGCUAAGGAAAGAUCCCUAUCUACCACUGGGAUUUUAAGAGGGUAAAAAUGUAGGUGGGUGCCUAUAUCAUUUGCACUUCACUAUAGGCCUCUUUGGGAAGAUUUCUUCUGAAGACAUUUCAAAGAAACAUAUUUUUCUCUUCUCUCCGUAAACGGCAGCUGCAAGUCAGUCCAUUCACAGGCCACCGAGUUGAAAAGGCUGGAAAAUUGGCCAAAGCACCCGCCUCCUGGAUUCCAUGGGUAAGGAAAAGGUCACUGGAGGUGUGAUCCCUGUUGGCCUCUUGAUUUCCAUUCCGCCAUCUAUAUGACCUGAUAACCCAAAAACACAGAAGGAAAACGUCACCUGGGUUCAUAGUAAGCAUCAAGUCAUGAUAGAGACCAGACAACAUGACCAACAAAGAGUAGCGAAUGGGGCCAACAUCAAGCCCCAUUACGGUUAGAAGAUGGAAGAAGUAGAAGACAAUCCAAUUCUGAUAGAUUCGGGCAAAUGUAGUGCUGUUCAAACUUAAUCAUUUACUAUUUCUUCAUGAAUCACGGCAUUUUUCUUCUGAAAAUUUUCCAAGAUUAGGCCUCUGAAGAAAAAUUUCAUAUGUAAAUUGGUAUAUUAAGGAAAAGGCGUUACAAAGGUGAAAAAAAACCAAUCAAAUCUUAUAUAUGACAUCUCAAAAAUAUGAACUUGCUAUAAAUAUUUAAAAUCAAAAUCUUGCACAUCACCUCGUAGUACGAACUUGCUAUAAAACUUGAAAAUCAAGAAGAAAGGGGCAGUAUUGGACGAGACUACUUAGCACAUAUUAUUAUGAUGUUUUUUCAUUUUCUUAAUGUUGUUUUUAUGUCUUAAAUUCUAUUAUUCUAUGUUACGGUAAACAUUCAUCUUGUUUGUGUGGAAUAGGAUCACUUUUCUCUGGGUUGAGUCGAUGCCCUUAGUUAAUUUGUUCAUUUGAAUAAACUAAAUUAUUAUAAGUAUUUAGAUAAGAAAAACGUGAUACAUAAAUUACGCCUCUCGGCACAACUUCAACACUGGUUACUCUGUUUCAGUUUCCUCACACAAGAUUAUUGGUUCUAGGGUUUAUUUGGUUUUGGUUUGAUUCUAAUUGCUAAACUUUCUCAAGGAAGAUGUUAUAUAGGGAGUGAGAAACCUUCACUCUUGGCUACCUCCAAGAGAAGAGCAAGUGGUCUGAAUCAAAGAUAUACUGCUCACUUUUUCUUCUUCUAAGGACAGCUAUGACCUUGCUUUAAGGUUCGAAUAGCCUAAUGCAACCUCCCAUUUCUCAAGUCAGCUGAUGAUGUAAGUCACCUUGGCUUUCCACAUUCAUACGGUGAGGACGUUUGUGGGUGUAAUUCUCUUAACAGUUUUCAUUUUAUAUGGAAAAAUUCAUAAUUAAGGGUAAUUACUGAUUCCAUUUGACAGUGACCAAGUUUAAAAUAUUAAUUCAUAUAUUAAAUGCACAUUAAAAAAUCAUGGAAUAAAUAUAUUUACUAAUAUAUAGUUCUUUUGCCAUGUUCUGUCACAGAAGCAUCGAACUUUCCCUAGAAAUUUUUGCAUGGUAUUCUACUUAUGAUUUUGAAAACUCUAGGCACCUGAGGCCACUAAUUGCAUGGUUGGAUGAGGAGCUGCAUGAGAUUAUGUAUCGUGUUGUUCCUUAACUACAAAUAUCAGUUUUAAGUAGCAUCUCCAUGUGACAUUUUCCUGAUGCAAUUUCGCUGUCCACCAACAAAUUUCACCAUGCAGCAAGAUGAAUUGUAAUUUCUUUAUUGUUAUCAACAGCUUUAAUUAAUCUUGAUAUAUAUAUAUAACUUAGUAGAAGUAUAUUAAUCUAGAUUGUAGUUGCACUAAGAUAAUAGGCAAUAUUAUAACAGUGCCACAAUGCUCAUCGCCAAAUAGAAAGGUAGAAAAACUACAAUGAGUAACUCACAACAUUCUCAAACAGGACAUAGCGGCGACUGAUACAUAGAACACUAUUGGCACUCAGGAAAUGAUAAGAUCAGUGCCCAGCAGGCAGCACGUCUUAUUUUACAUACUACUUAAAACUAACCAAAGUCAUUCAGUUGGGAUGGGUGGGAGAUGGUGGUUUGUGCGGUGGCUUUUGGGUAGUUGGUGGCUUCUUUCCUGGAACUGAUGGUUUUUUUGUUGGAGUUGAAGGAGGCUUAAUCGUCUGAGGUGGCUUGUAUGAGUCUUCAGCACUCUCUGCGGGAGGGUGCCCAGGGUUGUGACCAUAAUGGGGUGGCUUCUCUCCCUUAGUUGGUUUGCCAAGUGGGCUGGCUGGCUUGUGCUCCGGGAGCGGCUUCUCUCCCUUAGGUGGUUUGCCAAAUGGGCUUGCUGGCUUGUGCUCUGGGAGCGGCUUCUCUCCCUCAAGAAGUUUACGGGUUUUGUCAGAUGGCUUGUGUUCUGGUGGUGGCUUCUCUCCUUGGGGUGGUUUGCCAAAUGGACUUGGUGGCUUGUGUUCGGGGAGUGGCUCCUCUCCCUUGGGAGGUUUAGUUGGUGGCUGGUGUUCCAUAG
rnacentral:lncRNA from 1 species